CAGCCACUACUACAUGUCAUCCCGACAACCCACUCUCAGCUUCCCAAACCGCCAUUUUUCACCCACUCACUUACCUCUCUCUCUCUCUCUCUCUCUCUCUCUCUCUCUCUCUCUCUCUCUUACCCAAGCCACUGCCAUUAUUCAUUCAAUCAACCCAAAACACGAGAGCCACCCCAUCUCACCACUCGAACAGAUGCAGCCACCCACCCAUUUAAUCCCAGUCCAAAAUCAAACCCUCUCCUAAACCCACCCCAGAAUCCAAUAAUUUCAAAAAAUGGCUGAUUAUAUCAUUUCAAGAACCUCACAAUUCCAAAAACUAAAAACCCACUUCAAAGAUGUAAUAUUUUUCUCUCUUCCUCUUUUUGGGUUUUUUUUUUUUAUCAAUUCUCUUCUGGGUUUUUGUUUACAGUGUAAAAUCAACACUAAUUUACUAAUUUUGCUUUGAUUUUUCAAACACUAUUGAGGCGUGAUAACCUGUUGCAAGCUCAGCCAUGGCGGCUACUGCAAAAUCUAACGGAAAAACCAUCACAGACUCUGCCAUUUCAUCCAAGGUUCCGACAAUAGCAAACCCUUUAACGAAUAGCUGUCGCAGAUUUCUUCCAACAUCAAUCACCACGCGAAAUUAAUUGUCAAUGAAGACGAUCCCAUUCCCCUUCGAAAUCUGCUGGGGGAAAGAGGCCUUCUUUCAUAUCUGCUCUGAGACCUGUUUAUGCGAGAGAGUGGUGAGCCUGACGACAGAGAGAAAGAAGGGCAGGAUUGGAAAAUUGGAAAGUUCAUUUAUUGGUUACUGUUUAUCCGUGUUUCUUCGAAAUAAGCUGCUUUUUCCAGCUUUGGGUUUUCAGUAUUUUUUUAACCCAUAAUUUUGAAAGAAAAAAAACUGAUUUGAAAUGUUAUCAAACACUUAAAAUGUUCCAAUCUUUUUUCAUACCUAUUUUUUUUAUUAAAAGUUAAGCUAAACAAAAACCAGGAUUAAGUUUACUACUUUGAAGUUUCUUGCUUUUCAACAUUUCAUACAUUGAAUUUUUCUCAUCCAGUGUCAUACCUAAGGUGAGAAUUGUGGGACACUUUUAUACAUCCGUUAGAUUUUCUGUGAAUUAUGGGACACUUUUAUACAUCCGUUAGAUUUUUUGUGAUAACCUUCGCUGACCCACGAUGCGGCAUGCAUGUGGACAUUAAAAAAAAUUCAAAAAUUCAAAAAUUCAAAAAUUUUAAAAUUUAAAAUUCAAAAAUACUAAAAACCUAAACUUUUCAUAAUAUUGAGUUGAGAGACUGAAUCUUUUCACACUCGGCCAAAUUUUCUUUGAAUUUUAAUUAAAUGAAACAAUGAAUCUUGAACAAAGCAAAACAAAACGUAAUAUUGAGAGAUUCAGUCAUUGAAGUGGACGUGGAUGUUGGGUACUCAAUAGUCCAAGAAUGAAAAUUCUCAUAUCAGUUUCUAUCCAAAAUUUUGGAAUUAUGUGUGUUGCAACGAUUGUCCAAAGGAUUAUUCUUCUUUUAUUAAAUUUCCAUGAAAAAUGAGCAUGGGGGCAUAAAAAUUGAACGAAUGAAAUUUCAACGAUUUGAAAAGGGUUGUGAGUUUGACACGUCAUUUUUCUUCCUUUAAUGCAAUCAUGUUUAUUAAAAGACAAAAAUAAAUAUGACUUUACAUAAGGAGAGAGAAAGAAUAGUUUUCUUUGAAAAAAUCAACCAUUUAUUGAAGAGGGAUGUUGAUAAGGAGAUGAGACAUUCAUUAGAAGCUAGAAAAAAGAAGUUAAAAGUGAUUUAGAAAAAAGCAAGAAAGCCACAUUUUCAAAGUGGUGGUCAUUGCACAAUACUUAAUUAGAAGAAAACUCAUAGUAUUGUAUUUACAAUUUCAAGUCUUUAUGGGGAACGAGAGUGCAAAUUUUCCAAUUGGAAUAUGAUAUGAAAUUUCUAGAUAACUAUAUAUGACAAAGAAAGAAGUCUAAGUUUCUAAGUGGUAGGGCUUCCAAUUGAUGUGAGUUUGUUGAGAAAUGUAGAUGAAGAUGAAUAUUGUUGUUGAUGUUAGUGAACAACAGAACAAGUUGCUUCUCCUUUGGCCUUCUAACAUGAUAUCACGGAAAACAAGUUGUUGCUAAUAAAUGUAUCUGAUUGGUGGACUUAGACGUGCGCGGUACGAUUUUUGAUAACGAGAAAAGAUGGACAGUGUCAUGACAAAAUUUAUCCAAGUAGACCCAAAGGAAAGACUUAGGAACUUCAUAUGCAGUGGGAUAAAAUCUUAAGCUAAUUUCCUUACCUAUUUUAUAGUCAUUAAGUAAAAUGUAUAUGUAUAUUUCUAGAUGCUGACACACCAAUGUACUUACUAUUAACUCCUUUCAAAUACCCAUUCGCAGAAACGCAAAUCUCUCUUGCAUGCUUGUUGUAAUGCUCAUGUAGUGCGUAUCUAAUAUCUUAUGUGUAUAAUUUUUUGUGAUCCAUUUUUUCAUCACUAUGCCAAAAUCCCUUUAGAAUUUGCAAUUUAUCCAUUUGGUUAUGGUAAAAAAAAAAACUCGGAAUUUCAUUUAAACUCAAAAAUCUAGAAUUGGGAAAGCAAUUUUCCCUUGUUCGGCAACUUGUAGCGAUAGCAAAGGCAAAUUGUACAGGAAAAAAGUGGAAAUUGGGGAUGAAGAUCCAAUUUUAAUUUCGUCAAAAUAAGUGUAAUUUCACAAUUCCAACAACGUUGAGAACAAAUGCAUUGCGGGGAAAUCUUGCGACCACCAAACUUUACGAUUAGAGGGCCAAAUUUCAUGAUAAAACGUAAUAAGGGUUUAGGACUGCAUCGUUCACUUUGUUAACUCUCCAAUCUUCGACGGGAUUUUCAACUCGUGCAUCAUCUUUUGCUUUGUUCUAGGUCAAAGCCUACUCUUUUCUUUCUUGAAUUAUUUUAGCUUUGAGGGUAUACUCUUUAGGCCAAUUGUGAAUUUUGCUAGUUAUUUUUAUUUUCUGAUGGUCAUAUGUUUGUUUUGUUUUUUUUUUCUUCCAAUUGAGAUGUGUAUUGGUUGGAUCAGUAACUUUUUUUUUGGAUUUUUAUUUUUAUUUUUAUGGAUUUUGGUGUUAGUUCCUUGUUAUAGAUGUUGUGGAGCAAAAAAUAAUCUCAAAAAUCGUGGAGGUGACACACGGAUUUUUGGACAAGAAUGACAAAAUUAUCCUCGAAGCACAUCAGGAUUCCCACGUGCAUGCAACGGACAAUAACGGCUCAAUCAUGGAAGAGUCAAAGGUGAUCAAUAUGGUAUUUAUUCAAAUCCCUCUCAUCACUCCUCAUCAAUCCCUUUUUUAUUUUAUUCAAAAGGUAACUCCCAAAACUUCCUAUUUAAUUUAGGGAUCAUUGUCAUGUUAAUUGCAAGAUAUUAUUUCACAAAAUAUCUUGUAAUUAUUCUUCAAUUACCACCAUGUAUGGCCGGCCACUCCUCACAUUAUGGGCCGGUCACUCCUCACCCUAUGGGUCGGCCACUCCCUAUAAAUAGCCCUAUUAUUCCACUAAUAAGGAAGCCAUUUGCUACCCACAAACUCCUAAACACAUUCUUUCAGAAUUCUAACUUUGGCAUUGGAGAUUCUUAGGCCAAAUCCCCCCUCCCAUUCAUCAUGGGCGCAUAAGGCUUUUGGCCUUAGUCUUAGGUAUUAUUAUUUUGCAGGUGCAUUUUUGUCAAAGACGAAGAUGGUGAAAAUUUGCAUCCACAAAUUGGUGUUUUCAUUGAGAGUUUGAUUCAUAAGCUCGAAGAAGACUCACAUUCAAAGUUUCACAUUUCUCAUUCAUAAGUAAAUUUUUCAUACGUUCUUAUUCCUAAAAUUUUUUAAAUCUUUGAAUAGACGUAUGAGAGAAAUACAAUGGCUAGAAAUUUAGAAACCACGACGAACGAAACUUCCUACGUUCAAAGAUCCAGAUAAAAUGAUGGAAAUUGCGAUGUAGCCCCACCACGACGAUCCACGAAGCUCAACGUGGUGGCAAAAUGAGUAACUUGGCCACCACGGAGUACCACCACCACCAUAGCCAAGGCAACCCAUGUUGCAGUGGGGAGUGGGACAGCUUCAUGGCAGCAAAGCCACGAAGCAACAAUAAAUGCCAUCUUGCAGUAAUGAGCCCAGGCCCGUGUCACAAGGCAGUCAACCCAGCGCUAGGUAACCUAGAUCUAGUAGGCCCACGACGUUGCCAUAGCAGCUGAGGCCUAAAGCAAGGCCCAAACAGUUGCGGUUGCGGCAAAUGGAGCAGCACAACACUGGCGGGGCCAAUGCACCCUUGGCCUAAUGCUAAGCAGGCUAAAUCGCACCACACCCACUAUUCAAACUAACCCUAAGUUGAGUAAGUAGCAUUGAAGGUUGUCAACCGCAAGGCGUUGAAGUACGAAUAAAGUUACACACCCCGCACAUGACUUGGCCCACUUCCGCGGCCCAACUUGCUCGCAAGGUCCACCUAGUGAUCCCGACUAGUCGAAGGCCAGUUUAAUCAUCCCAUCUUCAGAUUUCUGGACUGACGAUUGAAUCGGGGGUAUUUUCACCCCGAUUUUCUACAGAUUUGACAUAUCUCAACUCAAAUCUCGCACUUGGAGUCCAUUGCACUUCCAUUACUCAAGGAGACGCAUACCAUUUAAGAUCUUCCAUCCCAAAUGGCGAACAACACUUGUCUCGACAAGUCAUAGAGUUGACAUGCGCUUUUGCGCAGUAGACGACCUUAGUGAAUCAGCUCUUGCAACGCACAUAGAUGCAGUGUGCCCCAGACGAUGUGUCCCGAAGUAAGACAAGUACAGAUGACGAUUCUCUCCAGCAGCGUCCCAACAAGCAGCCGCUCGACUAGCCACGAACCGAGCGUUCUGGCAGUGUACACUCCCGUCUAGGUCCUCAAGAAAGCGUAUACUCUCGUCUUAGCGCGCGAAUGAGCGUGCACUCAUGGUUAGGCCUAUGGACGAGCAUACAUUCACGGUUGGGACCAUACUCUUAUAAUUAACAUGGACAACCUGCUAGACGAAGUGUUCAUUCGCGGCUAGGCCCGCAAAAAGCAUUUUCCACCUCAUAUUGGAGUAAGCAGCACAGAAGACGAAGAUAAGCAGUCAAUUAAUCUGGCUCAAAUUCAAUCGGCCACCUGUAAGUAACCAGUUCGCCUGCCAAGAACGUAUCAUAUGCAAUGUAGCCACGACAUAGACUAGAUGAGCACAACGAUAAGCAACCUAGACUAACAGGUUACGACUGGGGGCAGCCAGAAGCUCUGCUGCCCCAAUAGAGGUAAAUUUAGAAAGAAGUUGAGAGGCUCAUGACCGAACAAUUGUGCGAUUUCCAACGCAACGAAGCUACUGACAAGGCGCUUAAACGAUACACGACCAACAUAAAUGGGUCACCUUUUAUUGACAAGAUUGAGCAGACAGAACCAUCCUACAUACACUGGCGGAUACAAAGAUUACAUCUAUUUUAACAUAUGCAUCAACUCAGCCUAAUGGCGUGUCGAGGGCAAAUGGGUACCAGAAUGGCACACCAGCCCAACCACCAAGAACCAGGGCCAAAUCUUAUUUUCAUCACUCCACACGAUUCAAUACUUGAGCAGCACAUCACCAGUAAUCGAGCACCGCAGACCUAAUGGUCCAAUUCCUCCUGAUGCACACAAGCUCACCCCAGCUCCACGCUCAAAGCCUUGCCUACCUGCUCCACAACACUCAGCCACCCUUGAUUUGUCACCAUGGCUCACAAUUAUGCCAAUUUUGCACCACAGCUCAUAGCCGUGCUAAUCUUGCCAUGCGGCUCUUAACUACGUUAACCAAGCCCACGAUACUUUAUACUUCAAAGCAUCCAACGACGGAGUAGAACACGAGGCUCUACUAGCAGCCCCUGCUAGUGAAAGACUUUGCGGUGAAGAGGCUUCCAAUCCAUUCAAAUUCUCAGUUGACCACCUGUUGGGUUUUACGACUCAAAAUUAGGAUGAUGCAAAAAAAAUUGUGUUACCUAUUUGGUUUUGGUGUCGUAUUUGGGUUUGGAUUUUGACCUCUUAGUUGGUUUCCGUGGUGGAGAGAUUUUGUUAAUUACCUAUUUGAUUAGGAUUUGGAUUUACUUCCUAUUAAGAUUCUUAUUGUAACCUAAGUCUUAUGCACUAUAAAUAGGACCUCAGGGUUAGUGUAUUUUGUGUGGCUCAUUCGUGUGGCAAUUUGGUGAGAGUCAAUUUGUGAGUUUGUGAGUUAGAGAGCAAUUUGGGAGAAUCUUCUCCGUUAGUUUUGGGUUCUCUACUCGUUUGGUUUAGGGUUUGUAAUUUGUGGGAUUUGGAUUGUGAGAGUCUGAACACUAUUUUGUAAUCUCCGUUUGUUUAGUGAAAUUUCUUGUCAUGCUUCGCUCGUGGACUUAGAUUUUACACCGAACCACAUAAAUCUCUUGUGUUAGUUUGAGAUUGUUUGUUUUAGUUUUCACCUACGACGUUGAUAUCGGUACUUUGUUAGAAUUCGCUUUCCUUUGCUCAUAAAAGUACAACAAGUGGUAUCAGAGCCCGGCUUUCGGCUUGGGCUUUGCUUGGCAAUCACUAUGAAGCCUUCUGUGUCGUCGGUGAAAGUUGAUAUUGAAAAGUUCGAUGGCAAUGACUUUGGUAUUUGGCAAUUGAAGAUGCGUACUUUGUUAAUUCAACAAGAGCUUUUAAAAACGCUAAAGGGUGUGAAGGCUUUCCUGAAUUCGUGGACUGAUGAAGAAAAAAAAAGAUGUUAUGGAGCGGGCACUUGGAACAAUCCUGCUAACUUUAUCGAAUGAAGUCUUGCGUCAAGUUGGUAGCAUCAAAUCUGCACCGAAGUUGUGGCUAAAAUUGGAGAGUUUGUAUAUGACCAAAUCCCUUGCUAAAUGGUUGUAUUUGAAGAAAAGUUUGCGUACUCUUCGUAUGGAUGAAGGUACGUCAAUUCAUAAGACCAAAUCCUUAUUGCUGCCAAAAGUCCUCAACAGUUCCAAGGGAGAUGGGUAAGAGUUCGUAAUAGUGAGAGAUUGAAUCUUUUCACACUCGGCCAAAUUUUAAUUUUAAUUAGAUGAAACAAUGAAUCUUGAACAAAGCAAAACAAAAUUUAAUACUGAGAGAUUGAAUCAUUGAAGUGGACGUGGAUGUUGGGUACUCAACAGUCCAAGAAUGAAAACUCUCAUAUAAGUUUUUAUCCAAAAUUUUGGAAUUAUGUGAGUAUUGCAACGAUUGUCCGAAUGAUUAUUCUUCUUUUAUUAAAUUUCCAUGGAAAAUGAGCAUGGGGCACAAAAGUUGAACGAAUGAAAUUUCAAUGAUCUGCAAAGGGAUUGUGAGUUUGACAUGCCAUUUUUCUUCCUUUUAUGCAGUCAUGUUUAUUAAAAGACAAAAAUAAAUAUGACUUUACAUAAGGAGAGAGAAAGAGUAUUUUUCCUUGAAAAAAUCAACUAUUUAUUGAAGAGGAUGUGGAUGUUGAUUGAUGCGCAUUGUGAAUAGGAAAAAAAUAACCUUGAAGGGAGACGAGACAUUCAUUAGAAGCUAAAAAAAAGUUAUAGUGAUUUAGAAAAAAAAAGUUUUAACGAAACAUUUCCGGUACUGUUUACUCUUUACGAAAAACCACAUUUUUACCUUUCCUAACUACUAUUCACUACAUCUUUAUUUAUCAUUUUUCAUUAAAACUAAAGUUUUUGUUUUAACUUUUCGUUAGUUUCCUUUAGAAAAAAGCAAGAAAGCCUCAUUUUCAAAGUGGUAGUCCUUGAAACAAUACUUGAUUAGAAGAAAAGUCAUAGUAUUGUAUUUACAAUCUCAAGUCUUGAGGGGUAACGAGAAUGCAAGUUUCUAAUUGGAAUAUGAUAUGAAAUUUCUACAUAACUAUAUAUGACAAAGAAAGAAGUCUAAGUUUCUAAGUGGAAGGGCUUCCAAUUGAUGUGAGUUUGUUGAGAAAUGAAGAUGAAGAUGAAUAUUGUUGUUGAUGUGAGUUAGUGAACAACAGAACAAGUUGCUUCUCCUUUGGCCUUCUAACAUGAUAUUACCGGAAAACAAGUUGUUACUAGUAAAUGUAACUGACUGGUGAACUAAGACAUGCGGUACGAUUUUUGAUAACUAGAGAAGAUGAACAGUGUCGUGACAAAAUUUAUCCAAGUAGACCCAAGGGAAAGACUUAGGAACUUCAUAUGCAGUGGGAUAAAAUCUUAAGCUAAUUUCCUUUUUAAUCUUAUAGUCAUUAUGUAAAAUGUAUAUGCAUAUUUCUAGAUACAUACACACCAAUGUACAUAAUAUUAACUCCUUUUAAGUAGUCAUUUGCAAAUCCCUCUCGAGUGCUCUUUGGAAUGCUCAUGUGGUGCCGUUCUAAUCUCUUAUAUAUAACUUUUUGUGAUCCAUUUUUUCAUCAAUAUGCCAAAAUCCCUUUAGAAUUUGCAACUUAUCUUUUUGGUUACGGUAAAAAAAAAACUCGGAAUUUCAUUUAAACUCGAAAAUCUAGGGAUGUGAAAGCAAUUUUCUCUUGUUCGGCAACAUGUAGCGAGAGCAAAGGCAAAUUGUACAGGAAAAAGUUAGAAAUUUGGGAUGAAGAUUCCCAAUUUUAAUUUCGUCUAAAUAAGUGUAAUUUCACAAUUCUAACUACGAUGAGAAUCACAAAUAUAUUGCAGGGAAAUCUUGCGACAACCAAACUUUACGAUUAGGGUGCCAAAUUUCGUGAUAAAACCUAAUAAGGGUUUAGGGCUACAUUGUUCACUCUGUUAACUCUCCAAAUCUUCGACGGGAUUUUCGGCUCGUGCAUCAUCUUCUUGCUUUGUUCUAGGUCAACGCCUCUACUCUCUUCUUUCUUGUAUUAUUUUAGCUUUUCAGGUAGACUCUUUAUGGCUGUUGUGAAUUUUGCUAGUUAUUUUUAUUUUCUGAUAGUCAUUUGUUUGUUGUGCGUUUUUCCUUCCAAUUGAAUUGUGUAUUGGUUGGAUUUGUAACAUUUAUUUUUUUUAUUUUAUUUUAUGGAUUUUGGUGUUAGUUCUUUGUCAUGGAUGUUGUCCUUUUGAAGGUUAACAAUAGCCAAGACUAAACAUGAUGAUUUUGGUGUUAAUUACUUUCUCAUGAUACUAAUGCCAUAUUGUUCUCUAUUUUGCACUCACAAGUAAAGAGAAAUAUCCUAGACCCUAACUGGAUAUGUUAUUGUCAUGGUCAUGCAUUGGUAUGGUAACAAUAUGUUUGGAUAAGGAAAAUAAACUUAGAAUUUGACAAAAGAUAAAAUUUAUAAAUUGAUACAAUCAAUUCCUUUGUUUAGAUUCAUAAACAUAGAAAUUUAAACUUUCCGCGUGAGAAAAAACUUGGAAUUUGGGACCUUCAAUUCUCAUGUUUAAAUUUUAUGUAAAUAGGUGUCAUUUCUAAAUUUCAGUAAGUGAGAAUUUAAAAAUAACAAACAUGUAUUCAAAUUUCAUUCAUCUUUUAGGUUAACCAAACAAGAAAUUUUAUAAAUUCUAGAAAAUAAAAUUUCGUUAUUUCAAUUUCUGUUAUUUUAAAAUUAGUAAUCUUAAAUUUUCUCAUCCAAACAAAAAGUUUCCUUGUCAUAGAACUUUCAAUUGGGAUCAAGGAAGACAAUCUUUUCACAACUGAUUAUUCUCACCAAAUUUUAUUAUUAUUUUAAAGCAGAUCAAUACCAAACUUCAAAAGCAAAGUAGGAAGGCUAAAAUUAAGGUGAAGAACCUACUUCCACUAAUUACCAUGGGAGGGAGAGAGAGAGAACCAAGCGAGAGAGAAGAGAGAGAAAACACCAAGUAGUAUUAUAAUAUAGGUGGGGUUAAAUCACCUUUCGUGAAGUUGUAGUAAGAGCAGCUCCAGCGGGAGCUCCAACUUGAUGUACCGGUGAGAUUUCCUACCCAAUAGCCCCAGCUCCUUGCUCCAGUCCAUGCGGGUGAUUGGGCUGAGGGGGGCCGAGUGAGAGGCCUGACUCGAAUCGGUGGCCUGAGAGCCUGAGACCAAAAAUUAUCUUUUUGGAUAAUGACACGUGGUGCAACGAGAACGAUUAAAAAUCUUAUCCGAAAUUACAAAUAGAAUUAUUUUGUAUUAUUUUAUAAAAUAAAAAAUACUAAUAUUUUAUUGCUUAUUGACAUGACUAUUCAAUUACGGGUGGAGAUGCAGAAGACAAUUAUUAUUCAUUAAAGGUAAUUAUUGUUCAUUGGAGGGGAUUGAAUAUGAAGUUGCACUAGAAGGCCUUUGUCACGGCAAUAGGCAAUUACUGUUCUAAGGACUUCUAUCCUAGAAGAGAGACAAAAACACCAAGUAGUAUUAUAAUAUAGGUGGGGUUAAAUCACCUUCCGUGAAGUUGCAGAUAGAGUAAGGACUUCUAUCCUAGAAGAGAGACAAAAACACCAAGUAGUAUUAUAAUAUAGGUGGGGUUAAAUCACCUUCCGUGAAGUUGCAGAUAGAGUAAGGACUUCUAUCCUAGAAGAGAGACAAAAACACCAAGUAGUAUUAUAAUAUAGGUGGGGUUAAAUCACCUUCCGCGAAGCUGCAUUAAGGACUUCUAUCCUAGAAGAGAGACAAGAACACCAAGUAGUAUUAUAAUAUAGGUGGGGUUAAAUCACCUUACGUGAAGUUGCAGUAAGGACUUCUAUCCUAGAAGAGAGACAAAAACACCAAGUAGGAUUAUAAUAUAGGUGGGGUUAAAUCACCUUACGUGAAGUUGCAGAUAGAGUAAGGACUUCUAUCCUAGAAGAGAGACAAAAACACCAAGUAGUAUUAUAAUAUAGGUGGGGUUAAAUCACCUUCCGUGAAGUUGCAGUAAGGACUUCUAUCCUAGAGAAAAGUCGGUCAAUGGUGUUUGACACAGUCAGUCAACGAUAAAGACAGAAUUGUGUAACCAUAAUUCUCUCUCUAUCUCUUUUUCAUUAACGGAGGACAGUGUAUAAUUACUACGUAUACAUCUCUGCUCAAUUAUUGAAAAGAAAAAUCCAUGUGCAUUAUUUUUAUUAUUAUUAUCUCAGAAAUGCAGAAAUUGAUCAUCUCUUCCUUCUGCAUAUUGAUACUGGUUUUCUUCAAACUAGUUGAAGCAAGCCAAUAUGUGUGCGCGAAAUCCAACUGUAGCAAUGAUCAACGCCCGGCUAUCCAUUUCCCAUUGAACAUCAGGCGCACACAUCAUUGUGGAAAUUCUGGGCUUGAAUGCAAUGGGAGAUAUGGGCAGCAAAUACUAAUAAAAUUAUUUGUCAAACACAUUGAUUACAAGCGUCAGGAAAUCCAAGUCUAUUCCCCAAGUAACUGCCUGCUGCUAAAGCAUGUUGAAAUCCCAAACAUGCCACCCUCUCCCUUCAACGUGUCAGUCGAUGACUACAUGAGUACCCUUACCUUAUUCAGUUGUCCUACUUCUGUUGCAAGACGAGAUACGUAUCAAGUCCCCUGCCUCGGCGACCCUGGCAAGAAAACUUAUGCCAUUCGUUCUUACUAUGAUUUUGGAACUCUCUUCCAGAAUCUACAAUCCUGUACAAAAAUGUAUGAUGUUUUAUCAGUUCCAAUAGCCUAUGAAUAUUAUGUUUUUCGUUUCAAAUGGUCUAUACCAAAUUGCAGAAAAUGUGGAGAGGGAAAGAAGUGUGGAUGGCAGAACAAUGAAAUUAAAUGUCUUCCCUGGAGGAAACCAAGUAAGGAUAACAUAUGUAUUCAUUGCUAGUUUUAAACAUCUUUACAUUUAUGUCUUAGUAAUUAUUAUUUGAAGGAUGUUGUCCAAUCCAUUUUUACUAGGAAUAUUACCUGACAGUCUCGUUUAAAUUCGCAAUGAUCUUCUACAGGCAACACAUGGAAAAAAGUGGUUACAGGUGGAAUCCUGUGUGCUUUGCUUCUUGUUCUACUGACGAUUGCAGCAUAUCGGGUAUAUAGCGCUGAUAGAAAGGAGAAAGAGAGUCGAUUAAGAAUUGAAAGAUUCUUGGAGGACUACAAAGCACUCAAACCAAGCAGGUAUUCGUACGCAGAUAUUAAGAGGAUUACAAAUCAAUUCAAGGACAAGUUGGGCCAAGGAGCCUAUGGAACUGUCUUCAAAGGAAUGCUCUCUUCUGAAUUUUUUAUUGCUGUCAAAGUCCUCAACAGUUCCAAGGGAGAUGGGGAAGAGUUCGUAAAUGAAGUGCGAACGAUGGGUCAUAUCCACCAUUUAAACGUGGCUCGCUUGGUUGGAUUUUGUGCUGAUGGAUUUGUACGAGCUCUUGUUUACGAGUUCUUCCCCAAUGGUUCCCUGCAGGAUUUCAUUUCAUCUGCAGAUAGUAAGAAUUCAUUUCUUGGUUGGGAUAAACUGCAAGAUAUUGCCCUAGGCAUAGCCAAAGGAAUUGAAUAUCUUCACCAGGGAUGCGAUCUACGAAUCCUGCAUUUCGACAUCAAACCCCAUAAUGUUUUGCUAGACCAAAACUUCACUCCAAAAAUUUCUGAUUUUGGUAUGGCCAAGUUAUGUUCCAAGGAUCAAAGCUUGGUGUCCAUGACUACAGCUAGGGGGACCAUGGGCUACAUUGCACCUGAAGUGUUCUCCAGGAAUUUCGGAAAUGUGUCUUACAAGGCAGAUGUCUAUAGCUUUGGAAUGCUGCUGCUUGAGAUGGUAGGAGGAAGGAAGAAUAUUGGUUCAAUCACGGAUAACACUACAAAUGAAAUUUACUAUCCACAGUGGAUUUAUAAUCUUCUAGAGGAAGGGGAUGACCUACGAAUCCACAUUGGGGAAGAAGGAGAUGGUAAAAUUCCAAAGAAACUUGCAAUUAUAGGGCUAUGGUGUAUCCAAUGGCACCCGUCGGAUCGUCCUUCCAUGAAAAUAGCGGUUCAGAUGUUAGAAGGAGGAGGAGAAAGCUUGAGUAUGCCGCCUAAUCCCUUUGUGCCUACUGGUUCUACAACUAGGAAUGCAAGACGCCUAGAGCUAGAAGCUAUUGCUGAAUUAGAGUAAAAUGUAUAUGCAGAUAUGUAGACGUAUAGAUAUAGUAAUAUUUAUAUUGAAUAAGAGGCCGUUUGAUAACCAUUUCGUUUUCAGCUUUUAAUUUUUAUUUUUCACUUUUUUGAAAACUAAAAACUAAAAUCUUGUUUGGUAAAUACUUUUAGUUUAAAAAAAUUAUGAAGACUGAGAACUAAAAUGUGAAAGCUCAAAGGAAGUAGAUUAAAAGUAGUUACCAAACAAACUGGAAUCUCAAUAAUAAAAAAAGAUUGAAUUGCACAAUGCAAUCCAAACCAAUCAAAACAUUAAAAUAGCAAAAAAAAAUUAAAAUUCUAGUUGAUUAGAUUCUAAACGUAGUAAAAAUGAACAGAUCCAAUGAAAAAACAAAAAAUUCUCAAAUAAAAAUAGGGAUAAAGUAAAAUAUUUAUAAAUAGCUCUUUGUCUCUUAUGUCAUCAAUUAUUUCUAUAGUAUAUACAGGUUUUUGGAAAAAUUAGGUUCUCAUCCCUUAUUUUCAUAUUACAUUGAUUGAAAUCUUAUUAUUUUUCUAUUUUAGAUCAAGGUCCCUUGACUUAUUCCAUGUCAUCAUUUUAGUAUUUAAAAUAUUACACGUCAUCAUAAACGAAAUCUCAUCCCUUUCUGCAUUUAAGGCAAAAUAAACUAUAUGAGUAAGUUUAAAACAAGGAAAAUCCAUUUGAACUCCUCCAUUCUUCUUCUUCCCUUAUGCACAUCUGGAAUCUACAACACCCCAAACCCAAUUUUCUCCAUUUUUUCUCCAUUCCUGAAUUGAUCCAAUGCAUAUAUGUUGAAUAAACCUAUUGUGAUUAAAAUACAAAUUAGCAUCAAUGGUUUUAUCGGCUUGUGAGAUUUGUGUGGCAUAGGCAAGGCAAUGCAGGCAUUGCUUUCUCAAGGAAUCUGGUUGAUUCAAACAUGCAGAGACUGUAGAGUGAGCGGGCUAUGUGAAAAUUGUACCAUUCUGAAGUCAUUUUCUUUUGUUCUUUAUAUUUUUUUUCUUUUUCUUUUAUUAUUAUAUAUUAGUCUUGGUUAUUCAAUGUCUGGUUGGCUACACUUAUAUCCAUGGGUACAUUUUUAAUCUACAUGUUUCGUUCUAAUAUAUCUAUUGCUAUAAUAUGUUUUGGUUGGUUCAAAUUUGUUUUACAUAAAUAUAUGGGUACAAAGUUUUUGGAGAAUAUUAUGUAAAAUGGUUUUUAAGGUUGCUGCAUUUUACGUUCCCACAUAUGCAUGUCUAUAAAACAAUGUGGUAUGAUGUACAUUCUUUUCUUUGAGUUUUUAAAUGUACCCAUGAGUUUUCUUGUAAAUUCGUAUGUACCCAUAUGCUAUUUAUGUUAUGGGUACAUACAUUAUUUUUGGUCUAAGUUCAGGAUACAUUGCUUUUGUAUGUAUGAAUUCAUGGGGUACAUUAUUUCCCUUAAUACUACUCAAUAAAAUUCACAAAAAUAUGUGUAGUGUGCAUGAUUUUUUAUUGUAGAAAUUGUUUGUUUUUUUUAAGUCUCAUAAUUCAUGAAAUUUGUACAUAUAUGAUCCCAUAAAUUUUUUAAUUUUAUUAAAUUUCUGUUAGACUUGAUCGAUUGAUUGAAUCUCAUAAUACUAGGAUUUUGAAUUACAUAAAUUCUUGGAUUUGAAUCCCUUAAAUGUUGGACUGCAAUCAAUAUUUUAAAUUACAGUUUUUUGUUUAAGAUAUCAAAAAGAUGACAUGGGAAUAUAGUAAUACUAAAAUGCUGAGGUGUACAAAGUCAAGGGACUUUGAUCAAAACAUAAAAAACAAUAAGAUUUCAAUCUAACAAUUGAAUUGACUAGGGACCGGAACCAAAAUGACCCUAGAUUUUUAUUGAGUUUAAUCUUAAUCAAAAAAAGACUUCUUGUAUCACAGAAAAUACAAGAACCAUUAUUUGAAUGAAAUAAAAGCUAUGGGAUGGAGAUAUAAAUGGAUCCUUUUAUUCACAAUCGGAUUAUAUUUAUUUGAUACACUGUUGUCAAUAUGAAUGUUGAGAAAAGACUACAAAAGAAAAAACAAUUUAUAAAUAUAACUAAAAAUUCCAAUUUCAAUCAAUUAGAUAAUUAGAAUUAUAAGAAGAAAAAAAACAGAAAUCUCAGUUUUCAGUUUAAAAAAAAAUGAAAACAAAAACUGAAAACUGAAAACAAAAUGGUUAUCAAAGCCGUCCAAAUAAUAGAAGUUUGUUUCCACUCUUUGUUUAAGCAUAGAUGCCAAUUUUUGUUUAUCAUUUUUUUAACCUCUAUUUUUUGUUACAGUAGAAGCCCUAGAAGGAAAUCGAGCACUGGACUUACCAAACUCUUAACUUAUUUCUACACACCAAGAGCUUGAUUUCGGUUCUUAUUUAUACUAUUUAAGCUAUAAGCCGUGAUAAGAAUUAGAGAACUAUCAUUUGUUGUGAGCUUCAAUUGGUUAGCACUUUGUAUGUUUUCAUUAGAAUUUAUAUUUCACUUAGACUUUCUUAUUAAAAAAGGGAUCAUUUGGUGACUUCACCAUGACAGUCCAAUUUUAUGGGGGCCAUGAGUACUCACAAAGGUAUUUCAGCCUCCCCCUAUAUCUACCGUCGCGUGAUUCACCAUUGCCGGGAAUCGAACUCAAGACGUGUUGUAUAGAAUACAAGCCUAAAAUUCGUUUCUAACCACUGAGUCACCCCGCGUUUGAUUAUAUUUCACUUAGACUUAUCUUGCGGUAUAGCAUGUCAUCCCCGCCCAAGUUUUUCUGUUCGCAUUGAGUUUGGGAUACCAAAACUUGCCAAACAAAGUAGAUUGAUUAGUAAGCGAAGCUAAUUAUUCGACUAAACAUUGUUUAGAAUUUUAAUUAAAAGAAACAAUAUGAAUCUGUUUUUUUUUUUUUUUUUUGACAAACUAUAACGUUAAGGAGUUAAAUUGUUAGUUGUUAAGAGUACAGGGAUAGGUGAGGAUCGAACCUCCACCAGAGUGCAUAGACAUUAUUGGUUCUACAACUGCGGUAAAUCACAUAAAACAAAACGUAAUACUUUGAGGAUGGAAGACACUUCGUGGAUAGCGGGCAAUCAACACUAUCAGUCGCUAUCCAAAACUUGGAAUUAUGUUUAUUGUCCGAAGGAUUUUUCUUCCAUUAAAUUGCUAAGGAAGAUGAGGAUGGGUGGAGUGUCUAAAUGUCAAGGUUGAUAAGAAAGUGUAUGGUGUUCAGCAUGCGAUUGAGAUUUGUUGAGUGGCACAACAAACCACAUAAAAUUUUCUAAAUGAUAAGCAAUGAUAAGCUUGAGUAUAAUUUUUUACCACGUAUUUAUCUUUAAAAUCAUUAUAAUUAGAUUUUCUCUUAAUUAAUAUAGACCGUUAGAUUGACCCAAGUUUUUUUCCUCUUUUCUUUCCCCUCGUUUUUUUCUUCUCUGAUUUUCCAUUCACCGUGUAGCAGUCGUUCUUCCCCAACUAAGUUUCUUAUUUUUCUUCACAAAAAAAUUGUAGAAAAUAUUAAGAAAAGAAAAGUCAUCAAUAUCAGACUCGAUCAGGUAAUCGUUCCAACCUUCCCAGCAACUCUCAGUCUUAACAAGGCACCAAAUUUUCUCCGCCACCUAACUCGUCAUUCAUUCAUGGGUGUUUCAAGCUUGGUGAAAAUUGAUAGAGUUCCAUGUGUGUACAGGGAUGUGAACAUAUUGGCCACUCUCUAAGAAUGAGUCAUUGGAAAAGUUGAAGGAAAGAUGUAACCGAUGAAAUUAAUGGAUUGGAAUUACAAUGAAGUCUGUGUUGGUUUAUCACAAAGAACCCAGAAACAAAAUUUUAAAAGCAAACAAUUACAACUUCUCAAAUAUUAUGUAACAAACUUUCAAUGAAAUGUUGCUCAUAAUUGAAAAAAGGUUGACGAAGGACGGAGUUGGGAUUAUUUUAGAUGGGGAAGAGUUAAAAGAAGGAAGCACCAUUUAAUUACUAAAAGUAAUUGGAGAAAUGGUAAUUCAAUGGUGGGCGUUUUUAAGGUGUGGACCUUGUGUCACACCCCGAUCCCAACAUACAUUGAGGAUCGACACCUGACAUGGGGACCUAGGGGACAUAAAUCUUACGUAAGAUACAGAAUGAAAUACUAUAAAUAAUAUCCCAAAAUGAAUAUGAUAGUGGGUUCACCCCCUAUAAAAUAUAUACAAGUUUGUACAUUCACAAAAAAAAAAAAAAAAAAAACACACACACACACACACAAAACUCUUGCUAGGCCAAGACUUGCCCAUGGUUCUCAAAGGAAAGUCCUAAAAGAAAUAGUACAAUGAAGGAUAAAGGGGUAACCUAAACACUCCAAGUCUCUGAUCUCUGCACUGCUACCCCCACCGGCUCCUCGUAAUCUACCUCAGACCUGUCACUUGUACAAACAGUGCCUACAUUGUGGGAAUGGUGCACCGGGCAAACAAAAACCCAGAUAAGCUGCAAAACUCGUGUGGUAGCCGGCCUGGGACAUGGGAGGGGGCCGAGUCUUUCAGAAACCCUUGGGUCAUUGAUCUUCAAGCUUACAUGGAUGGGAUUGUCUCGACGUUGCUUUAGGAAGUCUCGACAGUCGUGAAAGACGGCUUUCGAUCCUUCCACUCCUUCUGUAAGAAGGUGUCUUCCUCCACUCCUUCUGCUUCGGGUUGAAGCAGCUGGGUUGAGAGAAGUCUCAUGUUGGUCGCGAUUUCGAUGAGUAGCUCGCUCCUCAACAGGAAUACCCAUGUCGAGGGAAAAUGAGCCUCUGUGUUGGAGGCACCCAGUUGAUGGUUGACUUCCACAGGGGUGAUGAGCUCGUGUGUUUUAGUAUAUCUAGCCUCGUGGAGCAUCUCGAAGACCUUUUCAUACUGCUCUUGGAGGAUCUCAUUCUUCAUCGCUAUCUUGUUGUUCUGAGCCUCCAGCUCAUCGACUUUAGCCUGAAGAGCAAACUUCUUUUGUUCCUUCUUUCGUUGUUUCGCACCAGGUGUAAGAGGGGUGUCAUUCUGUGUGCCGUGGCUUCCUUCGCUCCCCAUGUUAGAGAGGGAUGCCUGGUCAAAAGAGAGAGUACGAAUGGUGGAAACCAGCUUGGCAAAGCUAAAGAGAGUGGGAAUAAGUGUCGUUCCCACAGACGGCGCCAAAUGUUGAUGCACAAAAUCAGUGAGGACUUUGGUACAACAGAAAGUGUUAAGUUUGUGUCCUUCGCUAGAUUGGUCCGGUCAUUAGUGUGGAUAAGUAUGUAAAUGGAUAGGGACAGGGAAGCAAACACAAGAUGUAUGUGGUUCACCCAGAUUGGCUAUGUCCAUGGAGUGGAAGAGUUCUCAUUAAUUGUGAAGGGUUUACACAAGUACAUAGGUUCAAGCUCUCCUUUAGUGAGUACAAGUGAAUGAUUUAGUACAAAUGACAUUAGGAAAUAUUGUGGGAGAAUGAUCUCCUUUUAUAGAAUAGUUUCUAGCUUUGUUCUGACAUUGACACGUGUCAUGCUGUGAUUGGCUUUUGAUGUUGACAUGUGUCGCAUUGUGAUUGGCCUCCUGGUUUGAGGGAAACUCUUCUGGGUCCUUGACAGUAUAACGUUGACAGGUGCUCAGUAGUUUCGGGAUUGGUCAAGUAUGGUACAAACAAAGUCACUGAAAACUUCGAAGGAGUCACCCAGACAUCCAACGACUUUUCUAAAUCAAAUCUCAGAGAUUCCCAAAACUAUCGUUCACAAAUACACUAAAAACUAAGGCUAGAGUGACACAGUUUGGCCAAAGCCUACAUAAGUAACCAAAUAAGAAGUGGCCCCCCCAUAGCGGAUUAAUCAAGUAGAGCCACUCCUGAGAAAGUAACCAAGUAGGUAGUGACCCCAUCACGAAUUAACCAAGCAGAGUCACUCCUACGAAACUGUUAGGUAGUGAUCACCCAUCGCGGAUUAACUAAGCAUGAUCACCCCUAAGUACGUAUGGCCAUACCUAAGAAAUAAGGAUCGCCCAUCGCGGAUUAACUAAGCAUGAUCACCCCUAAGUACGUAUGGCCAUACCUAAGAAAUAAGGAUCGCCCAUCGCGGAUUAACCAAGCACAAUCCAAAAAUAUUAUGGGUCCCCUAUCGCGGAUUAACCAAGCAGGACCAUCCAUGUACCACUGCUACAUGGUGCAGAUUCGGUGUCACCUAACCCCGUGACACUAGGGUAACGGUCCUCUACUAGCCCUCACGUUUUUCAAACAUUUCAAAUAUAUAAUUUAAAACACAAUUCAUAAACAUUUCGAAUAGGGAAGUCACAUAGUGUUUAAUAAUGUAGGUCAAUGGAAAACUUUAAAAACAAUUAUUUAGCAUAAAACAUAUUUUAGAAAUCCAUGCUGUAUCCACAAAGUAUACUAGCACGGGAGAUUUUCAGGGUAAUAACUCUAUCACAUAUAUUAAAGUCACUCACCUGGAGUCCGCACUAACGCACCCUAGCACGAAUAUCAAGAUGUCACGUACUAUCAUUUGUAACAUCCCACAUCAACCAACAGAGAGGGGGUGAUGUGUCUUAUAUGUACAUGCCCACCUCUAUAGCACGAGGCUUUUUGGGAGCUCAUUGGCUUCAUAUUCCAUCGGAACUCCAAAGUUAAGCGAGUUUGGGCGAUAGUAGUCCAAGGAUGGGUGACCCACUGGAAAGUUCUCGUGUGAGUUCCUAGAAACAAAACCGUGAAGGCGUGGCCAGGGGGGCCAAAGUGGACAAUAUUGUGUUACGACGGAAUUAAGACUGAGAUGUGACAGAAUGGUAUCAGAGCCGCUCUGCCGCGUGGUGCAAGUGUGCCGAAGAGGACAUCGAGCCCCUAAGGGGGGUGGAUUGUAACAUCCCACAUCGACCAACGAAGAGGGGGUGAUGUGCCUUAUAUGUACAUGCCCACCUUCAUUUAGCACGAGGUCUUUUGGGAGCUCACUGGUUCCGGGUUCCAUCGGAACUCCGAAGUUAAGCGAGUUCGAGCGAGAGCAUUCCCAUGAUGGGUGACCCACUGGGAAGUUCUUGUGUGAGUUCCCAGAAACAAAACUGUGAGAGCAUGGCCGGGGCCCAAAGCGGACAAUAUCGUGUUAUGGCGGAGCCGAGAUUGGGAUGUGACAUCGUCACCUAAGACAAAGUACAAGUCCACAUUUAGAGUUCUUCGAGUAUUCACAUAAUCAAAAAUUUACAUACGCACCCUACAACUAAUGAAGAGAAAUCGAGACACGUUGACAAAAAGUCAACCGUCGAUCAACGGUAGGGUCCACAACCCUACGUAACUUAAUCCGUAAGAUCCAGCCACUGUAUUUGUGAUUCAUAAGUUCCUAAGGUCCUCAAAUCUUACGUACAAUAACAUACUAAACUUUAGUGACGAUCUAAUGGUCGAAUCAUCAUUUACUAUAAUGUUCAAAUGACGCAAAUUCGUCAAUCGGAUGUCAAAUAUGGAAUCGGUCAUCGAAUUUAGCCUAGGAAGAUCAAGUGGUGUCUCAAGCCACGCACCACCAUGCGCAGCAGUUGGCAACCCAGAUUCGUCGAAAAAAUCACCUGAUUCCAAAAUGAAUGUCGUGAGACGUGGAGUAAAUUGUAUACCUGUGAGAAGCCCAAUUUGGCCAGGAAGUGGCCUGAAAUCACUUUAGACCGUCGGAAACCCUAAAAUAGGUGAAUCUCGAUUAGUCAUCUCUGGUAUUCCACCGUCCUCAAACUUGUUUAGGGUUCUCAAAAAAAUGCUAAUGAUGAUGGUGAUUGAAGGAGAACGUUUCAGAAAUAGUGAAUCGCCGGCGAGGGUUUCACGGAAUCGACAUGGGUGUUCCUCGUGGAACCAAGACCAAAUCUCAACGGUUUUGGCUAGAAAUGGAUGCUGGGAUGUCGUGGUGAGGUUUGGUAUUGAUGGGAGGUCGAAGAAAGUCAAAAAAAUCGACGAAAAAACUGUCGUCGGAGUCACAGGAAACGUGUUAGAAAAAUGAGUCGCCGAGUUUGAAACGGGUCGAAGGCUUUUGGGACAGCUACUUAAUCUCUCUUCUCUGAUUAGUCACUCCACUCACUCUCUCAUUUGAUUGGUCCAGCCUUCCCACAUGGUGGGAGUUCCCUCAUAUAGUAACCCAAAAUUUACUAUUUAAAUUUGGUAUCAAACGUCCGUAACUUUUUUGUUAUAGUUCCGAUUCACAAACGGCUUUCGCCUACGCGCUCGUAUGAUCGAAUUAUACUUGAAAACAUUAAUUGUGACCUUAAAAAGGUCUACAAGUUUUAAAAGAUUAAUUACAAAAAUUCACACCUUGUAACUAUACGAUUCAAAUUCUAAAAUUAACGGAAUUAAAAUAAACUAAAAAUAAUGUAAACACGAAAUACAGACUUUAAUAAUGAAAUACGUAAUUAAUAGUGGAAUUCUGGGGAUGGGAUUUCACACCUUGCGUCCGGACCUUGAGUGCGGAUCAGAAUCCAAAGGUCGUGAUCUGACGAGCUCAUGUAUAGAACAGAGUUGUUGUGACCCAAUGCAAUUCAAAACUUUUAUGUUUUUUUAUUUACUGGGUACGUUUUUGUAGGAGGAAAAGGGGAAGUCGAGGGAUUCUUUGCGCAAUAAAGAGGGAAAGAGAGAAAAGGGGAGCUAAGAGGUUCUUCGCGCGUUAAAUUUUUGCUUCUGAUUUUGCAACCUAGAAAUAAAGUAUUUUCUUUAUGGUUUAUGGUUCAAGAAUAUAAUGGAUGCAACCUAAAAAUGUUUAUUUUUUUAUUUUUUACUUUUUUUCUUCUUAUGUUGGCUUUUGGUUUAUUCUUAUAAUGCACUAUAUAUUAACUAAAUUUAUAAACAUUUUGUAUCUUUGUUGCAGUCAAAUUAAUCAUAUGGGUUGGCAUGACGAAGUUCGACUGAGACAUACAGAUGUUUUGCAAUCUUAAGUCUAACCUGACACACCCCGACCUCAAUAUCCAGUGGACACCAAAAUUGAGGUGUGAUGGCCAUCAUCCGGAUGGGUGACGAAACCAUUAUAUGCAUGAAAACAUAAUUACCCAAACACGUCUUAUUAAAAUAUUGAGUAAAUACCAUACAAGAUAGAAUACGUCAGAGCUGUUGCAAAAUACCUCAACGUCCGAUGUAAUCACUGAUAGAAUUACUGAAUCAUGUAUAAAUGGAAAGCUGAUAAAUACAUGUAAUUUGAGUGGAUACUUACCAGCAGCAUGGAUACAAUAUCAUCCACCAGUCGUAACUAGUGAAAGUUGGAUAAUAUAAUCAUGUCAUUGCCGAGUAAUCUCAAGGCAAUGACAAGAUGAGAAUGUAACUGAGUAAUCAUAUCAUUACUAAAUAAUCUCAAAGUAAUGACAAGCUAAGAGUAUAACCGUAUAAUCAUGUCAUUACCUCGUAAUCUCAAAAUAAUGAUAAGCUGAGAGUAUAACUGUAGUACCUCUUAUUAGUGCAAUGCAUGAUAUGAAUUCCAUCUCACAUAUAUAUGCAAGCCAUAAUCAAACCAAUAAACAUCCAACAAAAGCCACAAUCCUUUUAACAUUCGACCACAAGAUCAAUUUUCAUAUUUCCCAAACCUAGGUUCCAAAGCAUUGUUUCGAAUUAUUAAUACAAGAAACCACCACCACCUCAAUCAACUCCUAUUCACAAGUGUAAGCAAUUACUAAAUGCAUCACUUUCGACUCUAGUCUUAAUUAGAUUACUUGGGAUACUCACACCAUCAGAUCCAAGUACUAUUUUGAUAAACUUUAAAUAGCAUGGUUAAAAUAAAUGAAACACUUUUAGAAAAUAAGUGAAGAUGUUGUUUACAAAUAUAGAUGCAUCUGUAUAUAAAAGCUUUGGCGGUUGAUCCGUAUACACACUUCCAGAGAUAUAAGCAAGUUCAUUGGAAUAUACAUACAUAGUUAAUGUAUUACAAUAUAAUUAAUAAGAAAACAAUUGCAUCCCUUUCAGAUUAUAUAUAUAUAUAUAUAUAUAUAUAUAUAUAUAGACACACACAUACAUACACACAGGCCCUUUAUGCAAAGGAAUUUCCAUUUUUUUUCAAAAAUGGGGAUUAGUUGUGGGGCCCACGCUGCAUUGAACUUUAACGAUCCGAACAGUCUAUUUUGUAAGUCUCGAUUCAUAGAUCAUCCUUGUAAAAAUUCAAUUCAAUCCGAACCCAUUUGCCUAUUUAAUUAUCAAGAUAAAAUUUUAUUGUUUCUUAUAUAACAAAGUAUUCGUUAAUUUCUUUGAACUCAAUUAGAUAUCUUAAACAUUUCCGAUUUGGUUAAUAUUGUGUAAGGAUGAUCUAUGUGGUGCAACUUGAAAAAUAGACGAUUACGAUCGUUAAAGUUCGAUGUGGUGAGAACCCUACAAUUAAUCUUCAUUUUUAUAAAAGAAUGGGAACCCCUUCCCUUAAAGGUUUCCUAUGUAUAUAUUUGUUCUCCAGACAUAUGCAAAAGGUAAUGUAAAACCAAUGAGAACUUAAAUAGAUAUUCCAUACAUAGGACAAUUCCAUAUAUGCUUUUUCAACAUUUAUAUCGAAAAGCCAAAUUGUUUUGAGGAAAUUAAUUGUAGCAAUGAUCCCUUAACUUUUAUCUUAUUGGAGCAAUGGUCUCUCAACUAAAAAUUCAUAACCAUUGGUUCCUUAACUCCACACAACGUGUAGUUAUGGUCAUUUUCAUUAACUCCGUCAGAACUUUUGUUAAAACAAGUAAUGUUAGAAGAAUCAUUGCUACAAUUAAGUUAAAGUUGGGGACCAUUGCUCUAAUUAAAUUAAAAUUGAGGGAUCAUUUCUCCAAAUUGCUUAAAGUUCAAGGACCAUUUCUACAAUUUUCUCAUCUAGUUUCCCAUAUUUACCCCAUGAUUCAGCUUCACAUGCAUUGCACAUGACUCAUUUUGAAAUUUUUUUUAACGAAAUUGAUGAAAAUGACCAUAAAUGCACGUUUUGAAGAGUUAAGAGACCAAUGGUCGUGGAUUUUAGUUGAGGGAUCAUUGCUCCAAUUUAGUUAAAGUUAAGGGACCCUUGCUACAAUUUUCUCAAAUGUUUUGUAUGCGAAAAUAGGCAUUUGUAAAGUUUGGCUUGUUCAUGGCAUUAUUACUUUAGUCUAAAGUAAGGCUGGAAAUGGCACUGUAGAAAUGAAUAGUGUUCCAAUCCGAAUUUCAGUUUAAUUACAACAAUGCCAUUGCUCUUUGUGUUGCCUUUAGGUGAGCAGCCCGGCUUGCAGCCAGGCCCAAAUGUAUUGGUUUUAGCUGAGAAGCCCGGCCCUUAGUCAAGCCCAAAAUUUUAAAUUACAGUUUUGCCCAUACAAAAUAACAAUCCGAUUGUAUCGAGAAGGACAAUUUUGUCCUUUCAGUUUUGGGUGAGAUAGGGGGUAACAGGGUAAGUUUCAUUUGCUGUCGUUGAAUGAGGGUUUCGAGGAUGAGGGCUCUGUGUGUGUGGGUGUGUGAGAGAGAGAGAGAGAUAGAGAGAGAUAGAGAGGGAUAUGGCGAUGGAAGGAGAGCGAGGGGGAAGGGAAGGGUUCUCGGCACUGUUGCUGCAUGUGAAUUUCACAAGUGGGAGAGUGGGUAUGGUCAGAGAAGACCAUAUAGGUCGUUGGGAUUUCAGGGAAACGGGGUAGGGGUCAUGAAUGAACCCUGCUGAGAGUGGGUACUGGAUCUUGCGCUGCAUGCCUCAAAUCAAAGAUAAGUUCGUUUUUUUUAUUGUAUUUUUUAUGGUAGCUUAGCUUUUGGAAUUGUUUAGUAUGUUAGGUCCGAUUUUGGGGGAUUUAUCUUUUUAGAGAGAGAGAUGGACAGGGAGAUAGAGAUAGAGAGAGAGAGAGAGAGAGAGAGAGAGAGAGAGAUGAGGAAGCAUGACUGUGUGCAAUUUUUUAUGUUAAUUAAUGGGUUGGUGCGCAGGGUGAGUGACAGAGUGACAGAGUGAAGGAGGGACGUGUGGGAGGGUAUGAGUUUUCAGUUCUUUCUUUUGAUUCAACAGGUUAUACACUGUUUGAAAAACCUUUUUUUUAUUAUUUUGUUCUCGUUUGCUUUGUUAAAACCAUCAUUUGAAUUUUUGGGUUUCAUUGUGCUUAUUUCUCUGCUUCUUCAUAAUUUGCUGGUGUUUGCUUCUCAUCCCUCUGUUGGUAGAUCUUUUUCUCAUUUCUUGGUUCCUUAUGUAUUCUUUGGUACAAAUCUGUUUACUUUUUGGCUGUGUGAUAAUCUUAGCAGGUGAACUAUAUGAACGUUUUUUUGAAACGAGUUAAGAAGAUCCAGCUGAAAAGAGCAUACAAGAUAGAGAACUGGUAUGCUGCUCGCCAGGGAAAGGCUGCUGGAAAGGUUGAGACGGAUGCCUCUUUCAGAAACCAGGUCAGUUUCCUGCUGCUCGGCGUCUUAAUGUAUCCAAAUUGUUUAUCUUUUGAUGAAAUUAGCUGGCUAUAUUUUCUAUUUUAUUUAUCUGCAUAUUAUUUUGGUUUGUUGAAAUUUUGACUAUAGUCAUUGUCACAUGGGCGCCUAGCCCAACCCAAAUUAGUUGAGGAUAUUUAAAUCUUCACCAUGGUAUUAUAGUACUCACUCACAGUUGUGAAUACUAAGGUGCAUGCAUGGCAUGAAGAAGUGGACCGUGCACGCCAAGGUCAGAGGGAUGCAGAAGGCAAGCUUUUUUCUUUGGAGGUAAGUAUCCUUUGUUUAUUGCCCAACAGUGUUGUUAUUAUCAAUUUGUAGCUUUGCGUUCUGAAUUUUUUGCUUUGUCAAACAACCUUCUUGAAAUGCUCGAUUUCAAGCCGAAGUCCAAAAAAUGAAAGUUGAGAUGGCUUCCAUGAAGAGGGAUGUAGAGCAUUACUCGCGCUAGGUGAAAUCUGCUUCCUCUCUUUUCGUAUAUCUUCAUAUGAAGAGUUUUACUAAGUUAUAUUGAGAACUAUGUUAUUUAUAGGUUAUAUUUUCCAUUUUGCAGGAACACAUGGAGCUAAGGAAGAGCUAUCGUGAACUCACUGAUCUACUGGUAAUGUCACUCAAACUGCUUUAUUUGUGCAUGCUGCUACUAUGCGCUUGAAUGCAUUUUAUUACUGGCGGGAUGCGAAGAAAGCUAGAUAUAUGUGCUGGAUCGCUUGAUUAAUGUUAGGGUUUUAACAACUAAUUGUUAGCAGCUAGAAGCCCUGGUUAGAUUAAUGCUAAUUUGAUUUUCCUUACAGUACUUGAGUGCCAGUUUCAUAUUGUUUGUUCCCUGUUGGAUACCUGCUGUACAGUUUCAUUUCUGUUUCUUCAUAACUUUCUUGGCCCUGGGAUAUAUGCAUAUUGAGUACAAUGAAUAUCCAUUGUUCUCUAACUGUUGGGCUUUACUAUCUUUGUAGCAGCCUGCCUAACAUUUUUUAGGCUCUACACUCUACCAUCCAAUUUAUGAAAAAUUCAAAGAUUGGACGAUAUUGAUUGCAGAAAUGAAAAAAAUACUAUGAUAUUAGAAAGGUGAAUGUAAUUGUGUUAGAAUAAGCGUCUAGCAUGAUGGGUAAUAUUUUAAGUUUGUAUUUCUAAAAUUUUUUCGUUCUGGAGUAUGAUUUACCUCAAUUGUUUUGUACUUUAAUCUUUACUAAUUUUCAUUGUGGAGUAUGAUUUGCCUCAACUAACAACUUUUCAUUGUUUAACUUUUUCCUCCCUUAGAUAGUUGCAUAUGUUUGAUUUGUUAAUCUGCUUCUUACACAUGUUGUUUCCUAAUGGUGUAGGUGGGUUGUCGGAUGCAUGUGCAGAUUACUUGAAUAGACGAAGCUAAGAAUGACUUAGUAUUAAGUGAGACAGAAGCUUGGGUCAGUUGGAUUUUGACAUUUGAUUUAUUCAUGUUUUUUGUUGCUUGCAAUGUUCUCGCAUUGUUUGUUCUGAGAUUCUGUGAUCUUAUUUUUCAUAGGAACUGACAUUGGUUUGCCAUAUAAUGUUUCAGGAACUAAUACAACAACUAAUCACCUUGCUUAGCUCUCAAGACACAUACUUAACAGGUUAACAAACACUAACCUAUAAACUGAUCUGCUAAGCUGGACCAUUAACCUCUGUUUAUAUCCCUGCCACUCAUCUUUUGGCACUUAUCAAUAGCAAAAUCUAGAGUUGUUGAAACCCCAAUUUUAAUGAAUAUUAUUUUUAGUUGAUAAUUAAAAUUAAUUGAUGAUUAAUCUAUUCCAUUGUGCAUUAUUUUAUCGCCAAAUACUUUGAAUAUUCAUUAGCAAAAGAUAUAGGGUUCACUAUUUAAUGAAUAGAAUUUUGAUGGUGGAUUGCAUUUCCUGAGUUAUAAAUGUGGUGAAUCCAUUAUUUACUAGCUGAAUAAUCAUAAUGUUUUGGCCACUUACCUUGAAUUUUGUUCAAAUUGAAGAAGUCACAUGUUUCUUUCUGUUGUUGAGGUAAUCUCUCUGUUGAAAGCUUCUAUUUCUUUUUUUUUUUUCUUUUUUUCAUUUGGGUAGAUUUUUUUUUUUAUGGAUUUAUGUAUUUUUUUUCCAGAGAAUUCGAAAUGAAAUAAGAAUAGCGGAUUGAGCAUAAACAAAUUGAUGAAAUUUUUAUUUGAGUGUUUGUGUUAGUCCUUUUUUGAUUUGUUGAGGUUUGGAAUUAUUUGAGUUUUUUUGCUGUUAGUACUAUGAAGGAUGCUUGGCAAUCGCGAAAUGGGGGCUACCUCUUUGGAAAGAGAAGUCUCGCUAUCCAACCUCUCAUGAAUUACAAACAGGGUGAUUUCUUGCUGAAAAACCACUGAACCAGUAGAACUUUCCUCGGUUCUUCAAUUCGAUUCGAAUAAUUUUUUUACCCAGAAAAGCCAGCGUUUCCUGGUGGGUUUUACAGCUUUCUCAAUGUUUUUGUGAUUUUGGAUUUGCAAAUUUGUUUUCUGUUCAAAUUUCCUUUUGUGAUUUUGGAGGUUUUGUUUAUCGAUUCUCUCACUCAUCUCUCAGCUCUCUCUCACUUUUGAGGUACAUGCCGUUGGAUUCCGUUUGCUGCUGCUGAUCUGUAGGUAAAGCUUCAAUUACCAUAUAAAGUUUACAUUUUUCAUGAUUUCUUGAAUUUGGGUUUUAAACAAAGGAAAUAUUGCUAGAUUCUUAUCUUAUGUGCAAAUUACUGGCUAUUUGGAUUGGUGCCUGAGAUUUAGAGAAUGCCUCGCAGCUUUAAUUUCUUUUUCCUUCAUUAUUACUGUUUUCAAAAUUUUUAUUGCUGGGUAUUGAUAAUUUGUAGUAUGUGAGGGCUUCAAUAUGUUGGAAUUUUGAAUGGUUAUUGCUUCAUCGGAAUUUGGGUGGUCCAAAUUUUGAAUUAGAAGAAACCCAUUUGAUUAAUAUUUUUGGUGGAUUGGUUCUCUGUGUUUUCCUUGCUAUUUCUCCCCCAGUUGGAAAUUGGAAGCCCCAACUUUGAGCUCAGAGCUUGAAUUUCUCAAUCGUUCGUUUCUCUGCACUCUCAUCAAUCACUCUUGAUCCUCUAUCUAAAGAACUGGGUAAUUUUCCAGCUCUAUCAAGUAAUACUCCAUUUAAUUGCUUAAUUGAGGUUUUUUGUUUCUCUUUUUCGCUCUUUCAUCAGUUCAUUGACUUUGAUGUUGAGCUUAAGUAAAUGGGAGAUCAUUAAUUGGCAUUGUUCAAGAUAUAAUUCUGUGUUUUUGGAUUUGUGAAACGAUUUGCCUAAUGAUGAUAGUGGUUAAAAUAAAUUUUUCGUUAUGAAGAGAACAUUGUUCUUCAUUUGCCUACGGUUUUAACUACAAAGUUAAACUACUAUGCUUUUGUUCAAUUGACUGCAACUCAUGCCGCAGUUUGCUUCACAAACCUCUACGGUUAGCUUCCAUACAGUAUGUUGCAAGUUUGAGGAUAUCUUUACAUCUUAAUUUUUGCUCUCUCUGGUUGCUUCAAGUUUGUAAUUUUACGUGUUACAUUGCUACUUGAUUUGAUUAUAAAAAUGCAAAACAAAAUCCGUUUUGCUUUUAUUCAACUUAAAUGUAUCCUUUUGUUUGUUCAUAAUUGUGUUGAAUUUAUUCAACUUAAAUGUGUUUUAUUCAUCUAUUUACGCUUAAAACAACUGGUUCCCCUAGCAAUGCGCGGGCCUAAUUUCUAGUACAUAUACUAAAAGCCAGCAGAAAAUUACUGUUCAUCAUGGGAGAUAGAGCACUGUUCAUUAACAGUGAAAGGGCGAAAAUGCCCUCGGUUUCUUCUUUACUUCACGUACUGUUUACGAAUUGCUACAGUAUAAAGUCCGUUUUGUCCUUCCUGUCCACACAUCUUUCAUCGUCCGUUUCUCUUGCUUCGACCGUAUCUUUUUUGCUUUACCUUUCCUCUUCAUUUUUCGCAUUCGUUAGGCUGCGAUUUUCGGAGGUGGAUUGUUUGCCCUCCCAUUUCCAUGCUCUCCCCAUGCCUAUGUGGUCACAGUUAAACCACGUCAAUAUUUUAUAUUAAUUUUUUAUAAAAAUAAUAAAACAAAAAGUAAUAAGAAUAUAAAAUAUUGACGUGGCUUAACGUGGUCCGUGAUCACAGUAGGCAUGGAAAUGGUCCGCGACUUUCUCCCUUUUCGCCAGCCCCUCUUUUGCUCUCAAAUCCUUGCUCUUUCUUUUGCAAAAUAGUCUCAGAAGAGAUCCUGGGUUUAUCGAAUCCUUUGUUGUUCGGCGUUUUGUUCUCAUCUUGUGAUCGUCGGGUCAGCAGCUUUAAGGUAAGUUUGUUUUUAAUGAUUUAUCCUCAUUUUACGAUGUCUGGGCUAACAAAUUUAAGAUCUUUAUUUUUCUUUUUGCUGCGGAUCUGCAGGUUUUGACAAGUUUUUUGUGAAAUUGGUGCUGUCAGUGGGUGUUAACAUCAGGUACCCAUGUUCAGUUUUUCGUUUUGAUUUGAAGGAAUUUCUUGCGCAGAAGUGCUAGGGUUUCUUGGUGAGUUCUUCGGGUUGUGCAUAUGGGUAAUUUUCUUUUCGGUUUAACCCGCUGCUUCUGCUGCUCUCUCUCUUUCUCUCAUCCCUGCCUGCUCCUCUCCAAUUGUUUGCUGUUCUUAAAUAUUGUGUUCAUUGCCUGAUACAAGGAGCUGCAGCAAUCUGUUUUAUCCUACACGGGACAACGAGGCAAUGGCGUGACAACAGGUGAGCUUGGAUAUCCAAAGAAAGAGAACAGUUGGUUCAUCUGCUGGAGUCUGAAGCUCAGAGAAGUGGAGGAAAAUUGCAGGUGUGCGAGAAAUUUUAUUUUGCUGAUAGGACUCCUUAUUUACGGAUGCAUUUUGAAAUAAUUGAAAAGUUGGAUUUGAGUUAACAGCUAUAAAAAUGUAGACAUGAUUGCUGAGAUUAUGCUAUGAAAGUGGAAUAAAAAAAUGGUAGUUUAUAAUAUUGCGUACCAAUUUUUUUCUCUCUUUUUUACCAAAUGAUAAGGGUGGUGGCUCAGGCCGCCCCCCCUACGCGUCCCCACUCUUCGACAAGUUGAAAUCAUGGUGAUAGUUUAUGGGCUGUGGUCUUGGGAUUCUGCAAAUAGAUUAAAAAACAGACACUUAACUAUCUUGUUAUUAAACAUUUCUGCAUCAUUCAGUUGCUCUUGAUUUUCGUCUUUUAAGCGAUCUUAUUUCUGCGAUCUGACUUGAGGAGGGUUUUUAGACCUAUGGUUGUGGGUGUUUUGUCUGACCCCAUUAAAUUGGUUUCCGAGAUUUGUAGACUUGCGAUCGGCAGUCAAACAUUUUGUGAUUCUUGCUUUUUUUCCGACUGGGAUUGACGAAUUUUGGCCGAAUCUGUUUCCUGUUUUCUUCUCUGUUUGAGCGGCCGCUGCCUUUCGGUCGUUGAGCGCCGGCAGUCUUUAGAUCUUUGGCAAAUCAAUUUAAUACAACCGAGGUAUGUUUUAUAACUGCUGUCUUUCAAUUUUUGUUCUGUAUUUUUGUUAAUUUGGAUGAAGCUCUAAUAAUUUUGUUUUGGAUCAGUUGUGGUCCUCUGUUAGGAUUUUCCUGGCUAAGAGGGUAUUUGCGUUUUUGUUGCUUGGUUGGUCGAUCACAGAUUUACGAACAGCUGUGGUGGUCCUGUUAUUUUUUUGGUAUGUUUUUUCUCCUUUUUGGUUUUUUCCCGGUUUGAGCACCCAUUCAUGAAGAAUUAAAAUGUGUUUAUAGUUUUUCAGGAGAGAUUAGAAAAGUGAUUUCAAUUUGGGAAAAUUUAAUGUUGGUUAAAAUUUGUCUAUAAUUUUUGGGAAGGAAUGAGAGGACCCAUUGAAGUAUGUGUUGUGAUUAUUUUUUAUUCAUAUUUUUAACAAAUUGGGCAUGAAUUGGUAGGUUAACUGUGUGUGUUUAUUAUUUGAAUCGGCCAUGUUUGUCUUUCUAUGGUUCUAAAAAAUUUGUAAAGGCUGUUAACUUGGAAGAAAAUGGGAUCGAGGGUGAGGGGAAAACGGCAGAGAAAGCAUGGAAGAGAGAUUUGGGAUUAGGGGUAGGAAAACAGAUGAAAAGAAUAUGAUAGAGGAAUGAGUUCAGUUCAUUUUCACUAUUUUUUUUAACUGAUUUGGAUUUUGUUUGGGUUUGAGGCCAUCAUUGGCGUUAAGACGUUUAUUAUCAGAUCGUGUGUGUUUUUUGCUAACUUUUAUUGGUCAUUUUUAUGUUGUUCUUAUGAUUUUGUGUGGUAGGGUUUCUGAAUUUUAUCGUUAUUCAUUUGGUUUUUUGUGUGUGUUGGUUUGUUUAUUUUGCAGGUUGUGUUUGUGCUGGGACAACAUUUUCCACCUUCUGUUUGCACUGGGAUGAUUGCGUUUUAAAACUGUUGGGGUGAGAUUUACAUAUGGAAUCAUUCCAUUUUUUUUCUUCCAAAUAUGUGCAUUUAGUUCUUUUUAUUUUAAAUUUUAAAAAUUAAAUCGUUAUUUGAGUAAAAUGUUUUAUUAAUUUAUGUUAUGUGUUGUGAUCAGGAAUUCUGUUGGAUUUGCAAAUUUUGGUUUGAUGAGAGAGAUGAGGAGUUUUUUUUGUUUGAAUUUUUUAUUGGACCGAUUUUCAAUUGGAUUGCAUUCUGCCUUUUUGCACCAUUCUUAUGCAAGCAAUUCAUUGUUUUAAAUACAAUUUGAAGAGAGCUGGGUUGCGGGUUGGAUAUAAAAUGUUAAGGUGAGAUAAAAUCGAGAUACCAAGGGUGGAAGAAUGAUUCAGAAUUGGGGGAGGAAAACAGAGGGAAGAUGGAAGAGUAUAAGAGAAGGAUAGGGUUGACCUCAUUUAGAGUUUUUAUUUACUUUUUUUUUUAUUAUUUAUAAAUUGAUUCAGGACUAGCAUAUCAUUUCUAAAUUUCUAACAUUUUUGUUUAAUUUGACUCCAGUUGAUGGAAAACAGAGCUCUUACUCCUAUCAAUCAGUUGGUCCCGUACAUAAAUGCAGAAAAAUCAAGGUUCGAGUUUGCAGAGUAUGCAGACCAAGGUUUCCUGAAACUACUGGUGCUGUCACGCCCCAAUCCCGACCUAUGUCCAGGAUCGACACGUGACGUUAACAAAUACCCAUAUCUCUAACAUACCCCGCCUCCGGAAUAUGGGCAAAGCACAACUGCGUAAUAAUUUUUCGUAUACUUUAUGGCUGCAUCUAACAUCCUCGUUAGAUUAUCAUACCUUAUGGCUACAUCUAACAUCCUUGUUAGACUGCCUACGUACUCUCAAAAGGGAUCAAACCAUUCGUAGUUCACCACACUCCAAUCCACAAAAAUUUGCACAUGCACUGAUUAUAAAAUGGAACUGCACCUAUAGAAACCUAAUCAUAACCCGUGGGCGAUUUGCUCCCACAUAAGAAAGACGUCCACAGUACCAUGAAAUACUUCCACAUCUUUCCUUCCCAUUUACACAAUAUUUUAUUUCACCUCCCUGAUAAAUAUAGCAUUUACAUUACAUGUGGCAGACAAAUUUGCAUAUUCAACUAUAAUAAAAUACAAUCUUAGUAGGAAAAACCUACAAGACCACCACUCGUUUGAGCCAAACUUUAGCUUAGCACUCAACUGGUGCUCACACCAUGUGAGUGCACGAUCCUUUAAGAUGGAUGCGAUGGUUCUCUUUUGAGAUUAAUUUUGUUACAGGUAUAACAUAGUUGGCAACCGUUUAGAAAUAGAUGCCUCAUGUUCAAAACUCUCAUUACCAAAUGUUCUAACAAGUUAGUAGAGAAGGUAAAAGAACCCAAAUGGCGAGAAAUAGUGUCCUGAUGAAACAAAAGAUGUAACCCUCAUUCAAGCACGAACAUCAUUUCCUUGAGAAUCUGCGAUUUCUUCCCUCAUUUGGUCAAUAUAGCUUGUAUUCCAACUGCAACUUACUAAUAGCAUUUGUUCUCUCCUCGAAUGAAACCAUAACCAGCCAUUUUAAAUAAAGCUGAACAGUUUCACGUUGGGAAAAUAAAGAUUAUAACAUACAGGUUUUGGAUUAGAUUCCCAAACCAACAGAAAAUUAAGAUAGGAAUCUAUUUUGGGUUAACUGAGGUAUGAGUGGUAUACAAAUGAGAAAUUCCCUACAAAAGUCAAUAAAACCAGUUACAUAACAUGUUGAAUAUAAUACAACAUGAAAUAAGAAGCACCACUUGUUUAUCUGACUUUUUAUACAUGUAUUUUCCUAAGGGAUAAAAACGUGCGGGUUUUGGGAUCAAUCUGAAGAGGGCUUCACCACGAAUACAUAGCCUUUGACCGUGCAUGAUUUCGUUGCCGUAUGAGAAAGUUAUCAUUUUUUUUUUUUGUGAAGAAGAAUUAAGGGGGAGAAGAACAGCUGCCCCCUCUGUUUCUGCAUCUGCCCAGCGGGGAAAGAAAAAGAAGAGAAGCCCUUGGCUUCUAGAAUACUCCCUCCCCAAAAUUACAAUUUUGCUCUCUAACUUUGAUUGUUUAUAUCUUAUUCGUUAUAACUCUGUUUCACGAACAGCUUUUGCUUACAUGCUCACAUAGUCGUCAUCUAUUUAAAUAUAUCAAGAAAUACAAUAAAAUACAUCCUCGUAUAAGUAUGUUAACCAAUUAGGGCACUUUCGUCAUUUCCACUUAUCGAUAGAUUUUAACACGUUAAUUAUAAUAAUGUCCGGAAACAGCUUUAAAAUUUCCAAAUUCUAUUUCCAUAACCAUAAAUCGAUUUAUUAAUUUUUCAGGGUAUCACAGGUGCAUAUUCAGGCUUGCAUUGUAUAUUACUUUCCUAUUAAAAAUUUGUUUGGAAUUUGCUUUUCCCACAAAGGAGAAGAGCUGACAGUUACGCUGUGGGCAGAUGUUGCUCGAAGUAUUGCUUCUUUAUCCAUUGAAUCAUUGUCUCUGCCGAUCUUUGCGGUUUUCACAAGUUUAAAGGUCAAGCUGUACCUAGGUGUUUGACUUAAUUAAAAACUAAUCUAUUUAUUUCGGAGGCGGAGCAAAAUGCUAUCUGUCUUACCCCUCUUGGUGAUCUUAGUCGGAAAGAUCGGCUAGUUUGGGAUGUGAGUAAGAAUGGGCAGUACUCGGUUCGAUCGGGCUAUCAUUGGCUGCAAUCUAGGUCUGUUGGGUUCAGGGAUCAACGCCAGCUUGGUGCUUGCUUAGUUCCGAGGCAUUUGUGGCGCAUGGUUUGGUAGUUGAGUGGGCCUCAUAAGCUCCGUCAUUUCUUUUGGUUAUCUUUGCAUAAUGCAUUACCGUCAUUUCUUUUGGUCCGUGACCAGGCAUGAGGAGAGCAUGGAAAUGAGAGGGCAGACAAUCCACCUCCGCGACUUUCUCCCUUUUCGCCAGCCCCUCUUUUGCUCUCAAAUCCUUGCUCUUUCUUUUGCAAAAUAGUCUCAGAAGAGAUCCUGGGUUUAUCGAAUCCUUUGUUGUUCGGCGUUUUGUUCUCAUCUUGCGAUCGUCGGGGUAGCAGCUUUAAGGUAAGUUUGUUUUUAAUGAUUUAUCCUCAUUUUACUAAACUAUUUAUGGUAACUUAGUAUGGUAACUUAACUAAGUAAGUUUGCUUUUAGCCCAAGGGUUGGAGAUGGUCUUAGUAUGGUAACUUAACUAUUUAAUUCCAUCUCAUUAAACUAAAAAAAACAAUUACAUAAAAAUAAGGGAAACCUUGUCCAGAGAGACCUGAGAAAGUCCACCCCUAAGGACUUUGCGCCAGCACCCAGCGUAUUUAUCUACUCAAGUGAACAGUAAUAGACUGGAGUGAACAGUAAUAGGCCAAGGCAUCUCCACCCCUAAAAAAAUGCGCUGGCACCCAGUGCAUUUAUUUGGUGUGUUUUUUUUUUAAAGUUUAUUUCAGAUAAGAUUUUUAACCAAUUUCGGAUAAAAUUUCAAAUAAACUUAAAAAAAAACACUCUAAAAUAAAAUUACAUACUCAUCAAAUAAACUUAAAAAAACACACUAAAAUAAAAUUACAUAAACUCAUCAAAUAAAUUAAGGAUGAGCUUUUUGGUAUUUUUUUUUCACACAAAAAGUAUAUGAAAGCUUUGGUAGAAGGUCUAGAAAAUAUUGAAAUGUGGUGUAAGGUGGAAGAUGAGGGUUAGGUAUUUAUAGAAAAAAAAUAAUAACUUUUUUAAAAUUUUACUGUAUUUUAAAAAAAAAUCUGUAUUUUUUUAUAUUUUUAAUUAAUUUUAAUGUAGUUAAUUAAUUUGGACCGUUGGAUUUGAAAAAUAUUCAAAUCCAAUAGCCCAGGAUCGGCCACGUGGCCAACGCCAGCAAAUGGCCCAGCUUCUUGGUCAGCCUGUUUUGUGCUGGCCCAGAGACCAGUUUGGGCUGGGUGCCAGUCUGUUUUGUGGGCUGGAGUGAAUGGACAGGGUCCCAGCCUGUUUUUUGUGCUGAGUGCUGGCCUAAUCCACCACCGGUGGACUUGCUCUGAGAGAAAGUGACGACUUCUCCUCUCAUUCCACUCCAUACUUGAUCUCUAAAGUCCAUUUGGCAUGUAAUUGAUGUUCAAUUUCAAAUUUAGUGGUAGCAAUUAGCAAAGCUAAUGAAAGAAUCAAAUAAAAUGAAAGAAAAAGCAUCAUGAAAUAAAUCAAGAUGAAGAAUGAAAUUUUGGCAACUCGCCAUUCUCUUCUUUUAUAUAAAAGAUACAUCCUAUUUGUAGUGAAAACAGGUCCCGACAAACCCAGUUAUCCUCAAGAAGUAUUUUGUAUGACUUUAAAAACAUAAUCCGUGAAAUUAUCUCUUGGCUGAGAACAACAACAAAUCUUCAUGCAUAGCUUGUACAGAAAGACAUCAGGCAUACAAAAGAACACGCAAGCAUAAAAUAAACGACGCAGGGAAAACCAAAAAUACUAUAGAACACGUCGCUGUCAAAAGAACAUGAAUAAAUGAAAAUUACAAAACAAAGAAGUGAUGAGAAACCAAAGUACCCAUUUCAUAAUCUAGUUGCUUUUUAGUUUGCUUGCCAUUUUUAGUUCUUCAAUUUAGAGAGAAACGAUAAUUCAGCACAUGAAUAAAGUGAAAACGUAAAAGAUAUGUGGGAUAAGCUGACAGCCAUCCCUGAGUAAUGCAUUCACUUAUGAACCCCAAACACAACGAAACAAAAAUUCACACAUGAACUACAGCUCCGCUAUGUAACAAGAAUUAAAAGCAUCUCAAGACAAAAUGGCAAACUAUAAGAGCACUGUAAAAGUAAAAUUGCAAGAAAUCUAAUACUUGGAGGGCAAGUACUACUCAGACGAAAAUGAAAGAUUGAACUACCUCGCGUGGAACUGUGCCUUGGUUUUUUCCCAUGCUUACAGGAAGCUUUGCACUGAGCUCUUAUAGCCCAAAUUUUCUCUGAAAGAAAAAAACACAAUUUUGAAAUAAGAUUUUCAUAUUAUACCUUAAAGAGAAGAAUUAGAAAACAAAAAAGAGAACAAUGAGUACUAUUCAUCAUAUAUUGUUAGAGUGUGUGGUCCUUUGGUCCAAUGGUCCUGCAGCCAUAUUUACUUUAUAACUCUUUCUUUUAGUCUAAAAAACAUCUUGGAUCUCAAAUUAAUAUGAAUACGGAUUCAUACGCAUGCAUUGCAUUACAACCACAAUGCAAUAUCUCAUUAGAAAUCCCCACACAAAAUUUUUUUAUUUCUACUUUGAUUUUAGUUUAUAUUUUUUCUAAAGCACGAGGGAGCUAAUUUUUUUUUAAAUUUUUUUUAUUCCAAUAAUGUUAUAGGGUUGAAAGGAUAUUAUCAAUUUAAUUGAUUGUAUUUGAUUGGUGGAACUUCUAUAUCUAUAUUUCAGUUUUUCAAAUUCAGCACUGGGAGAGUCAUUCAUAAAAUGUUUGACAGUGAGAUUACCUCCAUGGAUUAUGCUCACAAUGGACAGCUCAUUUUCCGCAGUGAUGGGACAAUAUAUUUCAGUCAUUCGCCAUUCAAUCAAUUCAAACCGAGGAACAAGCAACAUCAAGAAGAGGAUCUGCCAUGUCAGGAUCACUGUCGUCCAAUUAAUACAAAAAAUCUAGAUAAAAACGAUCAAUUUACAUAAAAGCCUUUCAUUUUCUCAGCAACCAAGCAAAAGAAAAUACCUAUCCGUUAACACUCGAUUUGGGAGUAAAUGUUGCUGAAACUGGACUUCAAUCCCCUCAACCGCAACAACCGAAUCGAGGUGUGCAAGUCAUUGAAAAACUCACCCAAGAUUUCAAAAUCUGCAUAAAUAAAUAAAUAAGCACAUAAAUUAGCCAACCCUGUUAUGAUCCCACAUCGGGUACACAAGAAAUUGUGUAGUGGUACUUAAGUGCAAGGGGUCCUCCCACCUAUUGGACUAGUUUUUUGGAUUGGGCUCUUCCCUUGGGCUUGAGUACCUAACAUUGGUAUCAGAGCCUAGGUUCCCGACGCUGCGGGACUUGGCGAGUGGUGCAGCCUCGUGGUGCCGCCUUGAGAGUAUGGGCUCCUAAGGGUCUUGGCGACGGGCAAGGUAUGAAAUGCCGAUAUUAUCGCGAUAUUUCGCCGAUAAUAUCGGUUUUUUGAGUUACCGAUAUUUUAAUACUUAUCCACUGAGUUUUCGUCAAAAUAUCGCGAUAAUAUCAACAAUAUCGCGAUAUUACCGAUAAUAUCGCGAUAUUUUGGAGAUGUGCGAAUCGGAGAAGAACGCCGGAGCUUUUACAGCUCCGGCCGACUGUAAAAGAGCACCCUAGACUCCGAUCUAGGUAUCAAAAUGAAAUACAAGAUGAGAGGAAUGUUUUUAUAACUUCCGUUUGCCGUGAAACGGUCGAAGGUGUUCGGAAAGUUCGUCGACACCCACGGCCUCGCCAGAGAUGGGUGUGCCUAUUCCCGAGCCGAUUUCGUCCCAAAAACCUUGCAAAAACACGAGAUAGAACUUAAAUUUCACGUCUAAGCUUCAAUCUAGAAUAGAAUGAGGUAAACCCGAAGCUUACCUAACCGGAGAAAUUCAAGAAACUCGUCGGAGGGUUCCUGCGUCGCCGAGUUGCAGAGACGAGAAGGAGAGGGAGAAAGACGAGGUUGCUGAUGACGAUGGGUGUCUUCCUCAAGCAAGUGCGAUGGUGUGCGUGUGUGUAUGUGGGUCUCGGUGCAGAGAGAAAGGAGAGAGAUGAGAGUUUCGAGAGAGAGACGGCACCGACGAGAGCUAUUUGUUUUUUUUUAUCUUAAAAAGAGAGAGGUCUAAGAGAAAUGGGAAGAGAGGGCCGAGUGAAAUGAAAGGAGGUCCUUGAAUUAUUGAGAGAUAUCUCUGAGAGAGGCCUAGGAUUUCUAAAAGGUAAUCAUAAAUGGGAAAAAUGGGGCACAUCUUAGCCUUUAUUUUGGAAUCCUAAGAAGUUCACCACAUGGAUGCAUGACAUGUGUGCAUGCCAUGUUUGUUGAAUGGGAAAAGUCUGACACGGAAAGACAAAGAGUCGUUUGGGGCUCUGGGCUCGAGGCAAGACAGAAAGUGCUAGGGUUUUUUUCUGAAAUGAACAUAAGCUGCUAAAUUCGCAUAUAUUAUAGUUGUUGCUAAAGAUUGUCACUAGUGUGGACUUGGACGUGUUGGUCAACAUGUCCUCACAAUCCCCAAGUUCUCUGGUUCGAACCCUUGCGCCCAUCAAAUUUUCUUUCUUUUUGAUGCGCUUUUCCCAUGGCUCUAGGUCUUGAUUUCGAAUCCAAGUGAGCCCUUUCCUUUUUCUUUUUUGUUCUUUUUGUUUUAUUAUUUGUUUAUUUUAAUUUAUUUGUUUCUUUUAUGUUUUUCUUUUCUUUUAGUUUCUUUGUCUUAGGCGUUCGUUUUUAUUAAAGUAGGAUGUAAAAUCAAUUAUCUUAAAAUUAUGUGUUUUUAAAUUUUGGACUUGUUUGUUGGAUACUUUUUUUUCAUUUUAUCAUUCUUUUAUUAUGAAAAUAUGCUAAAAUAUGCUAAAAUAUCACUUAUGUUUUUGUGAAAAUAUGCUAAAAUAUUUAUAUAUAUGAUUUUGUUUUGAAUUCUUUUUGUACUAAUUCAUUAUAUAUAAAUGAUUAUGGUGUGUUUAAACUUCUUUAAUUAAUUACUACAUAUUUUCUAUACUCACAAUGUUUGCCAGCUCGCUAUAUAAUCAACUUAAAUCAGUUAAAUCCAUCAUGCAAUGCAUUUCCUUCCAAUUUUUUGUGAUAAACUUGUGAACACGGAAAAUUCCUGAAACGAAAGAGACAAGAACGAACGUGCACAAACAAAUAUUAUGUAUUUGAUGAUUUUGGGUUACAAUCUCUCUCUAUUUGAUCCUCUGAUUCAAUCUCCGUAAGGUGUGUAUUUGUGGAUGUGUGAUUGAUCCAAAGGGCCGUUGGGCUUGAUCUAAUGAUGAACGUUCUUCAAGGGCCGUGGACUUGAUCUUGAAGGUGGAUUUGAGCGGAUCUUCAAAGGGGCUUUUGGGCUUGAUCUUGAAGAACGGUUGGAUGUGUGGAUUUGUCGAAGUUGUUGAUCCAAAGGGCCGUUGGGGCUUGAUCUUGGAUGAACGGAUGAUGAACGAUGGUGCUUUCUUCAAGGGUCGUCGGGGCUUGAUCUUGAAUUGGUGGAUGGUUGAUCCAAGGGCCGUCGGGGCUUGAUCUUGGAAGAACGAUGAACGAAGAACGAAGAACACUUUCUUCAAGGGCCGUCGGGGCUUGAUCUUGAAUUGGUGGAUGAUUGUUGAUCCAAAGGGCCGUUGGGGCUUGAUCUUGGAAGAACGAUGAACGAAGAACAAAGAACGCUUUCUUCAAGGGCCGUCGGGGCUUGAUCUUGAAGGUGGAUGAUUGUUGAUCCAAAGGCUGUCGAGGCUUGAUCUUGGAAGAACGAUGAACGAAGAACACUUUCUUGAUUCUUCGGGAACCUGGACGCUUGAGAGCUUCGGAGUUUCAGAGCUUCAGAGCUUCAAGGUGUAAUAUGAAUUGGUCCCCCCUAAAUGAAUGAAAUGGGCUUGUAUUUAUAGAAUUUUCCAAGGCCUAAUUUUGAAUAUAAUAUCUCAGAUGAAAUAAGUCGUUUCUGCCAGGUGUUAACACGUGUCCUAUUUGAUGACUUUUCCAACUCAUUUCAAUUUUCGUUUAGUCACACGCUACGUGUAAAAUUUAUGUAAUACAUGAGCGUUGACACUUUGAUUUAUCGGUCAACAUUUAUUUACCGAAAUUUCGAUGUCUACAAAUGCCCCCACUUCAAGGCACGUCGUAUACCUGUGCUUGUCACGUGUAGGAGAUGCGUUUUGAAGUCCCUUACCGUAGAUGCCGAUUCAAGGGCCGUUGAAGCUUGAUCUUGAAUUGGGCUUGAGAUUUCUUCAAGGGCCGUUGAGGCUUGAUCUUGAAUUUUUGUUUGAAAUUUCUUCAGGGGCCGUCGAGGCUUGAUCUUGAAGGUUGAAAUUGGGCCACAAGGAGCUUCAUGUGGUAGAUGAUCUUUGGCUUUGGUAGUGGAUGAAUCGGCACGUAUUUUAUUGCGCUUGUUGACUUUCCACAGCUUUGAUCUUGAACUGGGUUGGAGGAUUUUCUGGAUUCCUCCAAUUGUUGAUUUUCCACAGCUUAUUCUUGAACUAGGUUUUGAUUCAAGGGUGGUAGACACUUGAUCUUGAAUCGGACUUGUGAUUUCCUCGAUGGCCGUCGAGGCUUGAUCUUGAAUUUGGUUGGAAACUUCUUCAAGGGCCGUCGAGGCUUGAUUCUUGAAGGUUGACUCGAACAUAUGGCAAGCAGGCACGAGGUGAAGGUGACGACUUGUUGCUUUGUUCAAUCUUUCUAAUUCACACCUGAGCAGUUUGGUCAACGGUAUGAUCCUCAAGAUUGAUGGGCUCUUCUUCCAGUUGGUGACUUGAUCUUUAAGGAUUUGAUUCAAGGGUGGUGAAUCGGCACGUGCAGCCCACAACGCCUAGUAAGCCGACCCAAGAAUUUGAGGGUCAAAACGGAUUCACCGUCAGAGUGAUUGCAACUUUGAUGAUAUGAGAUACUCUUGCUUUUGAAGAAGUAGUGGAUGAAUCAGCACGUGCUUUGUUGCGCUUGUCUCCACAUGCUUCAAGGUAUCAUCUUUAUUUCCUUUAUCUAUUCCUCAGGCAGAUGUGGCAUCUUCUCGAGUUCUUCAUCUCAGACUCUUUCUGCUGAGUUGACUGUUCAUGCUGCAUUCUUCUCUGCUUGUUCAUUCUGCACGUUGUCUCCACAUGCUGCAAGGUAUCAUUUUCACUUGCCUUAUCUGUUCUCCGGGCAAAUGUGGCAGCUUCUUUGAAAGUACAGUAGCAGCGGGAGGCGAGUACUCGAGAGCAGUGCUAGGUAGGCAAUCAGGGAAGGGUUCCAAGCAGUCGGUUCCUUACCCGAGUUUGAGUGGAAGUUCCGGCAUAUUGUUUUUUUUAUCCUUGUCUUUGUAGGUAAGAACAAGGACAAAGGAAAGGACAGGGAGAACGCAUGAUAUGAGAUACUCUUGCUUUCUACCCUGGUGAUAUGAGAUACUUUUGCUUUGGAGUCAUUGGCUUGCAGAGGUACCCCAAGGAAUAAGGAACACUGAAUGACUCGAGAGGCUUCGUUGGGAAAACAUCUUUGGAGAUGAAGAAAGACUUUGUGUGUCUGCCUUGCUAUGGAAGGCGAAGGUAGACAAUUAUAGGAAGUUCUUUGAUACCUGUAGAUGUACUAUUCUUUCACUCGUGUCGGCAACCAAUGCGUGAUUGAUCUAUAUGGCUUCACGUGCUUCCUUCUUUAUCAGAAAUCUUCGACAAACUGUCCGUAAUUUCCGCCAAGCUGAGUGUGCAUGUGAUAGGUGUUGACGCGGCUGAAAAAGACUGGCGCUUAUUCGAUAACUGGGAUCUGCGCUUCGACAAAUUACCCGUGAUUUCCGCAAAGCUGAGUUUGCGUGUGAUGGGUGCUGACGUGUCUGGAAAAGACUGGCGUCUCUUCGAUGUCUGGGAUCGGCACUUCGACAAAUUGCCCGUGAUUUUCGCAAAGCUGAGCUUGCGUGUGACGGGUGCUGACGCGUCUGGAAAAGCAAGAUGCUUCUUCGAUUUCUGAGCUUGCCUCUUCGAUUUUUGAAUGGCCUCUUCGAAUUCUGAGCUCGCCUCUUCGAUCUCUGAAAUCCCGUCGAGUGUUGAUUUUUUAUAGAGGCAUGCUGUUCGUUUCAAAGCACACUUGAAUUUUACUUGUGAAAACUCCCUUCUUGCACUUCUAAGAUCUUGAUUCGUCUGACCUCUUCUUCCUUCAACACUUUGAAAAUGUCUGGACCCUCCGACCGUCGUUUUGAUUUGAACUUUGGUGAAGAUGUAGUCCCGUCUUCUCCAGAUAACAUAUGGCGCCCAUCCUUCAUAUCCCCUACUGGUCCUCUUACUGUUGGGGAUUCGGUGGUGAAGAAUGAUAUGACCGCUGCGGUGGUGGCCCGAAACCUUGUCACUCCCAGAGAUAACAGACUACUUUCCAAACGGUCUGAUGAGUUGGCUGUUAAGGAUUCUCUGGCUCUCAGUGUGCAGUGUGCGGGUUCUGUGUCCAACAUGGCCCAACGCCUAUUUGCUCGAACCCGUCAAGUUGAAUCGUUGGCGGCUGAAGUGAUGAGUCUUAAACAGGAGAUUAGAGGGCUCAAGCAUGAGAAUAAACAGUUGCACAAGCUUGCACACAACUAUGCCACAAACAUGAAGAUGAAGAUUGACCAGAUGCAGGAAUCUGAUGGUCAGAUUUUACUUGAUCAUCAGCGGUUUGUGGGUUCGUUCCAACAGCAUUUGCCUUUGUCUUCUGGGGCUGUACCGCGUAGUGAAGCUCCUCAUGAUCAACCUCCAGCCCCUCUUCUUUCUGGAGUUCCACCGAGUGGUGUGACUUCAAACAGUCAACCUCCGACGUCUCUUUUCCCUAGAGCUCCACCGAGCACUGAGACACCACCUGAGCAAUAAAGACUCCCUCCCGUUUGUUUGCACAUUUGUAAAUUUUUUUUUUUUUUUUUUUUUUUUUUUUUUUUGGUAUGUAGAAUGCAAUUUUAUGUAAAAUUUCCAGAAAAAAUAAAUAAAAUGGAUUUUUAUUUCUCUUAAUGCUUUUUUUUUUUUUUUUUUUUUUGCUGUAUAUAUUAUACACACACAUUUAUACAUACAUAUAUACAUACAUAUAUAUAUAUUUUCACGUGGAGUGAUCCACCAUCCCAAAACCCAUUUUCCCUUUGUUUUUUUUUGCAUGGUGCUAGCCACCAAGAAUUCACCUUUUUUUUUUUUUUAAUUAAUUAAUUAAUUUAUUUAUUUAUUAAUUUAUUAUUAUUAUUUCUUUUUCGUCUGCUUUCACAUGGUGCUUGAUCCACCACUCUCUUUUCUUUUUUCACGUGGUGCCAGAUGCACGCCCCUUUUUUUUUCACGUGGUGACAGCACCACUCUGCUUUGCUCUACCACAUUUUUUUUUUUUUUGUAUAAAUUAGGAUGCUUGGCUGAGGGAUUUUGUAGGGAAGGACGAAGACGGACGGAGAGCCGGAGUUUGAGGAAGAGCUUCUCGGCCGGCUAGUCGUUUGACAGCGGUCUUUGAAGUUGGUGGCAGCUGCGAGGCAAGAGACGGAGGAGGACAGGGCAGCUGUGACGGACAGAGACGCCAUGGCAGGACCUCGAGGAGUUUUAAGAUACUGGUGCAGGUACUGGCGAGGUGAUUUUGACGAGAAAAGCAUGAAGAGGGCGUCGAGCACCAUGGGCCUGCAAUCCUUAAGGUUGAUCUCGUAGUCCUUGAGCUCUUGUUCAGGCAUGACGGGAUCCGCUGCGGUCUUUUUUAUCGGCAAUAAAGUUCUUUGCCUCAUAAAACAGCCCAGAACGCGAUAGAAGAGUUACGAACAAAGCACAAUGUGCAACUGUAGGUGUCUUGAUGCAGUUGAAGUAAAACUUCCCUUCCUCGACCAUGCGUGCUGCAACGCAAGCAUGAAGGACAGCAGCAUAGGUGAUUUCAUCGAUCUGUGUACUCGUUUCCUUCUCCAUUUGGCAGAAUAAAUCUACUCCGAUCUUUCCUUGUCCGUGUAAGCUGUACCCAGUUAUCAUCACUGUCCACGAAACAAGAUCUCUUGUACUUCGACCCUGGCAAAAACUUUUGCAGCUGAUUUGAUAAAUCCCGACUUGACAUACAUGUCCAUAAGAGCAUUCAGAACGGUGAGAUUCAUUCGAAUACCAUGUCGCAGCAAGAAUCCAUGAGUCUCUUUUGCCAUGUUUACCUGCAGACAUUCUUGCGCAUGCUGGGAGAACACUAGAGACCGAGAGCGGAUCAGGUUUCACCCCGUCUCCAACCAUCUGCCUAAACAGCUUAAGACCCUCAUUGAAGCAUCCCCUCUUCACAUUGGCAUGAAUCAUUUCUGUCCAAGAAAUGACAUCUUUCUCCGGUAUUUGGUUGAAAACUGCCCAAGCUUCGUCGACACAGCCACAGUCCAUGUAUAUUUUCAAGAUGGUAUUGCUCACCAACACAUCAUACUCCAAUCCACGUUCCUUGGCAACCCUGUGGACUUUUGUUCCAUCAAUCAACGAUCUCAACAUGCCACAGGCACCAGCCGCCGUCGCCACAGCCACAGAAUCUAUCUGUGCUCCGGACUCCACCAUUCUCUCAAACACAUGAACCGCCUUGCCGGGUUUACCUUCCGCAAUGUACAGCCUGGCCAGCAUUGUCCAUGAAACAGAGUCCGUAACCAGGGACUUGUCAAACAGCCCUUUCGCGGAGUCCGCGCUGUCGAGGCGACCGUACAACUCAAUGAGAGCAGCAACCACGUACCGGUCACCAGAGCAGCCGAGCUUGUGAGCGUGGGCAUGGAGUUGCUUGCCGAGGGAGAGAUCAACCGAAAGGCGAGAGGCAGACAAGACGCGAGGAAGAGUGUGUCUGUCGGGCGACGAACGCGCGGAUGAGCAUUUGGUGGUAAGUGGCGAGGGCGUGGUGGAAGUCGGCAUUGGCGAUAUGGGUCUGGAUAAGUCUGUUCCAUGCAAAGGUAUCUGAGUGGGGCAUUUUGUCGAACACCUUGUGGGUGACGGCCACCUUCGUGGUGGGUUUAGCAUUUCGGGAGUGCUUGUAGUGGGCUGUGUUGAUUGGGUUCUCGGUGACGAUCAAGCGCUGGAUUUGGGCGGAUGGAAGGGCUUCCAUUUCAGUUCAGUCGCACCCAAUUCAGCAUUGCCCGUACGGAUUCGAGCGCAGUUAUCGAGGAGGAGUUUCCUUAAGAAUAGAACCAAUCACCGACUCCUCAAACCCAUCCGGAUAUGCGAUUUUCAUGAGGUGCAAACAAGAACCCUCUGCCAUAAGUGGCAUGAUCACCCAAAGGUUUCUUUCAACGACAAAUGAACAAAACGCCCUCACGACAUUGGGAUGAUCUAUUAAUCUCAUCGUCUGCGCCUCCCUCCGGAUAUCCUCGAAAUUGCUAUUGCACCGAUCGAGAUCCAAGCACUUGACGGCGACGACUUCAUUGAAAGGGAGAUAGAUCGCUCUGUAAACCGUUGCGCUGGCGCCAUAUCCGACCUCUUCCAGAAGCUUGUAGUCGUUCGGAUUCGCCGAGUGAAGCCUCGAAUUGCUACCCAUCCUCCCCAUCUGUUCGAGGACUUGUGCUUCAGAUAUGUCGUUUUGAGGCUACGGGCUCUGCGUUUGGGCUGUGUGCCAGUUUGGGCUUAGUGUUGCUUUGGAGAGAUCUAGGUUUGGUUGAAGAGGUACGGUGAAGCCAUGGGCAAGGGAGAUGACGAAUUGGGCUUGGAGGCUGACACUUGGGCCUGGAUGGCCUCCUUUUGAGAGGCUUGCUGCUGAUGGAUAUACAUAUAUAUAUUUGUAUGUAUAUGUAUGUAAAAGAAAUCUUUUUUUUUUUUUUUAAUUUUUUAAUUUUUUUUUUUAUGUGACUGAACUCGAAAAAAUUGAACAUUCGAGCUGCCUACGUACCCCUCCAAAGAAGAGAUCAAGUCGCAACGUAGUUCAAAUACAUUUUUGGUAUUUUCUUUUUGUGUCGUUUGCAGUUUUAACUCAUGCAGGCAAGGAGUGUUGGUGUCGUUUGCAGUUCCAACUCUUGCAUACAAGGAGCGUUGGUGUUGCCUUUUAUGCUCGUGUAGGCCAGGAGCGUUGGUUCGUGCAGUUUAGGCUCGUGCAGGCGAGGAGCCUUUGGUGUCGUUCGCAGUUUCAACUCGUGCAAACAAGGAGCAUUUGGUGUCGUUCGCAGUUUCAACUCGUGCAGACAAGGAGCAUUUGAUGCCGUGUUGCAGUUUAGGCUCAUGCAGGCGAGGAGCGUUGGUGUCUUGUAGUUUAGGCUCUUACAGACAAGGAGCUUUGGUUCGUGCAGUUUAGGCUCGUGCGAACAAGGAGCAUUGUUGGUUCGUCAAGCGAUCCGAGAGAGUUGUUCCUCACAAUCUUCAUAGCAAGGAGCCUUGACCGCGUGAUUGAAGAAGUCUUCGGGUAAAAAGUCGCGCAUCGUGAUGGCAACAGACAAUCUUUGUGUCGUAGUUUCAUCAUCUUCAACACGUUCACGUUGCUUUGAAGGUUGACAAUAGCUGCUUUGCCCCCUUUUCAAUUGGCGGACUUGUGGAGGAGACGUAUGCUUCUUGUGCAAUUUCUUAGGAGUGACUUGAGUCCAUCCUUCAAUUUUGCUUGUCUUGGACGAUGCCCCCAGCGGUUGAGGUGAAAACUUUGAGUCGGAAGAGCCAGAAGUGAAGGUGGUAUAGUUUGACUUUGCCACUUCGUCAAGAUCUAGCUCGAUGAUUCCUUUCUGAGCCAGCUUCAUGAUGAGAUCUUUCAGCACGAAACAUUUUUCUGUCGGAUGACUGAUGAAGCGGUGGAAUUUACAGUACUUUGGACUGUCGGUGCGAUUCAUCUCUUCUGGCCGUUUGCACUCAGGCAAACCAAUCACCUUCUUUUCCAACAGGUCAUCCAGUAUGGCAACCACAUCAGAGUCGGGGAAUGGAUAAGUCUUCUCCUCAAGCUCCUUUAAAGUGCGUCUACGCAUUUCUUGAUCACGAAAAGCUUCGGUUUGAAUCGCCUUGCCUCGUGUGGAUAUUUUGACGGGAGAUGUGUUGACCGUCAUCGCUUCCUUGGUGGGUUUCCAUGCAGCCUUUUCCACCUUUGUCCCAAGAACUUUGUCGUUCUUGUAGUCGGCGAUUGGUUCUUUCUUCCCAUGAUGGGCGAUGCUCAACUCCAUGUCAUGGGCGCGAGUGGCCAAUUCCUCGAAGGUCCGCGGUUUAAUGCCUUGAAGGAUGUAUUGCAAACCCCAUUGCAUGCCUUGGAUGCACAUCUCGAUUGAAGAGGUUUCCGAGAGCCUGUCUUUACAGUCGAGGCUUAGAGUGCGCCAUCUGUUGAUGUAGUCAAUGACUGGCUCGUCCUUCCACUGCUUUGUGCUUGUUAGCUCUAGCAUGCUCACAGUGCGGCGAGUGCUGUAGAAGCGGUUGAGGAAUUCCCGCUCCAAUUGCUCCCAGUUGUUGAUGGACUCAGGCUCUAGGUCAGUGUACCACUCAAAGGCGUUUCCUUUUAGUGAGCGCACAAACUGCUUGGCGAGGUAGUCCCCUUCGGUCCCUGCGUUGUUGCAAGUUUCAACAAAGUGGGCAAUGUGUUGUUUCGGGUUUCCCUUUCCAUCAAAUUGCAUGAACUUUGGCGGUUGAUAACCCUUCGGCAUCCUUAAGGCGUCGAUUUUCUUUGAAUACGGCUUCGAGUACAACCCGGAGGUAUUUGAGCUCCCUUCGUACUGUGCCUUGAUGGUGUUGGUGAUCAUCUAUUGCAGCUGCUGGAUAGAAAGAGAUCCCAUGAGUGCCGCUGCUUGGUCUGGCUCCGGCUUUGCAUCGUUUUUCUCCACCUGAGGCUCAUCUUCUUCGUCAUCUCUUCUCUUUAGUGGAUCAUUCUCUGGGUCGGGUUUAUCGCCGUCCUGCGCCUUUAGUCGAUUGACGAGUGCUGCAAUUUGCAAGUCUUUUUUCUUCCACCGUUCGGGUCAGCCUUGCGAUUGCUUCAUUCAUCUGAGCCAGUUGUUCUUCAACGGAGGUAACGCCGAUAGUCAUGACUUGUGCGACCAAUAUACGUGACUUUCCUUUAGACAUCCAGGAUGCUGAUGAAGAACGUCGUUGGCUGCUUUGGGAUGUCAUCUUAUGUGCCUCAGCAUCAUGCUUCGGUGCCCCCAGCGAGGUCAGGUUGAUGACAGACUCGCACCUUGGAUGCUCCCCUUGCUCUUUUAGCGGCACCAAUUUUGAAGUAGCAUGUUGGGGAGCGGUUGUGGCGCCAAUGGAUUGUCUGUUUGCGGCAGAAGUGCUUAGGAUCCUUCCCUCAGUGGUUGCGAGAAUGGCUUGUCCUUUGCUUGAUGCCAUUGACUUUGAGGUGUGCUUGGAUUCCUUGAACGAAGAAAGAGAUGAGAGGUAGAGAUUGUCCCACCGGGCGUGCCAAUUUGUGAACACGGAAAAUUCCUGAAACGAAAGAGACAAGAACGAACGUGCACAAACAAAUAUUAUGUAUUUGAUGAUUUUGGGUUACAAUCUCUCUCUAUUUGAUCCUCUGAUUCAAUCUCCGUAAGGUGUGUAUUUGUGGAUGUGUGAUUGAUCCAAAGGGCCGUUGGGCUUGAUCUAAGGAUGAACGUUCUUCAAGGGCCGUGGACUUGAUCUUGAAGGUGGAUUUGAGCGGAUCUUUAAAGGGGCUUUUGGGCUUGAUCUUGAAGAACGGUUGGAUGUGUGGAUUUGUCGAAGUUGUUGAUCCAAAGGGCCGUUGGGGCUUGAUCUUGGAUGAACGGAUGAUGAACGAUGGUGCUUUCUUCAAGGGCCGUCGGGGCUUGAUCUUGAAUUGGUGGAUGGUUGAUCCAAGGGCCGUCGGGGCUUGAUCUUGGAAGAACGAUGAACGAAGAACGAAGAACACUUUCUUCAAGGGCCGUCGGGGCUUGAUCUUGAAUUGGUGGAUGAUUGUUGAUCCAAAGGGCCGUUGGGGCUUGAUCUUGGAAGAACGAUGAACGAAGAACAAAGAACGCUUUCUUCAAGGGCCGUCGGGGCUUGAUCUUGAAGGUGGAUGAUUGUUGAUCCAAGGGCUGUCGAGGCUUGAUCUUGGAAGAACGAUGAACGAAGAACACUUUCUUGAUUCUUCGGGAACCUGGACGCUUGAGAGCUUCGGAGUUUCAGAGCUUCAGAGCUUCAAGGUGUAAUAUGAAUUGGUCCCCCCUAAAUGAAUGAAAUGGGCUUGUAUUUAUAGAAUUUUCCAAGGCCUAAUUUUGAAUAUAAUAUCCCAGAUGAAAUAAGUCGUUUCUGCCAGGUGUUGACACGUGUCCUAUUUGAUGACUUUUCCAACUCAUUUCAAUUUUCGUUUAGUCACACGCUACGUGUAAAAUUUAUGUAAUACAUGAGCGUUGACACUUUGAUUUAUCGGUCAACAUUUAUUUACCGAAAUUUCGAUGUCUACAAAACUAAUAGAUAAUUGACUAAAUAAACAUCCUGCAAAGUUUCAAUAAAAAUUUCCAAGUUUUUCUUACAAUUUCUGUGGUUUCCAUAUUAUUUUUAUCGAUAUCGAUAAUAUCCCGAUAUUUCAAUCGAUAUUUCCGUGUUUUUGGACUACCGAUAUUUCCGAUAUCAUCGAUAUUUUAUACCUUGGCGACGGGGGACUUGCCGACUGGUGCCACCGUGGACGUUGGGUCUUUCGAAAUGUGGUGUAAUGUUAUGAUCCCACAUCGGCUACACAAGAAAUUGUGUAGUGGUACUUAAGUGCAAGGGGUCCUCCCACCUAUUGGACUAGUCUUUUGAGUUGGGCUCUUCCCUUAGGCUUGAGUACCUAACAAACCCAUAAAUCAAAGAAAUCAAAAUCCACCCAGAAUCAAAGAAAUCAAAAUCCAUCCAGAACCAAAGAAAUCAAAAUCACACACAGAUAUACAAGGUGUACAGUACUGACAUGCCUUAAAUGAUAUUAUUCACAAGAUUUAUAAAGCUCAUGUCGUAAUACUUGUGCAGAAUCUAUCAUUCACGGCGUCACUUUUGUGCAAGUUGUAAAUAAAAUUAUUCACAAUUUAAACAUUGUGUGUCGUAUUUGACAAUUUAUACUACGCACUUUCUUUUUCUUUUAAAGCUUUGCGUUAUGUCGUGAAGUUGACUUUCUAUAUAUUUGGGUUGUACCUUUUAUGGCGCAAAUAACACGUCGUAAAUAAUGGCUUUUAGCACAGAAGUUUUGUGGUAAAGAAGCCCGCGCACUAAUUCAUUCUCGCGCCUUCUCUUUUUUAUUUAGCCGCUUCUUUUUUUAUUUUUUAUUUUUUUUGUUAAAUUCCCCUCAAAUGUUAAAAGAAAAAUUAAUGAAAUAUUUGAAAACUUUGAGUUUUAACGAUAAGGAUAAAAUAAAAGGUAAAAUGAAUAGUACCAAAAUUGACUUUUUAGUGUUAAAAUAUGAUUUUUCGUUAAAGUGAACAGUGCCGAAAGUUUUUCGUUAAAGUUCAAUGUUAAAAGGUUUGUAUUUUCUUGGUAAACUUGAAAGACAAACAUUGCAAUUGCAUUUUCAUUUACCCAAUAUUAAUUGUCGAGAGCCCACCCCCUUCCCUUCUCACUGACAUCGUAACUCUCUCCUCUCCAUCGAUCUCGCUCCAUCUGCUCGCCGUCGCUCUAUAUGCUCGUCAUCACCGUCGAUUCGUCUGCUCGUCGUCACCGUCGCCCAUCUGCUUUCCGUCACCGUCGAAGUGCCCCGCCAUUCAAGAUCUGAAAUCCCCAAUACAGGGUGCUUUGCGGCAUUUCGUUCUCCAAAACUUUAGGUAUGCUCUCAAUCUGUAUCAACCCUAUCCUGUCCCCUCUAGAUUUUUGUUUAGUCUCAACUUUAUGGUGCUUUUCUUAGAUUUGUUCUAUCACUGUAAUUUUAAGGGAUUUUAGGUAAUAAAUUUGGUUGAGAAUCUCAGUUAGGUUUGUAAUUGUUUUCUUGGUUGCCUGGGUUUGAGGAUGAUUAAUCCACUUUCUGAAGUUUAAUUACUUUGAACUUUGAUUUGUGGGAAACUGCAAUCAAAAUGUUGCUAUGGCUUUAUAGUUAGAAUCGAUUGUGAGUCUUUGCACCACAUCAAGCAAUACCCCGGUGUUGUAAUUCCGAGGUUUGUAAUUGCCGCUGUUAAUGAUGGUUUGGUCCAUCCUUUUUAGGGAGAUGACUUCAAUGAUUGAAACUAGUUUAUCAUUAUUUCAGAACUCUGUAAUACGAGACAUGAUAUUCCAAAAAAUAUUUGCAUGAAUAUAUGUGCAUUGACUGACUAUUUUUCAGUCUUUGAUAGUGGAGAUAACUCUUUCAGGUCAUAUGUAGUUCUUACAGAAAUUGUAUGGUAUUUUGGUUGGUUUUGUGUUCUGGUUGUAGCAAACUGGUGGAUGCCCUGAGAUGAGUAGUUAUCUACAAAGUGGAUGGAUCCUGAAGAGUACAAAGUCUAAGGCAUUUUAUGUAAAGGUAAAUCCUGUUACUUUUAAUUACUUAUAUGUGAAUGCCUGCCAUUUGAAGUAAAAAUUCUUUUAGCCAUUACAUUCUUCAUAAAGAUCUUUAUAUGCUCAAAAGAAGGAUUUUUUUUAGAUGCCAUGUAACUGGUGGUGGCUAGCCUCUUCUUUUUAAGACUCUAGUGUGUUUCAAUUACACUAGUCAAUCGUUCUUAUGUGUAUUAUGUUUUGUUGAUAAGAUGGCCAAGACAAAGUUGUAGAGCCCUAGUAGCAGGGUGCUGUUGGCAUUUAUAUUUUUCUUUUGAAGGGGUGUUUAUUGCUUUUAUACUUUCAUUGUUUACUCUCAUACAUACAAUACUGAAAAAUAAGCAUGUAUUGACGCGUAAUUUUAGAUCCAUAUUUAUACAUAAUUUUGAUUACAUGUCCAAAUUACCCAAGAUUCUUUUUCCUUUACAAAUUUGUGGAGUGCAUUACAUGGAUAUGAUUCAUGUAUGAAAUACACAUGACUCUCACUAAUUUAAGGGCAGCAUCAUUGACUGUACAGUUUUCAAUUCUUUAUAAUCAUGAGUAUAGACAUUUUUUAAUUCUUUAUAAUCAUGAGUACAACAAUAGUUUCUAUAACAAAAUUCUGUUAAAUAUGUAAUAUCAGUAUUUGUUUUCCAGGUUCAUUAGUUGAGGAUGAUUUUUCCAAGAAAGAAAAGAUCGCGGCUUUCAGGCCGAUCUAAAGAACAUUAUGUUGAUAUUGCACCUGAGAUCUUACAAGAAGAGGACGAAGAAGUACCAGAUGACCUAUUUACAGAGGAGUCGAAUCAAACUAAAAGAAAGAGGGGUCCUACUAGAAUGAAGACAAUUUCCACAAAUGAUGGUCAACGAAUUGAGAUUGAAUGGAAUGAAAACGGCCAGUUUAUUGGUGACGGAUCUAUUGACUUAUCUUCUUACAUGGGUUCUUUGGUCCGAGAGGUUGUCCCUAUAACAUUUGAUACUUGGAAGGAUGUUCCUAAGAAAACAAAGGACAUCCUAAUCAAGGUAAUAUGCAGAUAAGUCAAUUCUGAUCCCUCUACUUCAAGGUGAACAAUUUAUAGUUUAUAAAUUUUACUUGUGUUAAUAUAUAUUUUUUGGUAAAUGUUAUGGAUAUUUUAUCAAAUCAGAGAGUAAAUUCGUAUUAAGUGAAGAUUGGCAAAGAACAUAUUGUUUUGAAAGGAUGAAUAAUGUUUGCAGAUCACAUAUAUCAGUAGUUGUGAAGUCCAUAAGAGAAGCAAGAAAUUGGAAAGCAAGGCUUCGUCUAAAACCAAAUAAUGUCAAAUUAAUUCAAGAUUGGAAGACUUCCCUUGCAAAGUGUAAGCUCAUUUUCCUUUUCUUUUAUUUCUAAGAUUAGUUAUCUUCUUUUGAGUUCAAAAUUGGGUCAGAGAAAUCAAACUGAUAGUAGUUAAAAGUCUAUUUCAACACCAAGCCUUGUCUACACAAGAAUUUGGUGUUAGUUAAACAUGUGUAUGAUUCUAUCUUGAUUGCAUGUUAAUUUAGUUUGAAGAUAGAUUUGGUACAUGCUAGCUAAUUGAUACGUGAUAUGAAUCUUUGGUUUCCUUUUGAUAGGACAAAAGCGAAACAUUCAGAGAGAUGAAGUCUAAGCAACUCCGCACACAUGUAGUCGCAAGGGAUAUGGUAGGUUGGCGGAGGAUUUGGUAAUUACAUUUCAUUCUAGUGCCUUCUUUUCUACAGGACAAGAACAAUUUACUAAUUUUAUUCUGUGUUCUACUGUGUGUUUACUACAUUUAUGUUUCUAUUUUGUAGAAAAGAAAAAGUGUAGACCCUUCUCUAGUUUCUAGAGGUGAUGUUUGGAUUGCAGCACAUACUAAAAAGGGUGGUGGACCAUCCAAUUUGCUUGCUGCAGAGACUAUUGUAAGUAAUUUUUAACCAUUUAUUUCUUCUUGUUUGUUGAUAUGCAAUGAUGAAUGAGGUCUUAACUUUGAUGUGCAACGUUAGGAAAAAAAUUAAGCAAUAUGGAAAUGGAUCAUCAUCUGGUUUUCGAGGUGACGUUCUUUCCAAAGUUUUUGGUGCUGAGCGACAUGGUCGUGCAAGAGGAGUUGGAGGUGGUGUUCCUCCUACAAAGCUUGGAAUAUUUUCACAACAAAAAUUGCGUAAUCACCAAAUGGAUGAAAAGGUGCACAAUUUAACUAAUCAGGUCAGAGCACUGACAGAAUUGGUGUAUCUUUUUAUGAAAAAUCAGGUUAGUGAUUUAAUAACAUUGGUAUCAUAUUGAAUAUUUGUGAAAUCAGUUUUAGUGACACAUCAAAUCACAGGGUAAUGAUCUACCAAGUGAGGCAUCUCCUGACACACAGGUUGCAGCUCCUGAGGCACAUGUUGAUACUGUCGCAAGAACUGAAACUUGUCUUUCCCAUUGCGCAACAAAUGAAUCGUGGUGGCGAGGUUGAUACACUUUUUCAAUGAGCCUUCUAACUAUUAAUGCUCAUUGACUCUGUUAAAAGCUCUGCCAUUUUCAAUCUAACUAGACACUAGAAAUGAUCAUUGACUCUGUUAAAAGUUAUGAUGUUUUGGUCCUUCUCCAUAGUUGCGCAUCUACUGAUGUCUAUUUUUUUUCAAAUACUGCAGGUUAUUUCUGAAAACAUUGAAACAUCGUGGUGUACCAGAUGGUUUGAUUAUAAGACACCUUCCUUUUGGUCCACCAACUUAUUUAUAACUGCUAAAUGGUACGUAGUGUGAUAAUUUUCAAAUAUUUUGAUAUUAAGACAGGUGUAGGACAACAUAGAAAUUCUUAGGGCCUUCAGCAACAAAAUUAUGAAAAAGUGAGUGAGAUACAAUUAAAAAAAUGAAAGAGAAGGAUCAUGAUUCAUGAUCUAAAGGUUUGAAUAGGGUAGAAAGGAUUUAGUUUCGUUGUUAAAAUCGAUUGUGAGUCUAUUGUUAUUGUAUUGUCAAUUUGUUUAUUUACUUGAACUUCCUAGUAUCAAUUUGGUUCGAUAUAUCUAGCACCACCAUAGAUAUAUCUAGUAUCAAUUUGGUUAGAUAUUGUCAAUUUGUUAUUGUAUUGUCAACUAUAGAAUGUGCAUCAGUUGUAAAAGGAACAAAACAAUUCAGAUUUUUUGUUUAUGUCCAAACUUAGAAUUGUAUUGUAAUUGACAAUUUCUACUAAUUAAUUUAAAGUAUUUGGAGUUUAAUAUGUUUAUGAUCAAUAUUGUUAUCCUUCUAUUGUAUCAGUUUAGAUGUUAUGAAGUGAGGUCUGUCUAAAAAUGAUAUGCUAAAUAUAGAUGUAAAUUACGGCAUCUAAAAUCAGCAAUAAUUGUUGAUGGUAGUCUUUUUUUACGAUGCACGAUGUAUGCCGUAAUCACCUUCACAAUAUUACGACACUCAACAAAUGCUGUAUCAAAUAUAAAUUACUGCACACAAGUAUGUCGUAAUUGUUUUUCAGUAUUACGACACCCUAUUAACGCUGUAACUAAUACCAAUUAAGGCGCGUAGGACAUGCCUUAAGAACAUUUAUGGCGUGUUUUACUUAAAUUAUUCACUACUAUUAGAGUACGUCGUAUUUGUCAAAACAUCUUUUACAACAGGGGCUUUUACUGCUUGGAGGCUCACGUCGUGAAUUUCCAUUUACGGCACCCUUUGUGCGCCGUAAAAGGCCAAUUCUAUUGUAGUGAUCCAUGGGUACAUUUUUAAUCUACAUGUUUCGUUUUAAUAUAUCUAUUGCUAUAAUAUGUUUUGGUUGGUUCAAAUUCGUUUUACAUAAAUAUAUGGGUACAAAGUUUUUGGAGAAUAUUAUGUAAAAUGGUUUUUAAGGUUGUUGCAUUUUAUGUACCCACAUAUGCAUGUCUAUAAAACAAUGUGGUAUGAUGUACAUUCUUUUCCUUGAGUUUUUAAAUGUACCCAUGAGUUUUCUUGUAAAUUCAGUAUGUAUCCAUAUGCUAUUUAUGUUAUGGGUACAUAAAUUAUUUUUGGUCUAAGUUGGUGGGUACAUUGCUUUUGUAUGUAUGAAUUCAUUGGGUACAUUAUUUCCCUUAAUACUACUCAAUAAAAUUCACAAAAAUAUGUGCAGUGUGCAUGAAUUUUUAUUGUAGAAAUUGUUUUUUUUUAAUUUUUAAUUUUUAAGUCUCAUAAUUCGUGAAUUUUGUACAUAUUGAUCCCAUAAAUUUUUGAAUUUUAUUAAAUUUCUUUUAGACUUGAUCGAUUGAUUGAAUCUCAUAAUAAUCCCUUAAAUGUUCCAAUCAAUAUUUUAAAUUACAGCUUUUUAUUUAAGAUUUCAAAAAGAUGACAUGAAAAUAUAGUAAUACUAAAAUUUUAUUUUAAAUUACAUUUGUGUAACAAUCAAUGGUAUGUUAAAACUGGGCAAAAAAAAAAGGUAUAUUAAAAAAUUAUAAUUUAUUCUUUUUUUCAUAACUGUCUUCUGCUUAGAUUAAAUUUUUACCAAUUUGGGGGAAUUAGUUCUUACCAAUAUAUAUGCACAGUAUUUGCUUUUUACCUGGGCUUAACACAUGAUUAAUUACUUUCCUACCUGCUAACGCGUUGAUUUGCGCAUCCAAAGUAUUAUCAAAGUCACUGCCACCAAAAAGGUGCCCACUCCACAACCUUUGGUUGAACCAAAGAACAUCACAACAAUAAGGAAAUCGUUAAAUCUAUCUCCGCAACAUUUUUAUUAAUCAUUAGAUAGAUUAAACGAUUCCCCUGUUCAUAUUGUGUUCUUUUGUUGAACCAAACCAUGUCAACAAAAUAUAUCUAUGGUUAAGCAUCUAGAUUCAUGCUUUUGGAUGUGCAUCUUAAACCCCUCAAUGAAUAGCCAAGCAAUUUAUCAUGUGUUUACAGUAGGUCAAAAGAAGAAAGUGUUUGUCUAUAUAUUGGUAGGAACCAAUUCCUCUGAAGAGGAGAGAUGGAAGUGAUGAUAAUACUUUAAAUAAUCAAAGCCCAAACAUUUUAUCAAAUUUCAUCUCUGUACUCCACGGAGACACUAAAUGAGACAUAUCUGGUCCAUCUCUGAACAUCUUUUCUUACCGUUCUUACAAUAGAAAGGGCACAAAAUUGACUUACACAGUCUUGCACAAUACUCACUUUGCUUCAACCCAUAUUUCACUUUGUCAAAUCAUACACGUUCCUGCAAUAGGUGAACUCAUAUGUAUCUACCACUUCUUGCUAAUUUUAAUUUUUCCAUUCCCAUUUUUGCUACAAGUUUCACAUAAAUUUUUUAUUGCACUUGUCAAUUCUUUAUACUUUUUUAUUGUAUUUUUUUUUUGUCUUUUUUUUGUAUUAAACAAUUACAUGUCCUCCAAAAGUUUUGCUUAUUGCCCUAUUUCAUCAAGCUCGGUAUAAAUAGAUCUUAAUUUUUUACUACAGUUAAAUACAUGGACAUGCCUCCACAAAUACAAAUUAGUUCUUGCUUAAAUACUUUGUGUGUUUACAUAGAAAAUGUUCCCAUCGUCUACCAAAAUCCUCCACACAUGAAAACAAAAAUUCUUACUCAAAAAUACAUAUUACAAUACCACCAUAUCUGUUGUUUUUUAUUAAAUUAACACACUGUUUUCAAUUUUAUCUUUAACACAAAAGAAAAUGCUCUUACACAAUAUGCUUGUUUACAUUUUAUAACUUAUCUACCACAUGUUAAUCGCAAUUAUAUAAAUAGGAAAACACGUGUCAAUAGAAGUGUGAUGCAUGCUACUUCGUUAACAAUAGUGGCAACUAAACAAUUAAAUAAUUUGUUUCAAUUAGUUAGUACAUUUUAUAAAUUUCUUAAUUAGAACUGUUUCAGUAUAUUCAAUACAUUUUUAAACAACUUUCCAGUUAGUUGCCCAAACUAAUUAUUCCAGCUUAUUCAUAGUAUAAUACCAACAAUUUAACAACCAAUGAUACUUCGUUUAACAUAAACUUCAUUUGGAAAAAACAAAAAAAUAUCUUUUUCUCUGCUGAAAAAUCCAACAGAGUUAUUGAUGCAGAUCAGUUAUACCAACAAAUUACCAUAGUUUACCCAAUGCUAUACAGGUUUGACUUUUGUUUAUAUUCUUGGAUCUGUUGCUUGGUUGUAUAAUUUGGUUGUGUGUUUUGUUUCAGGACAAUUUGUUCUUCGUUUCUUGAGGCUUUUGUGUGUAGAUUUGAAACCGUUUAGCUUUCAAGCCGUGUAUACUCAAGGUAAAUAAUUUCGUUUUUUUCUUUGUAACCUUUUUUGUAAGAAAUUUUUAUUUAAUGUUGUGAGAGUUGUGUUUUCUAGAGUAUGAAAAUUGAAUCUUUGUGAUCUUAUAUCCUUAGAUAUGUUUCUUGGUUAUAUGAUUUGGCUGUGUGCAUUGUUUCAGGACAAUUUGUUCUUCGUUUUUUGGGGCUUCGGUGUGUAGCUUUGAAGCCUUUUGUAGUCAACAUAAAUAAUUUUAUUUUUCUUUGUUUCUAGUCUUCUUUGAAAGAAUUUCUUAGUUAAUAUUCUGAGAAUUAUGUUUACUAUAGUAUGAAAAUUGAAUCUUUGUGAUCUUGUAAGUGAUGUAACGUCAUUGCAACAUGUAUGACUGCCAUUAUCGAACAUGAAGAGCUUUUUGAUUUUUGUACUCCGUCCUUUCAUACGAUCUGACUCAAAAAUUGUUUCAUCACAGGUUCUAACAUGAUUUUUGCGACGUCUUAUGAAAAUACAAUGUCACUUCUGGUAUUCCAACUUAAACAAAUUACAAGGGAUGUCUAGUUUUAAACCUGCAGUUAGUAUAUACUAAAACGACGGUUUUGGCCCUGCUCUCGACUUCUUCAGAAACCUCGAGAAACUUCAAACUGAGAAAGCUUCUCCCUUCCAUCUCUGCUACGCGAUCUCUGCUUUGCGAUCUCUGCUUCCUCCGUGAUUUCUUCCCUCCUGAUCGACAUCUAUUCGAAUUGAAAACCUUCUGGAGCUCUCUUCCCCAAAUUUCAGCAGCAACUUUGCUCCAGAUCUUUCCAAUUGAAAUUCCUCUCCUUCACAUUUUGCAUAUUGAAUUUCGCAUCAUUAUCAUCUCCCUAGAACCUAGGAGUUUGGUUCGGUUUCGAGUUUUCCGACGGAAAUCCGGCGACAGCGGCCAUCGAGGUUGGUCUGAAACUAUUCCUCAUCACCACAAGUACUUUCUACACCUAUUACACUUUAGAAAAAAUUUCAUGAUUUGGUGGAAUCCAAUUUAAUGAUUAGAAAAAUUUUCAUUAAUUUUCUGGGUUCGUGGGUUGGAGGUGGAUUAGAAAUUUUUUCAUUAUUUUUCUGGGUUUGUGGUUUUUUUCCAAAACGUUUUUCCUUUCUACUAAUCCAAGUUCCUUCACAUCAAUCUCUCUGUUUCGUUCUUGAUCUUCCGCGAGUAGAAUACCUCUCCUUGCUCUCGAGCGCGUGGGCAGUCGCUCCAAGGCAGCCCAUGACGUCAUUUUCCGAUUCGACUCGGAGGAGGUUGGCUGCUCUUCUUGGCUGAGCUUCAUGGCUGGCCGAAUUCCCCUAUUCCCUUCCUCUUAUACUCUUUUGUAUUCGUUCACCAAAACAAUAGGAAAACGUCUCCGUCUGUUUGAUUGACGGCGAAGAAAAAAAGACGGAGAUAAAAGCCUGACGGAAGCUGAAAGCUUGGACUCUGUUUGUAUUUUUAAUGGAUUUUCAGAACACAGGUCAAGAAUACUGCGAUUUGAGAAAGAAAGAAAGAACCACGUUGACAUAAUAUAUUCACAAUAGGCGUACAUAAAGCUUUACUGUGGUUCCAUUUUUUUGCAUAUUUCAAAGGCUCUGAAUUGUUAAGGGAAUUAGCCUUUUGUUUUAGGAAGAACUUGGAACCCCCUCCGUCCAUUCUAUUCCCGAUGGAAUUAACACUUAGAUAGUACUAUGACAAUGUGUCAUUAAUUGAUGCAUACCUGUAUAAAUUUAGGCCAAGUGUUUUAUACACAAAUUGAUACAGAUUAAGCUUCUGGGUCGAAAUCAUAUACCGGUGAGCUAACUACACAAUGAUACAUUCUUAUCUGUUAAUUAUCUUUGGUUACCAGCUAUCCAUGUUGCUGACAUAUUAAACUACACAACAUCUAUUGUAAUUUAUGUCUUAUUAGUAUCAUCACUUUUGUUCUUUAUUUCAAUGUCUAACAUAAUGAUCUGGUUUCAAUUUGCUACAGGCAUUAUUUCCAGACAAUAGCUAUGGUUUUGAUUGUAGCGGUGACUGAAAAAUUAUUCCGAAACUAACAUUUGAGGAAUUCAAGGUUUGUUAGUUAAUUUGUACAUCAGAAUACCAUGACAAACUAUGAAGUUGUAAUUGUUGACCUUACAAUGUAUCUUUUUUGGUUUGGAGCAUUAGACUUAUAUGUGUUGCUUUCACUUCAUGAAGGCUAACUCUUUAUUUUAGGCCUUAGAAUAUAAUUUUUUGGAGAAUCUACAUUGUUGAUAAUUUUUUGAACAAUAUUAUCCCCAAAAUUUCUCCGCAUGUUACCCUCAACGUAGACAUCAUAUAACCAUCAUUGAACUUCUGAACCAAAAAUUUGAGUUUUAUGAUUAUAACUAAACGUCUAUAAACACAUGAUACAGAUUGAGACGAAUGUCAAAUUUAAAAUGGCAUUAAUCAGGACAGCUGCAAACUCUGAUUUGCGGCCUUUGAAAUGGAGCAGUUACUUCUUGCUUCACUUCAACAGCAUAGUCCAGCUUCUAAAUUCAGUUCUCAGGUAUGAGGUUUCUCAGUUACCUCUUUUUUGUAAUAAAACAUUUGAUCAGUACUUGCCAGGAUAUCCAAUUAAUUAGGUCAGUUUUUGUUAGCGGUAAUAAUUUGUUUUUGUAGCUUUAUAUGUGUCUCUGUCUCCAAAUAUGAUGAUCUCUUAAUUUGCUUCUAUAGCUUUUGUAAUAUAAUGAUCUCUUAAUUUGCUUUUGCAUAUCUUCUUUGCUUCCUCUGCUAGCUCUAUAUGAGAUUCCAUCUCCAAAUAAUUAUUCCUUAUUUCCUAUUUUUACAGGAAGCAAAUCAUUGAAUACACAUGGAAAAUUAAAAGGGUUUUAGUUUUUGGAGUAGUUUAAAUUUUUUGUUUGUUAUUGCUUGUAUUGCUGUUAAAUAUUUGAUGGGUAGUUUGAAAUGGGGAACUUGGUUGAUUGAGUAUUAACUUUUAUUAAAUUAAUAUUCUUAUUCAAUAUUGAAUUAAGACUCCUCUUAUUAAAUUAAGACUCUUAGAGUGCGUUUGUUGCGCCAGACUGUCUCGGACUGGACUAGCUGCCGGGACUAAGCUGGACUGGCUUAGACUGGACUAAGCUAGACUAACUUAGUGAAGCGUUUGGUGUAAUGUCGGACUAAGAAGCAGGAUAAGAAAAACAGUACUGUUCACCAGAUUUGUGUUUGCUUAGACUAGGAUUACAAAUUUUUGCCAUUGUGUAAUAGAGUAAUGCUACAAAUCUCAUGAUAUGGGUUAAUUGGAGCAUAUUUUUGCCAUGUAUAUUAUGAAUCUUAAAAAAAAUUGACAAUUGUUUUGUUUCUAUUACCUGCUAAUAGAAUUGGGUUUAAUUUGCAAAUGUAGCUUAGUUUAAACUCUAUCACCCAACAGAAGAAAAAUAAUAGUGCCCAAUACAUGCAACUUCAACAAAUACAAGUACAUAAGAAGAUCUCCAUAAUUUAGAAAAUCCUAGUUAACAUUAGUUAACAUUAGCCAAAAUAGAUCUCCAUAAUUUACAAAAUGGCUAGUUAACAUAAGCCAAAAUACUAGUGCAAAGCUAAGUUAUAAGCCAUAACAUAAGAUUGUAUGAUUAAUAAAAUACAUCCAUGUUAACAUUAAUAAAAUACAUCCAUGUUAACAUUAGCCAAAAUCCUCAUCCGCUUGCGUUGUCGCUUAAAAGCCUUUGGACGAACACUUUCUUGAGUUCCGGUUUGAUUGCCCUGAACACUCCCACAUUUUUUGGUUUAUCCAAAAUAAGAGACAAUGCAUCAAUUUGAUCCAUAGGAGAGAGACCCAUUACUUCAAGUUCAUUAGCUAUGUCAGUAUGAUCUGCAAUACCUUGAACUAAAGCUUCAGUUACCAUUUGCAUCCUCUUCCCACUUUCAACAUAAAAAUCUUUCAGUCCACUGAUAAUUGCCUCGGUUCCAUCACUUGAAUUUCCCACAGCUCUUUUCCUCUUUCUUUGGCUAUUUUCAGAUGGGGUGCUUUGUUGGCUUUGUUGGUUCAUUGAAGAAACAAAAUUUUCACCUCCAAUAUCACUUUCACCAACAUGAUCAUGACUUUGUUCCUCCACCAUUUGAGCAGGGGUUUCGGCUACAUUACCCGUAGCCCGAUCUUUUCCAAAUAUAUAUGCAAAUCUAUCAAACAGUGGAAAAGGUUUGCUUCUCCAUCCAUCGGCUUCUUUAUUUCUCUAAGAUUAUAUCAACAUAGCAAAACUAAAAUUUAGCAUGCGUAACAAAUAUAGCAGCAAGAAUAUAACUAAUGUAUAAAUAAAAUAGGAUAUGAACCUGCACAUAAGUUUGCCAUGAGUCAUCACUGUCAACUUCAACGCACUUUUUGACAUCAUUUCAUGCAAAUCCACUUGUGUUUAUCAUGUCAACGACCAUACUAUAUGUUUUUUUCCAUUUCUUCAACUUGGACUCAAUAUGUGGAUUUGCCUUUAUAUUUGAAUGAGGACAUAAAACAUUGACAACUUUUGCUAUUUCAACCAAAGUACCUUGUUUGAAAGCACCGGUGUCACACCGUUGCUUCCGAGCAACAAAAUCCUCAAGAACUCCUAGUAAUACUUCUUCCUCAAAUGCUUCCCAUUUACGCCUUCUUCCUUUUGGCUCUUGAGUAGCAUUCAAAAUAUUUUCGUUAUCCAUACCUAAACAAAAAAUAUUUUAAUGAAGGAAAAUACCAUACAAAUAAUCAAUUUGCAUAAUAUCCAAUCAACUUGCAUAAUAUCCAAUUAAUUUGCAUACCAUCCAAUCUUUGUGCUAAUAUCUAACAAAUGCAUGAUAAAAAGGAAUACUAAAAUAAAAUGUUAUCAUUAACACAUAUAGCUAGUUCGGUUGCUGGUUCCUAAUUGCUCUCCAUUCAUUAUACAUUUCCUGAGCCAUGUCAUUCCUCUUUGCAGUCCACUGGUCAGAUGUUUGAACACUACCAACAUAUUCACCUUCUUCUGUAUUUUGUCCAUCUUCUAUUAUUGGAAAAUUCUCCAUUGGAUCUACAGACAUCUCUUGCCUAAUAAGAUUGUGUAGUAGGCAACAAGCGGUAAUUAUUCGACCUUGUGUCCUUAUCGGAUAGAAAGAUGGACUCCUUAGUAUCGACCACCUUCCUUUUAGCAAGCCAAAACAGCGUUCAAUUACAUUCCUUGCCUUAGAAUGCUUCAUGUUAAAAUAUUCUUCCUUAUUAGAAGGUGUUCGUCCCUCCCAUUCAGAUAAAUGAUAAGGUAUUCCUCUAUAGGGUGCAAGGAAUCCUUCACCAUUUGUAUAACCACCAUCUACAAGGUAAUAAUAACCUAAUGAAAAAAAAAACAGACCUUAUUAGUGUUUUGUAGUUGACAAACAGAACUAGACCUAACUUACAAAGUUGAGACUAAGUAAUAGUCUUACCCGCUGGUACCUUAAAACCAUUAGGCCUAGUAAUUGCAUCAUGUAGCACUCUAGAGUCUGAUGCAGAACCCUCCCACCCCGUAAACACAUAUAUGAACUGCAUAUCUCCUGAACACACACCUAACACAUUAGUUGCGACUCGACCCUUUCUUGUUCGGUAUCUUGGUUUGUCAAUUUCAGGUACAUGCACAUCAAUGUGUGUUCCAUCCAAUGCUCCCAAGCAAUUCUUAAAAAAAAAAAAAAAAGUUUUUGUUAAUUUAUACAAAGGGAAUGAAGAGUUAAAGCUUAGGGAAAAUGAAAAAAAAUUCUCAUCAUACCUUAAAACAUCGCCACCUAGGAUCUGUAGAAUCAAUAGGCACAGGCUGAGGGACUUUUAGUAGGAUACCUUGUAAUCGCAAAAUUCCUUGCAAUACGAUAUUGAAAUACCUACUUAUAGUCUCUCCCGACCUAUAAAAUCUACCGCCAACACUACGAUUCUUAGUAUGAUGUGCUAAUAUUUGUAAAGUCAUACACACAUGCUCCUCUACAGACACCAAACCAUCAGUUUUUACCCUCCCAUCUUGACGAAGUAAGUCACAUAAUAUGCCAAAAGUCCUUCUAUCCAUUCUCAAUUCGUUGACACAUUCAGUAUCAGUAUUCCCUAUUAUACCAUUCAGAUAACACAAACUAAUCUCUCGUCUAAUAAGUGAACGGUUAGUCAAUGUGGGUCGUUCAACAUGUCUCUGUUUGCCACGUAGCAUCAUCAACACAAGAAUCGUACAAAUGCAAAUUGUCUCCAAAUAAGACAUCUCUAACAAUAAGAUCAAUAAAAGCUUCCUUCGAUCCAUAUCUAUCCAAACAAAAAAAAACAAAAAACAAAUUAAGGACAUUAUAUAUGUAAUAUUUACUGUUAUUAAGGGUUAUGGAAAUGAAGUGAUUAUGAUACGAAAUGAACUAGAUCAAAGUAACUAGCGAAGUCACAAUCCGAGGCAUCAAAUAUACGGGUGGUGUUGGAAAAAAAAAAGUUAUCAUUAACCCGAGGCAACAAAUAUACAGGUCAGAUGCACACACUGCAUACACACUCACACACAUACUCACACGGACAUACACACUAUCACACACGGACAUACACUCACACACACCCUACAUACAUACAUACAUACACACACACACUGCAUACAUACACACACACACACACUGCAUAUAUACACACACACACACACUGCAUACAUACACACACACACACACACUGCAUACAUACACACACACACACACACACACACACUGCAUACAUACACACACACACACGACAUACAUACACACACACACACACACACUGGUCAGAUGCACUGCACUCACACGGACAUACACACUCUCACACACUGACAUACAUACACACACACCCUGCAUACAUACACACACACACACUACAUACACACACACACACACACACACACACACUGCAUACAUACAUACACACGCACACACACUGCAUACACACACACACACACAUUGCUUUAUGAAAACCCCAAAUUCCAAAUUUGAAACCCCAAAUUCCAAAUUUCUAAUCUCAAUUUCAAACCCCAAAUUCCAAAUUUCUACUACAUACUUACAUACACACACACUGCUUUAUGAAAACCCCAAAUUCCAAAUUUCAAACCCCAAAUUCCAAAUUUCUAAUCUCAAUUUCAAACCCCAAAUUCCAAGCUUUAUGAAAACCCCAAUUUCUAAUCUCAAUUUCACCCAAAUAUCAAAACCCUAAAAUUUGUUCAACUGCAGAAUCAAAUAAAGCUCAAACCCAAAACAAAUCCGCCCAAAUCGACGAAAAAAAUCCACCCAAAUCGACGAAAAAAAUCGAACAAUCGAAGCUUACCAGACAACUGGAGGCAGAUGAGGGCGAGCAGAUCUGUUACGUGAAGACGAGGGAGUGGACGACGAGAGGAACAGAUGAGGAGCAUGAUGCAGAUGAGGGCGACCAGGAUGCAGCUGACGGCAAGCAGGAUGCAAAGAUAAGGAUGAGGAGGACGACGUGAGGGAGGAGGACGUCGACGACACUCUCUCCUAGGAUGAUCGAGGUUCUUUCUCGCAAGAGCGCAAUCGGAUGAGGAGGACGACGUGAGGGAGGAGGUUUUAUGAAUCUGGACGUUUUUGGGGUGGUUCGCUAAGAACUCCUAGCGAGGGUUUAAUCCGUGCGAGUCAGAUCUAAUCCCAUUAAACCUAAUCCUUGCCCCUACCAAACAUCAGACUACAAUACCAAUUAGUGGAGUCCAGAACAGUCCCCCCUAAGAAGGUCAAACAAACACGCCCUUAAGGCUCUAAUCUAAUGUUCAUGCUCAACAUCUCCUCUAUCUUUCUACGAUUGGUAAAACUUUUGUAUUAUUAUUCCAAUUUUGGUUACUGGGUUGUGGAAUUUUCCAUUUUUUUUCUCGGUAAUCAAUACUAUAUAUAUGCAUGACAAGUAUAAACAAUAUUUUGGGGCAAAUUUAGUUGUUUAAUUUUUAAUUUUUAUGUGACAGUGAGAUUAUGGUAGGAUUUCGUUUAGAUUCUGCGGCCCAAUGGGAGUCUCUGCUUUGAUAAGAUUGGGGUUGAUGCCAAGAAAGCCAAUAAGCCUACUGUGGACGCCGUAGCCGCCUGGCGCUGUUUUCCAAAAUCCUCUCUCACUUGGUUAAGCAAUUAAGACUUUUUGGUUCAGUUUUUAUUAUGCCCAAUUUUGUAUUUAAACCUUAAAAAAAUUUAAACUGAUUUGGGGAUACUGAAAUAGGCUGCAGAGCUGCCAUCCCUGAAUCAGAAGAUGUUCAGAAGGAAGAAGAAGAAGAAGAAGAAGAAAGUCGUGGAAUAUCAAAAGCUUUUAGCUUUGUGAAAGUAUGCUUUUUCCCAACUCACCUCUUGCUUUUGUUGCACUGAAUUGGUAGAUUGGGUUCAAAAAUAUAUAUAUGUGAUUUUUCGUGUAACUAUUUCUUUACAUAAUUACCAAUUGGAGGUGAUUUUAGAUCAUGUAACAUUUCCUCGCUAGAACCAAAGAUUGUCGUCGCUCAGAGCUGCGUUUCAUGAAACAAGUUCAUCUCCUGCCAAAUUUGUGUACCCACCUUUUAUUCAUGAGGGUUGGUGCUUGCUUGCAACACAAUUUGGUGUUAUUAAGUUUUGCGGUUUUACAAUUUGUUCAUGCUUAAACCUCUUUCAAAUUUUCAUUUCUGUGUAAAUCUUGCAGGUAGGACGACACACCUAUCUUGGCAAUGUCGGGAUGUCUAGGCUUGGUGGAGACGUGGUCUUAUGGAAGAGGUGAAGUAGCUUAGCUCGAUCUCAUUAGCUCUUAUCUGUUCUAUUAUGUUAAGAUCAAUAGUAAAAAGUUCUAUUGAUUUUAUAAUCAAAGAUACAUAUAUUAUAGAAAUAGAGGGUAUAUCAUUAAUUUCUUGAUGUAAACAAUCAUAACUUGAGGAACCAUUUAAAGUAUUUUGGUAAUCAACAUACUUAAACUUAAAUGUGAUAUAUCCAUUUAGUAUUUUUUUUAUACAAUGAUAAUACUUAAGUAUAAUUUACAUCAUAUAUCUUUUGAAGUACAUGAAACUAUGAAGAAAAUGAUAAACCAAAUCCCAUUCCAUCUCUGUUUGCUACUGCACAAUCACAAUCCAAUUCCAACAUGGAAUCCUCAGACGACAUGCCUACUGCAGAACAAGUUUCAUACUGACUUAACUUAUAUUUAGUCCACGUCCUGUUUAGAUUGUAAUCCUAGUUCUACGUGUGUUUGUAUAGUACUCCUAUAAAUAUCAAUGAACAUCGCUCACUCUAAUUAAGAGUUGAGAUUUUGCAAAUCAUAUUUACUAUCUUUCAUGGUAUCACGAGCCAGCGUCUAACGACAACGGUUCCUAUUAUAAUUUUUUUCUCUUUUGCAGAUCCUAAACUAUGGCAUCUUCUUCCUCCUCCGCUGCUCCCUCCAUCACAAAUUUUCUUACGAUCAAGCUCGACCGCAACAACUACCCUCUCUGGCAUGCUCAGUUUCUUCCCUUGCUGCGCAGCCGCAACUUACUCUCUUAUGUUACUGGCGAAACUCAAUGCCCCUCUGCCUUUCUUCUUGAUGACAAUGGUAAAUUCACCGACAAAGUCAUUCCAUUAUAUAAUGAAUGGAUCCAGACUGACCAGAUGAUCCUAUCUUGGAUUACGAGUUCUCUUACUCCCAAGGUUCUUGCUACGAUCGUCAACAAAAUUGAUUCGGCCUCUGCUUGGUCGUCAAACCCGAAUUAAUCUAAUUGUGGGGGUUUUGUUUUAUAUCAAUAUAUUGCAACAGAAGUCACACUUUGAAGAGUUCAUGCUGCACAGAAAGAUGAUGAAAUGUUACCCGUUGAGUCUAUCAUUGCUCCAUUGGAGACAGAGCUGAAGCUUACUGCAGGAGUUAUACAGUUGUUAUGCAAUAUGACCCCUUUAAUUUUAUUUUAAAACUGAUACAAAAUACUACAAAAAUUUAUGUAGUAUUUUUGUAUUAGUUUUGAGUGUCUAUUUUGGCUUCCAUAUAUCGUCUGUACAUGUGAGAGGUAUAGUGUUCAAUAUGUAUUUGGUUUCUAUAUUGUUAAUGGAUCCUUUUUUUUUUAAUUUAAUUUAAUUUUAUUAAGGUAACCAAGUUGCAGGAUGACAUCAGAACACUUGAUCUGCAGGUAAACCUUCAAUUUCCAUAUGAAGUUUGCAUGUUCGUUGUUUCUGGAAUUUGAGUUUUUAUUAUUUCUCAAUUCUAUCACAUAGAUUAUGAUUUCACAUAUGGGAUUAUUAAUGGCAAUUAUAUGAUAGAAGAAUUGGGAUUAGAAGAAGAUAUUGAGUUGUUUUAUUUAUGGGGAUUAGAAAAUGAUUAUCAUACGAGUGAUAUUUAUUUUUGUGUGGAUUGUUAAUAUAUAAAACUAUAAGCUUUUGAGAUUGGGAGAUAAAACCCACAAAUUCAAAUCAGACAAAAUAAAUAAAAAAUUUAACUGACUUAAAGAUCAAACUCCAAAAGGGUAUUAAAAACAAGGCUUAUUUGAUCCAUUGAGUGUGAAAGUUUUGAGCUUUGAAGAAGCAUAGGAGGAGAGUUGUUAACCAAGCUGCAUUAUCCAUGUAUUAGGAUGUUGAGGGUAGGCAGGAAAAAUACUUUUUGACGCCAUAUCCAGAGGAGCAUAACGACAGGCCUGCAUUUUUGCAGCAAGGACCAAAACAAGUAGAAGUGAAGGCUUGACUAUUUGGGUAUUAAUCCUAAACCUAAUUAUUCUUAUUUAGGUUUAGGAUAAAUGAUUGAGUGUGUCUCGAUGAUUGUAUUACCAUGUUUGAUGAAUGACUUGAGGAGUUGGAAAUGCUUUAUUGCUUAUGUUUUUCUUAGGUGUGUACUUUGGUUAUUUCCGAGCUUUUCACGACUCUUGAUACCUAAUAGAGAAUAUGGAAACCCCAACUUUAAUUUUAUGAAUUGGUUUUGGUGCCUAAAAUGAAAUCUAGCAUAGUGAAAUCUUGCAUAAUGAAAUUAUGACAAAUUUCCCUUCAUCUUUAGAUUUUCAUUUAGUUCAAUUUGUAUGCAAUUUAGGGUUAUUCAAUUCAUGAGUGAUCAAAUUAUGUUUUUAAUUCCUUCUUCUUUUGAUUUACAGUUCAGCAUUGUCGUACAAAAUGAAAAAGGUGCCAGUAACAGAGUUAUGGAUUUGGAUGCCUUUAGUGGAAUAAAACUGAAUUUUUUAACUUUGUAUAGUUGUAAACAUAAAAUACUCCAUCAGAUAGACUCAUAGCAUUUGAAAACAAUCCUUGAGGAUGGCAUAACAACAUCUCCAACUUUUGUCAUGUAAUGUAUGAAUGUAAAUAGCACUUUGUAAACAUAUGGAUGUAAUAUAUGUAUAUAAACAGUCUUUAGCAUGUAUAUUUUUCAAAACUUUCUACAUCUUCAACAAUGUUUCAAUGAUUUCUUGAUGUAAACAAUGAUAAUUUGAAGAACCAUUUAAAGUAUUUCGGUAAUCAGCAUACUUAAGCUUAAAUGUGAUAUAUCCGUUUAGUAUUUUUUAUACAGUGAUAAUACUCAAGUAUAAUUUACAUCAUAUAUCUUGUGAAGUACAUGAAACUAUGAAGAAAAAACCCUAAUUAAUCUGAUUAUGGGGGUUUUGUUUUAUAUCAAAAUAUUGCAGCAGAAGUCACACUUUGAAGAGUUCACGCUGCACAGAAAGACGAUGAAAUGCUAUCUGUUGAGUCCAUCAUUGCUCCAUUGGAGACAAAGCUGAAGCACACUCCAGGUGGUAUACUUUUGUUCUGCAAUAUGACCACUUUAAUUUUAUUUUAAGACAGAUAGGGUUGAAAAGAAUUUAUGUAGUAUUUUUGUAUCAGUUUUGAGUGUCUAUUUGGACUUCCAUAUUUGGUCCGUACAUGUGAGGUAUAGAGUGUUCAAUAUGUAUUUGGUUUCUAUAUUGUUAAUGGAUCUUUUUUUUUGUUUUAUAGGUAACCAAGUUGCAAGAUGAAAACAGAACACUUGAUCAGCAGGUAAACCUUCAAUUUCCGUAUGAAGUUUGCAUUUUUGUUGUUUCUGGAAUUUGAGUUUUUUGCAGGAUGAAAACAGAACACUUAAUCUGCAGGUAAACACUUGAUUGGUUAUUUCCAAGCUUUUCACGACUUUCGAUACCCAAUAGAGAAUAUGGAAACCCCAACUUUAAUUUUAUGAAUUUGUUUUGGUGCCUAAAAUGAAAUCUAGCAUAGUGAAAUCUUGCAUAAUGAAAUUAUGACAAAUUUCCCUUCAUCUUUACAUUUUCAUUUAGUUCAAAUCGUAUGGUUUAGGGUUAUUCAAUUCAUGAGUGAUCAAAUUAGGUUUUUAAUUCCUUCUUCUUUUGAUUUUCAGUUCAGCAUUGUCGUAUUUUGGAUGCCUUUAGUGGAAUAAAACUGAUUUUUUUUUAACUUUGUAUAGUUGUAAACAUAAAAUACUCCAUGAGAUAGACUCAUAACUUUUGAAAACAAUCUUUGAGGAUGGCAUAACAACAUCUCCAACUUUUGUCAUGUAAUGUAUGAAUGUAAAUAGCACUUUGUAAACAUAUGUAUGUAAUAUAUGUAUAUAAACACCACUCUUUAGCAUAUAUAUUUUUCAAAACUUUCUACAUCUUCAACAAUGUUUCAAGCCCCGCAGCAACGGGCGGGUACACUUGAUAGUAUACAUCUAAAAUUAUAAGACUAAAUCCUUUAGUUCUUGGAUUCAUCUAAGAACUACUUAUUCCAGCAGAUGCUAUGCUUGCACUACUAGAAUUUAUGGCUUGCCCUGUCAACUAUUGCGCGACAGAAGAUUUCGUCGGUUUCACUUUUUUUAACCGACAUAAUAUAAGUUUAGUAGGGCAAAAUCAGUCAACAAACUGGGUUGACUGAAUAAAUUUACAGGAUGGCUAGAGUUCGUAGGUUAAGACAUCAGUCGUUGGGCAAACAUUUGGAGCGAAGAUGUGAGUGUUUUAACUGACGAAUAAGCUGGUCGUCAUGUAGAUCUUCUUUCCCGACUGACGGUUCAACAUGUAGCUCUUUGGAUAAUAAUUCAUCUUCAAGGGGAACAGGUUGCCCCUCAGAUGAAUGGUUAGAGGCAAUUGUGAGACUAUAAUUUUCUAGGGCCGAAAUAAAAAAUACAUAAACCCUCACUCAUUCUGUCUCUGUAACCAUCCACCAAAUACCCUUUCUUCCCUUUCUAUUUCUCUCCUAGUAAUAUCCCCUGACCGAAUCACACAAUCCAACCAACUCUCUUUAAGCCUCCCUCACUGAUUCCAUGGAUUUCAUGGACUUAUCCCACCCUCUCUCCUUCCCUCUAUAUAUAGCAAGUCCCCUUGCCUCAGUGUCCCUGGCAACAGAAUUUAUGGCAUUUCUUCGUUCUUUCAAUUAUUUGAAAGCUUCCUAGCCCUGCAAUCUUGUACAAAGGCGUAUGGUGUUUCAUCAGUUCCAUUUGGUGGUUGGGUGGGAAAUGAAAUUAAAACACUGCAUUUCAAAUGCAUUUCAAAUGGUCUAAACCAAAUUGAAUCAAAUGUGAAGCAAAGGGCAAGAGGUGUAGAUUGAAGAACAAUGGCACCAAGAGCGAAAUUGAACUUGUUGACAGGAGGAAACCAAGUAAGGAUAACACGUCUAAAUCUUAUUUUGAAUCCAUUCAGCUCAUGAUGUUUUGAAUGAUGAUGAUCGGUAUACUCUGCUACAUGCUGUGAUUUUUCCGCUUUCAUGUAAUUAACGGCUUAUAUGUGGUAACGAUAUUGAUUAAAAAAGGUCGUACCCAGUGCAUAAGGCUCCCGCUUUACGCAGGGUCUGGGAGAGGUGAAUGUCGGCUAGCCUUACCCCCAUUUUAUGGAGAGGAUGCUCCAAAGUCUCAAACCCGAGACCUACCGCUCAUGGGCGAAGGCAUUUGCCAUCGCACCAAAUGCGAUAUUAAUUAAUUUCGAGAAAUGACAGUCUGAUUUUUGCAACUGUCUUUUGCAGGCAAAACAAAGACGUUUGCAAGGGUGAGUUGUGUAGGAGCUUUGUUUCAUGUCCAAAUGACACUUGAGAAUAAAUGUUUACACUCAUGGAUAAUAUCUAUCUAUUUGCAGGAGCAACCCUGGGUUCAUUUGUUCUGUAACUGCUGGUCAUUGCGGCAUAUCACGCCUAUAGCACUGACAAAAGUAAAAAGAGAAUCGAAUGAAAUUUGAUAAGUUUUCAGCGGACUACAAAGAUCUUAAGCCAAGCAUAUAUUCCCAUGCAGAUAUUAAGAGGUUUACAAAUCAAUUCAAGUACAAGUUGGGCCAAGGAGCAUACGGAACUGUUUUUAAACGAAAGUUUUUUUCUGAAUGCUUUGUUGCCAUGAAAGUACUUAACAUUUCCAAGGGUGACGGGGAAGAGCUUGUAAAUGAAGUGGGAACAAUGGGCCAUAUUCACCAUGUCAAUGUGGUUCACUUGGUUGGUUUUUGUGCUGAUGGAUUUAGAUGAGCUCUGGUUUAUGAGUUCUUUCCCUUUGGUUCACUCCAGGAUUAUAUUUCAUCAGCAGAUAGAUUUCUUUCCUUGGUUGGCAUAAGUUGCAAGAUCUUGCUAUCAGCAUAGCCAAAGGAACUAGGAAUGUGAUCUACAAAUCCUCCAUUUCGAUAUCAAACCCCAUAAUGUUUUGCUCGACCAAAAAAUCACGCCAAAAAUCUCUGAUUUUGGUCUGGCCAAGUUAUGCCAAACAAUUACAGACAACAGUUAUUCACUAAAUCACUUUAAGGCAAGAAUUUAAUUAAUAAUACAUUACUGCACUUUCUUAACCAUUUGACUAUCACCUAGCUGACAAUGAACACGUUAGCUCCGCGUUAGAACAUCUUGGGUUCAAUUCAUUGUCUUGAAUAUCACCCAUUGUCACAGGCGUCUGUUGGGGGCAUAGAGAAGGCCUGAGAGGCAUUUGCAGACAUUCAACAUCUCCUCCAAGCAUUUUGACAACUUUGGACAUCGAAGGGCGAUCAUUUGGUUUCAUUUGAAUACACCACAAGGCGGUUAUAACCAUCUUUCUUAUUACUUUCUUUUCCUCCUCUGUAACAUUGUCCAUUUCCAGGUCAUUUCCCACAAUAUAUUGAUCGUAUACCCACAUUGGGAAGUAGAUUUGGCUUGAAUGCUCUACCGUUGGAUUCAAAUUCUUCCUUCUGCUUGCCAUUUCCAUCAACAACAUUCCAAAACUAUAGACAUCUGACUUGUAUGAGACGCAUCCAAUAUUUUUGUAGAACAACUCAGGAGCAAUAUAUCCCAGUGUACCCCGUGCUGCCGUCAAAGAGACAAUGCUAUUAUCUACAGGAUACAAUUUUGCAAGCCCAAAGUCAGAAACCUUUGCUUUAAAGUUCUCAUCAAGAAGGAUGUUAUGAGGCUUGAUGUCGAAAUGUAGAAUUUGCAUUUCACAACCUUGGUGUAGAUAUUCGAUCCCUUGAGCCACUCCAAGAGAAAUCUCGUACAUGUUCUUGAUAGUUAAGGGGACACUUCCUUCUUUGGAAUAAAUGUAUUUAUCAAGAGAACCAUUAGGCAUGAAGUCAUAUACUAGAGCGCGUUUUGAUCCCUCAACACAGUAUCCAACAAGUUGUACCACAUUGGCAUGGUGAAUCCUUCCGAUUGUAGCUAUUUCGCUAAUGAAAUCUUGGCCAUCAGCUUUGGGCUUGCCCAAAACUUUAACUGCUACAAAUCGACCACUGCGUAGCUUUCCCUUAAAUACAGAGCCAAAGCCACCUUCGCCCAACUUGUCCUUAAACCUGCGAGUCAUUUUCUUGACGUCCGAGUAAGAGUACCUUAUAAGCAUGAUGUUGUUAUUGCAUUGCAGAAAAUCUUCUAUUGUGCUAUACAUUGAUAAAUGUCUUCUGCGCCAUGUGUAGAUUAGAAAUGCAGUCACAACUGGAACUCCAAAAACAAAUCUGGCUAGGAAAAAUAACCCUGCAUGCAUGGACAAUAAUAUGUUAGAUCCACUGUGUACUACUUUUUCUUCCCUUUCUUUCCAAAUUACUUUAUCUUUGAUGUAAUUAAAGAGAGAGAAUGGGAAAUCUACAUAUGUUGAUAAUAUAAUCUCGUCUUAGUCCUUACCGAUCCAUAUGAGUAUAAACCAUCCAAGUGCUGCAAAAAAAUCAAUCGACUAUGAGUUUGAAAAGUGCAUAAAGUGAAAAAAAAAAAAAAAAAAAAAAAAAUCAAAGGGUGCCUUUAUUGACACCCAAAUUUUAGUUAGUUUUACUCAACUAAAAAAUUUUUGUCAUCAAACUUUUUAAUUUGCCGUCGAAAUUGAGUUCACCCAACCACAAAGCAGCAACUACCACUCACAAAAAAACCAACAACACACAGCCACCAGUACCAUUCACCAAUAGAAAGAGAAGGAACACACAGACCCACCAAGGAGCCGGCAUCGACGCAUCUACGAGGGAGGGACCGGAGGGUGGUGUAGUUUUGUUGGGCGCGCGGUGGUUGUUUUGUUUGUUCAUUUUCUCUUUCUUUUGGUAGGUGGAGGCUGGUGUGGAUUUGGGCGAACUUAAAAAUGAGGGGAAACUAUGAAGUUUGACAAAAUGUUUUAGUUAGGGGAACUUAACUAAAAUUUGGGUGCCGAUAAAGAUACCCAAUUUCAAAAAUACUUGAGCUUAUAGACUAAUUAAAUGAAGUUGAUCUUACAGAUCUCGUGGCUGUAUGAUGAAUGCCACUUGCCAGCUGCAAUAGAUACCACGGAAAAGUGAAUAAAGACAUACAGUUACUAGGUUUAAGAAGUACAGAUAGAGCACACAAAAAAUAAAAGAAGCUUUUGGGAAGAAACUUCUUACGCCAAUAGUUGUGUUCUUGACCUACAGUAAAAAAUGUGAAGAAGAAUACACAACAUUAGCAAUAGCUCACCCAGUCUUCGGAAUUUAAAAAAUCAAGUUUGUCUCGAUCGAAAACUUGUAAAUAAAACAAAAAGAGGACCCCUUACGGAUUUGGUGCCAUAGAUAUUGAAAGAAACCUACAAAAACAAAGAAAGAACAAGACCACAUGCAUUAGCAUAACAAGUGUGAGGUGUAUAAGCCGUUAGAAAAUAAAUUUAAAAUUCUAGUGCUGUCAAUACAUUGAUAAUAUAUAUAUAUAUAUAUAUAUAUAUAUAUAUAUAUAUAUGUAUUAUUUUUCUGAAAAUUUAACUUUCUCCCUCCAAACUCAUUUUUCUAGUCUCUAGCCCAUCAUAUAAUAUUUAUCAGAAUAAAACCAAAUGAUUAGGAUCCAACUAAGAAACUUACCAAAUUAAGUUUGUGUGUCCAUUUUUAUAUUUUUUGGAUCCCUAAUAUACCCCAUCUAAGCCAGUAUGGAAAGUUCUUGUAAUUUUGCUUUAAGUGAUCACGUGCAUUGAAUUUGGCAAGGUCUUGUAGCCAUGAAAUAUGGUUCCAGAUGGAGGAAUGAAUUUGGAUUUUUUUUUAAUUUCGGCAACAAAUUUCAAUUUGAAUAUACCUAAUUUAGUGUUUAUUUUCAACAAUAUCUAUUGUUUAAUUUUAUGAAAAUAAUUAACCUAAUAUGAAAAUUAAUUUUAUGAAAACAAUAUCUAUUGUUUAAUUUUAUACCUACAGGAUAAUUACAUGAAAAUAGUUUACCUACUAUGAAAAUUAAUUUUUUGAAAGCAAUAUCUAUUGUUUAAUUUUAUGAAGAUAAUUUACCUACUAUAAUUACAUGAAAAAAUUUACCUACUAUGAAAAUUAAUUUUUUGAAAACAAUAUUAUUGUUUAAUUUUAUGAAAAUAAUUUACCUACUGUAUAAUUACAUAAAAAUUAGGGAAAAUUAGAAUCCCCUACAGUUUUUAUAUAUCAUUUAGAUUAAACAUUUGUACUUUUUUAAAAUUUGAUUAAAGUGCUUUGACCAAUAGUUACCUCUAUUUUUUUAAAUUAAAAUAAUUUUUGAAUUUAUCCUUUUAUCUGCACAAUGCACUUUUCCUUAUUUAGUGGAGAUAUUAGUAAUGAAACUAUAUUUUCCCUUCUUCCAAAUAUGUUUUUUCGAUCACAGUUUUUUUUUUUUUGGGUAUGCAAACAUUUGAUAUUAUUUUUUUUCCAAAUGGUUUUUUCUUUUUCAAAUAGUUGGUGAUCAACAUAUAAGCUCUGUGUAUUUUUUUCAAUGUUUUUGUGAAAUUAUAUUUUUUUUGCUGUUUUUUAAGUAUAGUUGUUGACGAAUUAUUAUUAGGUACAAUACAUUACGUAUAUAUUAUCUGCGGGUACGUUUGAAUUUACUAAAAUCAUUAAUUGGUACGUUUGAUUUGAUACAUAUUGUUAAUAUUGGUACAUUAUUUUUAUUUUGGUACGUUUUAUUUUGAACACAUUUUGUAUUGGUACGUUUAUAGUAUUCUCAAUCCUAUUUUCUCUUAACGUACUAAAAGAAAAACUCAUUUUGGUACGUUUGAUUUUGGGGGAUUUAAAAAUAUUUUAAACUAUUUUGGAAAAAAAAAAAUCUUAAAUCGUAGAUAAUUAUUGCUAAAUUGUAGCAUUAUUGUGAAAAUAAAUUGAAUCUAACCAACUUUUUUUUUUACAAUUAUCUCUAAUGGAGGAGAGUGUAAUCAAAAGGCUAGAUUAUAGGAAAUUUGUUACAAUAUAAUGGGCAUAUAGCACCAAAAUUAUGAUAAAAAAAAGUUUAAUCAAAUCAUUAAAAGGCAUGGAUGUUUGAUCUAGAAAAUUCAAAACUGAGGCGUCUAUAUCAAAAGAUCCCUAAAAAUUAAUGUGCCUACUUUUUAAAUUUGUAACAAAAUUAAUUUACCUACUUUUUAUGGUAUUAGUAUACAUAAAUGUAGAAUAUAUGUCCGUAUAUAUUUGAUCUAAUUAGGUUUUGGAUUGGAGGAGUUGACACAAAAUUAUAAAUAUAUUAAACAAAUUUAUCUAUUCUAAAGUUGGAGGGGAAUUGGUCUGUACAUUGCUACAGUAAACAAAUGCUACUCAAUUUCACGUUAUUUACAACAAAGCUAUCAGAUUUGGGUUGGGUUGGAGGGUAAUUUGUUAAAAGUUAGGAGGGUAAUUUUGUGCAUAGGGUUUAGGUGCCCUCCUAUACAUGACCCUUGAGUUUACUUUAUUUACACCACUGCCAUCAAAUAUGUGGCUGAAUUGGAGGGUAUUAUUAAAAGUUAAGAGGGUAGUUUUGUUCAAGGGGUGGGGGCGACAUUCGCAGACGGAGGCCGAUGGGAGCCAUGCCCAUUGCACAGAGAGAAAGGGAGUGAUGGGGGAAAUUACAGACAGAAAAGGAAGGGAUGGGAGGAUUUGAUGGAUGGUCACAGAGAGAGAUUCGGUGAGGGAUGUGAGGGGAGAUUACAGAGAGAUAAAUAAAAGGGAGGGAUCGGGGGAUUUGAGGGAUGGUCAGAGAGAGAAAUAGUGAGGGAGGGAGGGAUGGGGGGGCUGAUUUUCGGUUCCUCCUUCAGAUUUGUUCCGUAAAACCUGUUGGGUACAAUUCAAUUUCCUCCCCCUUUCCCCUGAACGAAAAAUUCGAAACCUACAAUUCAAUUUCCUCCCUCCUUGGCUUUCCGCUUUACUCAUCUCCCGGUGGUUCUUUCUCUCCAUACGAUUCGAUUUCGGUGAGUUCUUCGUUGCCCUCAUGAUUUCCCAGUUUGAUUUUUUGAGCGUCCUUAGUCGUUGUUUUUAUCUGGGUUUACUGCAUUGUUGCUUUUAGUUUCUGGAUUUUUAUUUGUUCCGCGGUUCGAUGAAUCGGUUAAUAAUUUCACACCAUGGGAUUUUCGCAUGGAAUUGAGCGCGGGGAUUCGGGGUGGGGUUUUACUGAUAAUUUGUCUUCAUUCAAAUGAAUGGUUAAAAUUUCUGAAGUGAGUGUGCAGGUGGGCCCGUUCACUAACUAAGCUUUCAAGGGAACCCAUCAGCGGUUUGCUUGCUGGGGGAAUUCGGAGACUACCAGUGUAUGAUUUAGUUAUCAUUUAUUUUUUUACUUAAAUUUAUCCAUAUAUAAUAUGUGGGUAAAUUUACACUAAACAAUUGUGAUAAGCCAAUAUGCCAUACGACUUUGAAAGCAUUGAUUUUGUGUUUAGUUUGCAUUUUUGCAUUGUGAAUGUUGAAUUUUGUGUUUGAAUUUGUAGCAUGAUCUUCCGCUGCAGCAUCCAAAUUUUGCAUUUGUAAAUUGUCAAAGAAAAACGAAGUAUGAGGAAAUUAUAGGAGAUUGUGUCGGCUUUGGCCAUGAAGGGUAUCAGCAGCUUGUUCCCCCAUACAGGUGAUUAAUCGUUUUUCAGUCUGUGUUCUAUUUGGAUGAGAAAGUGAUUGAAAAUAUGAUUUUUUUAUUUGUUGGUUGAUUUUGUAUGGACGAUGUAUUAAUUUUAUUUUUUUUGGGAUUUUGUGUAUUGGGCAUUGUGUAGAACCAGCAAUGCAAGAGCAGGAUCUGAUCAGUCAUGCCUGAAAAGGGGUUUGUUUCUCAAAUCACAUUAAUUAAUUAGAUUAUUAACGUGCGUUGGAAGGCUCUUCAAUAUGAUUUCUAAUUUCUCCUUUCCAGCAUUCUCUUUUUGGUUUUUGGAGUAUGUAUGUGAUUUGUAUUUUUUUAUAGAAUAAAAAUUAAUAAAACACGAGAUGCAGCAAUUAAUUUGCAUCCUUAUGACAACACAUAUGAAAGUGCAUUCAAUUUCAAUGUGCGAAUGUGUGACAGGAUGUGCCUGCCCGCUGCUGCUGGUAUGCUUGCUGUUGUUUCUCGCGUUGUUAAUUUUUUGUGUGUGUUGAUUUGAUUAACAACUCAAGCGUAUCUUUUUUUUUUGUGUUGGUUAGCAGCCAGUUUUAUGGCCCCGAUCUAGUGAUGCUUCUCAGUGACUGUGGUAAUUGCAGUUCAUUGCCACCAGUUGGUCAGCUACCUGCUCUGAAAGAGCUAUACGUAGAAGGGAUGAAAGUUGUUAAGAGUGUUGGUGUUGAGUUGUACGGGGGAAAUCAACCAUUUCAAUGUUUAGAGAAGCUAAAGUUUCGGGAGCUAUAGCAGCCUAGUCCAAGUGGAUGUGAAAGUCCAGACUUUCCUCAUCUUAAGGAGCUGGGGUUAUACGAAUGUCCGAAGCUGAGAGGAAACUUGCCCACUCAUCUUCCCUCCUUGAAAACACUUCAUGUGAACAAGUGUGAGGUUCUACAUAAAAACAGGGCCAGUAAUACCCUGAACGUGGAAUCCUUACGAGGAUCUCUUGAAAAACUGACAAUAAAUGGAUGCCCGGGUCUCUCAUUGUUACUAGAGUCGACGGAGACGCUGCCGUCGCUUCAGAAGCUUGAUAUUGAUAAUGUGGUGGGAAAGAGUUGUUGGCGCAAAUGGUGCACAACAGCAAUCGUCUUCAAAGUUUGACUUUAUAUAAAUGUUCCUCACCCUUGUCGUUCCUUACAAAUGGUCUGCCCACCACGCUGACAUCACUGAGCAUAACAGAUUGCAAGAAAUUAGAAUUCCCAUCACGUGAGAUGAUGGCCAAAUUGACUUCCCUUCAGUCUUUGCGUCUAUCCAACAGCUGUGAACGCAAAGGCUUGAGUAUUUGCAGUUUAGUUUUUUUUUUCUUCAUUUUAGAGAUUUUUCUACUGUUUGGUUUUUGGGUUUUGUCUAAUUUUUGUGGUCUGCUUUAUAGAUUGUUCUCUUUGGAAGCUUCUUUCCAGCCUUGACCUUCUUCUUGCCUGGUGCCUUCUCAUUGAGUAUUGGAGGAGCAUUAAAACACAGGUGUGUGUGUUUUGUCGACAUAAGAGAUGAAUGACAUAAAAACAUCCGUCUCUGUAUUUUUUUGUGCUUUUUCUAACCCAUCAAUUUCUUUUGAGUCAACCAAAUAGUCCCAAAUUGCAACUUAUGUUGUGAGGUAUUAUUGUCUAAAAUUAAGUAUGCAUGUAUAUUUUAUGUUUGUGCCCGCGCACACAUCCGCAUGGUGUUAAUCUCUGUGGGUCAUCUAUGUAUAUGUAGAUAUAUCUAUAUGUGUGUGUGGAAUGCAACAUAUCGGAUUUAGGUUAUACUGUGCAUAGUUUUAUUGCCUGUUAUUAUCUACGAUAUCACUAUGCCAUUUCUAUGCAGGCUCUGAAAGUUAUUCAUGAGCUUUAUAAGCACUUACCAUAAUUUAAGCAGUCUGUUUUGGGUUCUUUUUCAUUAGGUCAUUAGCUACAGAUUAAUGGAGAAACGAGGACCAUGCCACUGAUUUGGGUUCUUUUUCUAAUUUUCUGAUUUUGGGGUUUUGCAGGGAGAACUCCGCCUAUGUACUUACAUUGCCGAUCCCAAGCUCGGAUAAAGGAGGAGGGGGAGGGCGUCAGGUAGUCGACAGUCGGCACUCCAUGAUCACGUCGAAUCCUUAUGAAAAUGAAUUCAGAAUAAAAUUGCGCUAAAGCUAGGGCGUCACCCGUAAGUGGCGCGCUGUGUGGCCCGAGCACAGUGAUAAGUGAGCAAGGGUCGCUGUAUCUCCAUCGGCACCCGGAUGCAGUGUUAAAUGAGCAAGGGGGGCAUAGGAACUUCUUUUCGAACGACUCCACUCAAAGUUGUUUGGGAGCAUAUGCUCCUAUCAACUUUACACGGGACACACAAAAGAAGUACUUUGAUCCUAUUAGACGGGGGAGGGUGAAGAAGCUAGGACAGAAGGGUAGAGUUCAAGAAAGCAAAAUGCGUUUAGGAACGUGGAAUAUAGGAACCUUAACGGGAAAAUCUAUGGAAGUAGUGGAAGUUAUGGUGAGGAGAAGGAUAAAUAUUAUGUGCCUACAAGAAACUAAGUGGGUUGGUAGUAAGGCAAUUGAUCUAGAAAACUCAGGGUUUAAACUUUGGUAUUCGGGCACAAAUAGAACGAGAAACGGUGUUGGCAUCAUCGUGGACAAGACCUUGACACAAGAUGUUGUAGAUGUCAAGAGGGUAGGAGAUAGAAUCAUGGCAAUCAAGAUUGUAAUAGGACAAGAACUUAUCAAUGUGGUUAGUGCGUACGCACCUCAAGUAGGGUUGGAUACGAGUUCGAAGGAGAAAUUUUGGGAAGACCUUGGAGACUUGGUGUAAGGAAUUGCUCAGACGGAGAAGUUAUUUAUAGGAGGAGAUUUAAAUGGACACGUGGGCAGAGAGACAGGCAACUAUGGAGGUUUUCAUGGUGGCCAUGGUUUUGGGGAGAGAAAUGAGGAUGGGGAAGCUAUCUUGGAUUUUGCAAUGGCAUAUGAUCUCUUUUUAGCCAACACCUUCUUUAAGAAGAAAGAAGAACAUGUGAUCACCUACAAGAGUGGGUUGUCAAAAACACAAAUAGAUUUUCUUCUAAUGAGAAACGAGGAUGGGGAAGCUAUCUUGGAUUUUGCAAUGGCAUAUGAUCUCUUCUUAGCCAACACAUUCUUUAAGAAGAGAGAAGAACAUGUGAUCACCUACAAGAGUGGGUCGUCAAAAACACAAAUAGAUUUUCUUCUAAUGAGGAAAGGGGAUCGUAUAACUUGUAAGGAUUGCAAAGUUAUACCAGGAGAGAGCGUGGCUAAUCAACAUCGCUUGUUGGUGAUUGAUGUACAUAUCAAAAGAGUGAGACAAAAGAACAAGACUUGGAAGUGCCCAAGGACUAGAUGGUGGAAUCUAAAAGAAGAAAAACAAGCCAUUUUCAAAGAGAAAGUAAUCAUCCAGUGUGUGGGAUAGAGAUGGGGAAGCUAGCCAAAUGUGGGAUUCAAUGGCUAGUUGUAUCCGAAAAGUAGCAAAAGAGGUAUUAGGAGAGUCAAAAGGCUUUGCCCCACACCAAAAAGAAUCUUAGUGGUGGAAUGAGGAGGUACAAACAAAGGUGAAGGCUAAGAAGGAAUGUUGUAAAGCCUUAUACAAGGAUAGAACUGAUGAAAAUGGUGAAAGGUAUAGAAAAGCGAAGCAAGCUGUGAGAGAAGCUAAGUUAGCGGCUUACGACGAUAUGUAUAAACGACUAGAUACCAAAGAAGGAGAGUUGGAUAUCUAUAAACUAGCUAGAGCAAGGGAAAAGAAGACAAGGGACCUAAACCAAGUGAGGUGCAUCAAGGAUGAGGAUGGAAAUGUUCUUGCUACAGAGAACGCGGUUAAAGACAGAUGGAGAGGUUAUUUUCAUAAUCUUUUCAAUGAAGGACAUGGAAGGAGUGCUUCUUUAGGGGAGUUGAGUAACUCAGAAGAGUGUAGAAACUACUCUUUUUAUCGUCGAAUCCGGAAGGAAGAAGUGAUUGUAGCUUUGAAGAAGAUGAAACAUAGAAAAGCAAUAGGCCCAGACGAUGUACCAAUCGAAGUGUGGAAAGUUUUGGGAGAGACAUGUAUAACAUGGCUCACUGACCUUUUCAAUAGGAUUUUGAAAACGAAGAAGAUGCCAAAUGAGUGGCGAACGAGCACUUUGGUGCCUAUCUACAAGAAUAAGGGCGACGUACAAAAUUGCAUGAACUAUAGGGGUAUUAAGCUAAUGAGUCAUACAAUGAAGCUCUGGGAGAGAGUCAUUGAGCAUAGAUUGAGGCAAGAGACACGGGUUUCGGACAACCAAUUUGGGUUCAUGCCAAGGCGCUUAACCAUGGAGGCAAUCUAUCUCUUACGAAGAUUGGUGGAAAGAUAUAGAGAUGGGAAAAAGGAUUUACACAUGGUUUUUAUAGAUUUGGAGAAAUUCGUAUGAUAGGGUCCCAAUAGACAUUCUUUGGAGGAUUUUAGAGAAGAAAGGAGUACGAGUAGCAUAUAUCCAAGCUAUAAAUGAUAUGUAUGAAUGAGCAAAGACUGCUGUAAGAACUCAUGAAGGACAAACUGAAAGUUUUCCCAUAACUGUAGGAUUACACCAAGGCUCAUCCUUAAGUCCCUACCUUUUUGCGUUGGUAAUGGAUGAGUUAACAAGACAUAUUCAAGAUGAUAUUCCUUGGUGUAUGCUUUUCGCAGACGAUAUAGUGUUGAUAGAUGAAACACAGGAAUGGGUAAAUGCAAAGCUUAACCUUUGGAGAGAAGUGUUGGAAUCUAAAGGUCUUCGCCUAAGCCGAUCAAAGACAAAAUAUAUGGAGUGCAAGUUCAGUGCAAAUGGAGGCCAAAACGAGUUAGGGGUGAGGAUCGGAGAUCAAGAAAUACCAAAGAGCGACCGUUUUCGUUACCUAGGAUCUAUCUUGCAAAAGAACGGAGAAUUAGAUGGAGAUCUCAACCAUAGAAUACAAGCUGGAUGGAUGAAGUGGAAGAGUGCAUCCGGCGUGUUGUGUGACCGCCGUAUGCCACUGAAGCUCAAGGGAAAAUUUUAUAGGACGGCAAUAAGGCCGGCGAUGCUGUAUGGCACAUAAUGUUGGGCGGUGAAGCAUCAACACGUACACAAAAUGGGUGUAGCGGAGAUGAAGAUGCUUCGUUGGAUGUGUGGGCACACGAGAAAGGAUAAGAUUAGGAAUGAGGAUAUCCGGGGUAAAGUAGGAGUAGCCGAAAUUGUAGGAAAGAUGAGAGAAAAUCGGUGACGGUGGUUUGGACAUGUGCCAAGAAGGCCUACUGACGCUCCGAUUAGAAGAUGUGACUACUGGACAGAGGUUCAGGGCCGAAGGGGUAGAGGAAGACCUAGAAAAACUUUGGAAGAGACUCUAAGAAAGACUUAGAGUACCUGGAUCUAACGAAGGACAUGACACAGGACCGAGCAUAAUGGCGUUCUAAGAUUCAUAUAGCCGAUCCCACUCAGUGACUUGGAUUUUCCAAGUCUCCAGCCGAGAAGUUUUCCUCACUCAGGAAAUUAAGGGAACACUACCCCAACCUACAUGCUCCACUCACAAAGCUUCAACAAAAGAAAAUUCAAAGAACUUAGCGAAGAAGGCUUUGAUGUAUUUAACACAAUACGUUGAAAUGAAGGAAAGCUUAUUUAUUGAUAUCAUCGAUAAGCUACAAAUAUGUACAUAUACAUAAGUCAAAAUAAACAAACAAGAGGGAGCCUUCACAAAGGUUGCUUAGGAGAAGUCUCAGCAGUCGGUAGAGCCCCAGAAAGAGAAGGCACCGGAGGGGGAUCAUUCGGAGCCUCAGUACUGGACAGAACCCUAGAAGGAGGAGGCAUAAGAGGUUGAUCAUUUGGUGCUUCAUUACGCGGUACAGCCCCAGAAGACGAAGGCAAUAAAUGCCUUUGGAACAAACCCACAAAUCUCUGAUGAUCAAGUAAAACCUGACCAUCAGAUUCCUUCAUCUGGUCAAGCUUCCUCUUCAUGUUUGUAGCAUAGUCAUGUGCGAGCCGGUGCAACUGUUUAUUCUCAUGCUUGAGCCCUCUAAUCUCCUGUUUGAGACUCAUCACUUCAGCCGCCAAUGAUUCAACUUGGCGGGUUCGAGCAAAUAGGUGUUGGGCCAUAUUAGACACAGAACCUGCACACUGAACACUGAGAGCCAGAGAAUCCUUAACAGCUAACUCAUCAGACCGUUUGGAAAGUAGUCUGUUAUCUUUGGGAGUGAGAAGGUUCCUGGCCACCACCGCAGCGGUCAUAUCAUUCUUCAUCACGGAAUCCCCAACGGUAAGAGGACCAGUAGGGGAGACGAAGGAUGGGCGCCAUAUGUUGUCUGGAGAAGGCGGGGCUUCCUCUUCAACAAGGUUCAAGUCAAAACGACGGUCGGAGGGGCCAGACAUUUUCAAAUGUGUUGAAGAGAGAAGAGGUCGGACAAAUCAAGAUCUUAGAAGUGUAAGAAUGGAGCUUCUACUGGUGGAGAUUCAAGUGUGCUUUGGAACUUAAUGUCAGCCCCUAUAAAAAUCUGCACUCAACGGAGCUUCAGAAAUCGAAGAGGCGCCUGCUCAGAAAUCGAAGAGGCGUUUGCUUUCUCAAAAGCAAGGCUGCUCAGAUACCACGAGGGUCGAUCUCAGAAAUCGAAGAGGCGUUUGCUUUCUCAAAAGCUGGGCAGCGCAAAGACCACGAAGGCCGAUCUCAGAAAUCGAAGAGGCGCUCAAAAGUUGGGCUGCUCAGAGACCACGAGGGCCGAUCUCAGAAAUCGAAGAGGCACCUACUUUUCCAGCCUUGUCAGUACCUGUCACACACACACUCAGCUUUGCGAAAAUUAUGGGGAUUCGGUCGAAGACUUCUGGUGAAGUAGAAAGCACAUGAGUCUUACUGUUCAAUCACCCACUUCCCACACGCAACAGUAGCUCAUGGGUACCACAUAUAACUUUUCCAAAGUUCUCUGCCAAAGUUGAACACGUGAAGUUUGCAGCUCCCACUACAUCGCUCUGAUCAAGAAGGGUAAAAGAAUAGCAAAGAAACAACACUAACAAAGUUUAGACACAUAAAUUUUGAUGGUCGAGCUACCAUAUUAUUACCCACAAGGGUAAAGGAACAGUACCACUGCUGGAUAAUUGGAAAGUCCCUGUGUGUCAACCUCUGUGCUUCGUGGCAAGGUAGACUAUCAAACAUGCCCAACCUUUACUCACAUUCGAGAAAACACUCCCAACAAGAUUGCUUGCUCCAAAAUCGAAGAGGCACCGUCCUUCGAAUCUCGAGAGCCAGACUCCCAACAUGACUACUUUCUCAAAAAUCGAAGAGGGUAAAGGAACAGUACCAUUGCUGGAUAAUUUGAAAGUCCCUGUGUGUCAACCUCUGUGCUUCGUGGCAAGGUAGACUAGCAAACAUGCCCAACCUUUACUCACAUUCGAGAAAACACUCCCAACAAGAUUGCUUGCUCCAAAAUCGAAGAAGCAUCGCCCUCCGAAUCUCGAGAGCCACUCCCAACAUGACUACUUUCUCAAAAAUCGAAGAGACAUCGCUCUCCGAAUCUCGAGAGCCAGACCCCCAGCAUGAUUGCUUUCUCAAAAAUCGAAGAGGCACCGUUCUCCGAAUCUCGAGAGCCAGAUCCCCGAUAGGAUUGCUUGUUCGAAAACCGAAGAGGCAACACUUUCCCAAUUUCAAGAGCCGGAUCUCCUUGGAUAAAGCUAUCUGUAAUCUUCACUCGCAACAUUAGCUUUCCAGCUACCACAGACCACUUUUUCAAAGUGAUCUGACAACGUUAAAACAUGUGAAGCUGGCAGCUUCCACUACCGUGCUAUGACCAAGUAGGGUAAAGGAAUAGCAUUACUACUUGUUGUUAAGGAGACUCCUAUAUAUGUCGACCUCCAUCCCCAACGGAUAGGCAGACCUGCAAAAAUGCUCAACUCUUCCUCAUAUCUGAGAGGGCACUCCCAACGAAGCCUUUCGAAAUAUUCAGCUUUCUUUCCCCCCGAUAAUACCUCUGCAAACAAGCUAUACUAGAGCAAGAAUAUCUCAUAUCAUCAGGGUUAAAAGCAAGAGUAUCCCAUAUCAUGCUUUUUCCUUGUCUUUUUCUUUGGCCUUGUUCUUACCUGCAAGACAAGAAGAAAGAGAGCAAUCAGUCAGUACUUGGAAUCAAGCUUCCAGCCAGGAACUGACUGCCUGGAACCCCUUACCUGAUUACUUACCUGACAUUGUUCUCGAGUACUCAUCUUCAACAUCUUAUGCUUCCAGGGAAGAUACCGCAUCUGCCUGAGGAACAGAUAGGGCAAGGGAGAAGGAUAUAAGGAAGCAUGUGGAGACAAGCGUAACAGCACACGUGCCGAUACAUCCAUUACUCUGUCAAAGCAAAAGUAUCCCAUAUCAGUAGGGUCGAACGUACUCUAGAUUUGAUGGACUUGUUUUGACCCUCAAAUUCUUCAGUCGGCCUUAUACUCUGGAGGAAACCAGAAAUUUCUCCAGCUCAGUGCAAGAAUAAGCUUGUGGAAAGUUACUUCUUCAAAAGCAAAAGUAUCACAUAUCAUCUCUUCUCAUUUUCUUCUCUUUAUCCUUCAUGCUGCCUGCAAGAUAGGGAGAUUGUGAACAAUCAGCUGGAGCUAUGAUUGCUUACCUUGUCUGUCACCUCUUUCAGCAGAUCCCCUAGCUCGGCGAUUUGGGGGACUCCUACUACAUGGUUUGUAUCGCGCUUGACCAAGCCUGAAACUACAAGUAAGCUUCAAGUGAAAUUGAUACAUUACCUUGUGCAUCUCCACCAGUUAAAGAUACUACCCCUGGAUGGAGGAAGAGUACUUCCAGAGAAGAUGCCCCAUCUACCUAUGAGACAGAUAAGGCACGUCAAGACGAUACCACACUCUGAUACUUAGAAGUUUCGUGAUUACGAGAUCAUUCUCCCACAAUAUUUCCUAAUGUCAUUUGUACUAAAUCAUUCACUUGUACUCACUAAAGGAGAGCUUGAACCUAUGUACUUGUGUAAACCCUUCACAAUUAAUGAGAACUCCUCUAUUCCGUGGACGUAGCCAAUCUGGGUGAACCACGUACAUCUUGUGUUUGCUUUCCUAUCUCUAUCCAUUUAUAUACUUAUCCAUACUAAUGACCGGAGCAAUCUAGCGAAGAUCACAAAAAGCGACCGUUUUCGCUACCUAAGAUCUAUCGUGCAAGAGAACGGAGAAUUAGAUGGAGAUCUCAACCAUAGAAUACAAGCUGGAUAGAUGAAGUGUAAGAGUGCAUCCGACGUGUUGUGUGACCGUCAUAGGUCACUGAAGCUCAAGGGAAAAUUUUAUAGGACGACAAUAAGGCCAGCGAUGUUGUAUGGCACAGAAUGUUGGGCGGUGAAGCAUCAAUACGUACACAAAAAUGGGUGUGGCGGAGAUGAGGAUGCUUCGUGGGAUGUGUGGGCACACGAGAAAGGAUAAGAUUGGGAAUGAGUAUAUCCGAGGUAAAGUAGGAGUAGCCGAAAUUGAAGGAAAGAUGAGAGAAAAUCGGUUCCGGUGAUUUGGACAUGUGCAAAGAAGGCCUACUGACGCUCCGGUUCGAAGAUGUGACUACUGGACAGAGGUUCAGGGCCGAAGGGGUAGAGGAAGACUUAGAAAACCUUUGGAAGAGACUCUAAGAAAAGACUUAGAGUACUUGGAUCUAAUGGAGGACAUGACACAAAACCGAGCGCAAUGACGUUCUAGGAUUCAUAUAGCCGACCCCACUUAGUGGGAAAAGGCUUUGUUGUUGUUGUUGUUGUUGUUGGGGUUUUGCAGGGAGUACUAAUGUACUGAUUUUCUGGGAUUUUUUUUGUCCUUGCAGGAUUUUUGGUCUUUGAAAUGGGUAUGUGUUGUUUUUAAUGUUUCAGUUCUAGCGUUUUCCGUUCUUCGUUGCUUCGUGAUUCUCAUUUUUCAGUGUUGGGUGAUGGAAAUUUGUUAAAGUAGUUGGUAGUUUUUUGAGAAAGUUGGCAUUUUUAGUUAUAUUUUCUGUUUAAUCCUAAAUGUUUUGAAAACUCAUAAUUUUUUUGUUCUGGGAUUUAAAAGCAUCUUUUCCAGAUUGGUUACAAGGGUUAUGUUCUCUUCAAUUGGUUCACCUAAUUUUGAUUAGUUUUAAGUUUUGUCCUUUAAGUUUGUCUUUUAAGUUUUGUUCUUUAAGUUUUGUCUUUUAAGUUUUGUUCUCUAAGUUUUGUCUUUUAAGUUUUGUCUUCUGUGCUGUAAUGAGAGAUUUCCGUUGGCCUUUCGGAUUUUGGCAUGGGAAAGUUCACUUAUUUGCAAGGUUCUAAAAAACGCUAGGCGUUAGUUGGGCGGUGGGCUAGCGCCUAGCGGCUAGGCGGCUAGGCGGGAUCUAGGCGGGAUCUAGGCGGGCGCCUAGGCGGCCUAGGCGGAUUUAGGUAAAUUUCUUAUAUAUUUUAUGAAUUAAUUAAAUUUACUAUAUCAAAUGUAAAUAAUUAUUAACUAAUAUGUUAUUUCUUAUAGAAGAACAUACAUAGUGAAUGUUUUAUGUACAUAUAUAAUAUAUUUGUCUAGGAAAAAAAAAUAUUAUCUAAAUAAUUUUUAUAACAUAUAUAUAUAUAUAUAUAUAUAUAUAUAUAUAUCCCAAACUUUUAAAAAUAUAAAUAGCAUUGGGAGAGGGGCGUAGGGUUUCUAAAAGCACACUCAGAAAUAGAGCAUAUUUUAGUCUUUAUUUUAGAAUCCUAAGGAGCACCCUACUCGGAUGCACGACAUGUGUGCAAAUCUGGAGAUUCUUGCUGUAUCGGAUACACCAAUGCUUAGUCAAAAUUUCCUGCUAGGGUUUAUGGUGGACAUGUGUGUGUGGUCUUCAUUAUUAAACCCAUUAGCACCUCACCUUUUCACAUCACCCGUCCAUCACCUUGGGUGGUUUUGAUAAUUAAAACCAUCAACAUCCAUGGUUUUGAUAAUUAGAACUACCAACUUUUCCUUGGAUUUGAGAAUCUGAGAUCCCAUUCAUCGCCAUCAAAUAUUGAAAUGUUUCAUUGUUCAUCUCUUUCUCCCUCUUCUCACUCUCUAUUCCCUCAUCUUCACAGAGAUGAGUUACAGAAAUUCUCCGGUAAUCUCUCUCUCUCUCUCUUCGUAAUCGACGAGCUCCUCGACUUGAAGUCGCAGCCAAGUUAUGAAGAAUCGAGAUGCGAGAGCAAGUGGAGAGUGGAGACUCUGGAAAUUGGGAGUGACGAUCGACGACGAUGAGUCGAUGACCCAGGAAACCUCUUGAAGUUGCAGCAGGUGAGUGCACUGCAGUUGAGGAAGAAGAGACGAAGAGACUUAGUUUCUGAAAUUAGGGUAGCUGCAAGGCACGGGAACUUAAAAACAAAAAAACAAAAAGAAAACCGCCUAGCUCCGCCAGCCGCCUAGCCUGCCUAGGCGCCUCCUAGCCCGCCUAGGUGCCGCUUAGCCACCGCCUAGAGCCCAGCCGUUUUUUCCCACCGUUUUGCACAAAAACGCCUUGGCCACCCUCCGCCUAGCGCCUAGGCGGCCGCCUAGGCCGUUUUUUAGAACACUGCUUAUUUGUCUAAUUAGAUUGUGGAUGCCUUCGAUUCUUUAUUUAAUUGUUCUGUUUGCGUUCGGGUGUGAUGAUCUAAAUUUCAUAUGUUUGGAAUUAUUUACUUAACACCAAUUUGUUACAUUCAGAUCUCCACCCCACAUUUCACUAGUUCAAAUUCCAUAGAAGUUGGUUAUUGCAGAUUGCGUCUACAAUUAGAUCAGAGAUCAACUACUCUUUUGUUAUCCUGCAGAAGAUUGCUUUUGGGAAGGAUCUGAAGUAGUUUCUCUCUGUAUGUUUAUUCCCAUGUAGCUCUGUCUUUUCUAAUUGAUGGUGUUGAUAUUACACUGUAAUUCAUGAUGAUGAUUUAAUUGUUUAUUGAUUUGUAAUUGUUUGUGAAUAAUGUGGCAUAUAUGAAUUGCAAUCUGUGUUUGUAUGAAAGGGAUGGCAUAUUAUGUUGCUGACUUAAUUGUUUAUGUUUUUCAUAUUUGCGAAUGGUGUUAUGAUCAAUUAGGUGAUUGCUGACCUGUGACUUUGUUUGGAGCUCAAAUUUUGUGAGCAUUACAUUGGAUUGUUUUGAUGUUGUUUUGGUUGACAAUGCAGGGAUAGGAGAAACAAAGAGGAUGACACUUAUAACUGCCAUUCCCCAUCGGCCGUCUUCAAAUUUGGAUCACAAGAAGGGAGCAACAUAGGUGUUUUCCUUCUUUAUUUAGAUAUGGUUAGUGUAAAUAAUUGGACAAAAGAGCCAAACAAACCCUGUUCUCUCAAAUGGAGUUGAUGAUGUGGUCGACGGCCACCAGCCCCAACUCAAGAGUUUGGCCUUCAUAUAAUUGGAUUGUAGUAUAAUUUUAUUUUUGUUCAUUUCUUUUUUCCUUUAUAUAAGUGCAGGUGUUGUGAUGUUUUGAAUAAAGGGUGAUGAAAGGUGGUUCACACUUCCUCCUUACUUAAAGCAAGUGGAGAUGACGGUUUGUAUAAAAAGAAAAACUUGCCACGUACUUCAAUUUUCUAUUUUAUUAAUUAUUGUUUGGUUUUCCAAAUGUUGUAUUCACAAAGAGAGACCAAUUAUGUCUUUGAGAAACAAGUUUCUUUGUCUACAUUGCGAGAAUUUGCAGUUUGCAACUUUCAUUGGUUAUUAUAUUUGAUUGAGUUAAACUUGGAUUUCUGGAUUCUGACUUUUUCGUUUGUUUCUUUGUUGCAGAGUUGGCUUCAUUUCAUUCCAGGAACUCUCUAAAUAGGGCCAAGAACUCACUAAAUAGGUAGUCAAGAGGAAUUCAGUUUUGCCUUCAAUUUUUGCCUUCUGUUUACAUUCUUCCUGGAUGCACUCUCACCGCUUCUCUCGCUUACCACUUUUUUCUCACUCACCGCUUCAUCUCUUCUGUUGCUUACAAGGUCGUGUCAUAUAUUUUUUAAUUUUGUGGUUUAAUUUAUUGAAUAUUUGAAAAAAGAGAUAAAAUUAUAAGAUACUAUAUAAGAUACUAUAUAGUAUCUUAUAAAUAAAUGAAUCACAAAUGAUACUAUAGUUGUUAAAAAAUCCCAUUACUCAAAACUCCAAUUCCCUCCCAUUACUGAAAGCUCCAAUUCCAUCAAAACCGAGAUGGUAAAAGUACAAACUGGCUAGUUUCCACCAAAAAAAAAAGUACAAACUGGUUACAAAAAUAUGUUUUGUCCCAUCCAAUUGACGAAAAGAGAUAAAAUUUUCAAUUUACAAUUACUGAUAUGAUGUUUGUUUUGAAAAUCAUUAAGGUGAAUGGAGAGAUUUACAACCAUGAAGAGCUGAGGAGCCGUUUGCCAAAUCAGAUUUAUAAGGUCUCAUCAAUUAUGAAUAAACGACUUUUCAUUCCCAAUGACCUUUAUCGUUUUUCUUAAUGGGUUAGCUGAACAUGAGGUAGAUGCUGACUUUAUCAAAUAUGAGAAUGUUUUAGGAUUUCAUUCUAAUUUUUUGGCUGUUUGAUUACUUUGCUUUUCGUAAUUUGUUUUGCUUAUCGUCAAUUGGAUGGGACAAAACAUAUUUUUGUAACCAGUUUGUACUUUUUUUUUUGGUGGAAACUAGCCAGUUUGUACUUUUACCAUCUCGGUUUUGAUGGAAUUGGAGCUUUCAGUAAUGGGAGGGAAUUGGAGUUUUGAGUAAUGGGAUUUUUUAACAACUAUAGUAUCAUUUGUGAUUCAUUUAUUUAUAAGAUACUAUAUAAGAAACUGUUAUUAGCACUCUAAAAAACUCAUUCUACACUCGCGACAAGUGUAUUUUUCUUUUUAAUUAUGGAAAGUUUGAAGGGCAAAAUGAGAAUUUUGGAGUGCCAAUAACAAUUCCCUAUUAUAUAUAGCUCUACUGGGAAGGCUACUGUAUAUGUCUUCAUCCUGUUAAAUUGUAUAUGGCUCUUGAUGUCGGCUGAAUUAAAUCAAAAUGAAAACCAAGCUGAUCUUACCAGCCGAUAUCACUUAUCACUUGCUUAUUUAAAUUAUUUGAAGAUGCGUAUGUGGAUUGGUGAUUUUGUUGGAUUCACUUAGCUCAAAUAUAUGUUAUCUGAGUCGCUACAUUUGAGAAUGUGAUUCUGUUCCUACCACCAUUUUGCCCACUUUUUGUGGAAAUUAUUCAUUCCUGUUGUGAAUAAUACAUUCAUCCCCGGCAACGAAGUGCGGGCACAUUUUAUAGUUUAAAUUAAAUCACACAAUGGGUCAUCAAUAAUGACAAACUCGUCAUUUAUGCGAGUCAAACAUGAGGCCACCUACCUACUAGUUUAGUGGAAUACCACAAAGUGACAUGUUGAUACCUUUAAGUCUCAUAUAAUGGAUUGCAGAAUUAGGAUAUACCUAGACUAAUUUAGUCAGUGCGUGAACCCGAACAAUUAACAAGGGUUUUAUUCUUGCUUGAAUGUUUGUUAUAUGUUCCUAGUUUGACAAGGCAAUUAUAUUUCCGAUUACAAAAGUUAUUAAUUUAGUCGAGAAUUGACGCACCUGAAAUGGUGUGAGGAAAACAUGUAGACACAUCAACCGCAGUCCACUGUCCUGGGCAUCUAUCUUCCCCGAAACGAAGCUCAAAGCCAUACAUGAGGGCAUUGUGUAUGUCUUUAUAAGAGAAGUUGCUGUAGUCUUCAACGUAGCCGGCAGCCAAACUCAUCCACUCUACACUGCAACCCUCAUCCAAAUCCCAUGCUUCCAACCUGCCCCCGACAUAGUCAGCGACCAUGACAUAGCUAUACGUUUUUGGUUGACUCGAAGAAGAAGAAGAAGUAUUAUUCAAGCAUGGAGCAGUGUCCACGUACAGAGAAGAAUUCGAUGGAUUCGAACACUUCAAGUAAUAUAUAGAUAGAGAAUUGAUGUCAUAGGUGGGCCAAUAUGGAGAAUUGAUGUCCUCGGUGGUGGGCGGAAUAUUUUGAGACAUGGAAGAGCAAUUGUUGUUGUCAAGCCCAGGAUCUAGAACUCGGAUUGUAUUGUUAAUGUAGUUGAUUGCCUGGACAUAGUAUUUUCCGGAAGAAGGUACGUCUAGUACAGUAAUGUUGCUCUCACAGUACAGAGUAUACAUUAUGUUGCCACAGUACUUUGGAUCAUCGUUCAGUCGAAAAGGAUGGCUUAUGUAGUGGAUAUGGCCGCAGGAUGAAGUGCAGGACUUGGCACUACUGUUGUCAGCGUUACAAGUUUCACUGCAAAAGCAAAGAAGAAGAAAGGCUAAACUUAAGGUGAAGGACCUGCUUCCACUAAUUUCCAUUGAUCUGAGAGAGAGAGAGAGAGAGAGAGAGAGAGAGAGAGAGGGUACUAUAGCUUGAACACCAAGGAGUUAUAUAAUAUGGGAGGGGUUAAAGCGCUUCGCUUAAAGUUGCAGUAAGCCCGGCAAAUAUCCUAGGGAAAAGUCGGUCAAUGGUGUCCUAUAGAGAAAAGUCGGCCUUGGUGUUUGACACGGUCACUCACUCUCUCUCUCUCUCUCUCUCUCUCUCUCACAUUGACGAGGGACACUGUAAUUAACAAAAAAAUUGUUCUUCAGAGAUAGAUUUUGAAAUUCUUAUUUUAUAUAAAAAAACACCUAAUAUUAAUCAUUCAAAUGAAAUUCCUAAAAUUAAGUAUAAAUAAUACAUAAUAAAAACUGAACACAUACAAUCAACGGUCACGAUCAUGAAAUCCUUCGGAUCCUCAGAAAAAAAUCCGACGAUGAUCUUUUUCUGUGUAAAAUAAUUUGAGGGUAUAAUACUGGAUGUGCGAUUAAACCGAAGAACCCACCCACCUCCAUCUUCUCCGACCAACUUGAACCCAGCCACUACUACAUGUCAUCCCGACAACCCACUCUCAGCUUCCCAAACCGCCAUUUUUCACCCAUUCACCUACCACUGCCAUUAUUCAUUCAAUCAACCCAAAACACGAGAGCCACCCCCAUCUCACCAGUCGAACAGAUGCAGCCACCCACCCAUUUAAUCCCAGUCCAAAAUCAAACCCUCUCCUAAACCCACCCCAGAAUCCAAUAAUUUCAAAAAAUGGCUGAUUAUAUCAUUUCAAGAACCUCACAAUUCCAAAAACUAAAAACCCACUUCAAAGAUGUAAUAUUUUUCUCUCUUCCUCUUUUUGGGUUUUUUUUUCUUUUUUUUUAUCAAUUCUCUUCUGGGUUUUUGUUUACAGUGUAAAAUCAACACUAAUUUACUAAUUUUGCUUUGAUUUCAAACACUAUUGAGGCGUGAUAACCUGUUGCAAGCUCAGCCAUGGCGGCUACUGCGAAAUCUAACGGAAAAACCAUCACAGACUCUGCCAUUUCAUCCAAGGUUCCGACAAUAGCAAAACGAAUAGCUGUCGCAGAUUUCUUCCAACAUCAAUCACUACGCGAAAUUAAUUGUCAAUGAAGACGAUCCCAUUCCCCUUCGAAAUCUGCUGGGGAAAGAGACCUUCUUUCAGAUCUGCUCUGAGACCGGUUUAUGCGAGAGAGUGGUGAGCCUGACGACAGAGAGAAAUAAGGGCAGGAUUGGAAAAUUGGAAAGUUCAUUUAUUGGUUACUGUUUAUCCGUGUUUCUUCGAAAUAAGCUGCUUUUUCCAGCUUUGGGUUUCAGUGUUUUUUAACCCAUAAUUUUGAAAGAAAAAAAACUG
rnacentral:lncRNA from 1 species